rnacentral:lncRNA from 1 species
UUUUUUUUUAGUUUUUGAGCUUAUGUAGUUAUGUUAUAAGUUUUAAAGAUUUGAAUCUUUUGAAGUUUAUAAGUUAUUAAGUUAUACUUAUAACUUGUAAGUUAAAUAACUUAAGUUUGUAAUAUUAAAAAAAUUAAAUAAACAAAAAAGAAAUGCUAAUAAAAGUAAAUAAUGACAAAAAUAUUAUUUUUUAUUUUAAUUAAAAAUGAUUUACCGGGACCGGACCGGUACCGGACCGGACCGGAACGGAACCGGAAUGAAUCGGGAUGAACCGAUACCGGUAUACCAGUACCAAAUCAUGGUACCGUUCCGUUCCGUGUACCGGUUCAAUGUAUCCCAUCCCGUCCCGAAUACUACCGGACCGGAACGAACCGGAAUGGUACCGGAACGGACCGGAAUGGUACCGGUACAACCCGUUCCAGUGCCCAGCCUUACCUUAGAUAAGGCCGGUGAAGAAGCUGAGUGGCUCCGGAAUUUUUUAGAGGAUAUUCCAUUAUGGCCCAAACCUGUGGGACCUAUUUGCAUACAUUAUGAUAGUCAAGCAACAAUAGGUAGGGUAUGGAGCGUUAUGUAUAACGGGAAGUCUCGUCAUAUACGAGGAGACAUAAUACCGUAAGACAACUCCUCUCUAGUGGAAUUAUCAUAAUUGACUAUGUGAAGUCAAGCGAUACUGUGUCAGAUCCACUAAUGAAAGGCCUAGUGAGAGAGGUAGUUGAAAGAUCAUCUAAGGGAAUGGGUUUACGGCUUAGGACAAGUCGGCAUGGCGGUAACUCUAUCUAGCAGACUGGAGAUCCCAAGAGCUAGAUUCAAGGAGAAAUACAAAGUUGUGACUGACGGUUCGACAUUGUCAAUCAACUUAAUCCAUUCUCAUGAUGAAGACAAUGUUCAGGAACAAGGUUAAGACUUUAAGGCUUGUUAAUGAGUUAAUAACACUUAAAAUUUUUAAUGAUUUGCUAAGUUUGGCAGAUUUGACCAAAUAGUGUAUUUACGAGAUGACACGGUUAAAAAUCACCUAUGUGAGUGUGAAGUGUAAGUUGCUUCAAAAGAAUUUUAUGUCAAAAGUCUAUUCUCUAUACAUUCAUGAAACCAGGAGGUGUUCAUGGCUGAAACGAACACAACUGUAAGAACCAUAAACGGUAAAGGGUUAAUUGUAUGACAUAUGGUUGUCUAGGUAUACACCAAAGCUCGACGGUUCAAAGAUAUCGCAUCUACCGAUUGAUCGAGUAUUUUCGACAUAUGUUCACUACAGAAAGUCCAAGGGGAAACCUACUUAUCCAGAUGCAAUUGAUCCUUGCUUGUAAAGUACACACUCGUCCGUGCAUUCUUUAUGUUAUAAUCAUUCCCCAUUCAUGUGGGGGAUUGUUGUGUAUGUAGCAAGAGUUAAUGGGAAAUUGAGGGAAGAUGAAAAGAGAGGAACUUGGAAAGUUGGGAACUUGAAAAGUCCUCUUAUGCUUUAUUGAAAAAGCAAUUUCUCCCUCAUCGGUGGUGGAAAGAAAAAUAGAAGAGUUUAAACAUAGAAAAACUACUAUUAAUUGUUAAAAGGGUUGGAAAGAGGGACCCUCCUCGAGCUGUCGUCGUCGUCGCUCGCUCAGCUUCGGCUUUGGCUUAGGCUUUGGAAAAUGAUCGAUCGAGAGAUUAUAUUUUUGAACAAAGUUUGUUUUAAUUAUUUAGUUAAUUAUUAAUUAAUUAAUUUAAUUUAAUUAAAUGGCCAAAACGUUUCAAUUAAUUAGUUAAUUAAUCGAAACGUUUCGAUUAUUCAGUUAAUUGAUCGACCCGACUCGGAUCUGCCCGCGACCCAUUUUAUUUAAAUUCUUUCUCGUUUUAUUUGAAUUUCCCGUCGUUGAAAGUGACUGUUCUUAAAGGUUGCAACUUUCAGAAACAACCAUCACCGUUUGAAAGGUUGCAAACUUUCAUGAAUGGUCGUGUGGAUUCUGAAAGGGGUGCAACCUUUCAGAACCAGUUCCUCUUGCCUAUAAAUACAUUGAUUCUUCAGAUUUUUUCCUUACCAAUUUGUCUGAUUUCUUCUUCUUCUUCUGCACAAAGUUUCUUCGUGUACUUUACUGUUGUUUAGUGGUUCGCUCACACCAGAGUUUUGGGUAUCAAUACACUGGUGAUUGAGAUCAUUCUAUCUUGGGAGGACAUAUUCCGAAUCAAACCUCGGAUAGUAGAGGGGAAUAAUUUUCUUAAGGGGACACUUUGCAUUUAGUGGGCUUGAUUUUUUCCGUUCUAUCUUUUUCCAGAUUCUGGUAUGUUUCAGAGAUUUUAGUUGUUCUGAAUUAAUUUUUGUUCUUCUACUCUUACUGGUUCAUUAAAACUUUGGUUACAUCGUGUUUCUGCAAAGUUUAUUGGAAUUAGUAAUUCUAUUUUAAACACAGAUUGACAACAGUUUGAAGGUCUGGAAAUGCUGCUAGCAGCAACAAAGGAAGAGACGAAAAGUUGAAAUUGUUGAUCGGAAAAAAUGUGAUGAACGGAGAUGGAGUUUUGGGUGGUGGACUCGCCGGAUUCUGGAACUCCGAUAAGCUUGUCAAUGGAAAAAUAAUAAUGAACAUUUGAAGAAUAUCUGAAAAUUACUCCUAAAAUUUUAUCCACCACUCCUUAAUUUAAUGACCAAACUAUUCUUUAAAUAAGAAAUUGAAAACCACAAAUAUCUUAAAACCGUGAGUCAAAAUCAUCGAUUAAUAAAAUAUCUGUGUAUGAAAUCUUAUCCAGAUCAGAAUAAAUUUCUAGACUGUGCAAAAUAUCAAAAUGAAUAUUAACAAAUGUAACAGAUAAAAUGAAUAUUAAAAAAUGUAAUAAAUAUAACCAAUGACAUGUAAAAAGUGCAAUUUAACAGAAAUAAUUUUUUUAUAAAAAAUGAACAAAUAUUUGAACGUAUUCAAUCGGCUGUGACAAAAUAAUAUAAACAAAAUUAACCAAUGAAAAUCCUAAUACUUUGUGAAUAAGGAUAAUUAUCAACAAAUUGCAUUAAAAUAGCAAAUUAUGUAUUUUGAACUAUUUAAAAAAUAAAAUACUUAAAAAAUAUUAACUUUAGAAAUAUCAGACCAAAAUUUGGUGUCAACAACCGGAACAGGUCGUUACAGAAAACUCACAUACUAUGACAAUUUUAAAAUAAUUAUUGAAUGUUAUUUGUUUGAGCACACAACAAAUUUACCCGUUAGGUAAUUGAUAUAAGUGAAAAUUAUCUAAUUUUUCACAGCCAUCAACGGUCUCCCUACUGUAUGAUCACCCUCUCAAUUUUUUUAGAACUGCCAGUAUUAAUAAUAUGACAAAAAUAAUGAUGUCAACUUAUUUCUUCCCGCCACAGUAUAAGAAUUCCUUAAUCCAAUAAUAUCCAAUUCAAAUACUACAACAAUAAUACGAGAAAGCUAAGUCACUUCUAAAACUCAAAUCUACAUGUGAAGUGUUUUCUAAGUAUUGGGAUGCAAAAAGAACUUCAAUGGAUCGUUUUACUAAAAAGGUAAUUUAAACUUGAAACAUGGCCCAUGCGAUCACAUGUUGUGACAAAGAAAGAAAAUUAAAUCACAAAACACGUAAAUCAAGUAAUUUGUAAUUUCACUUCUUAUUGUGCAUUUUAUUUUCCACGAUUUCUAAAUUUGAGUUUUAUUAAUAGUAAUAGCAUAUGAUUACAACUCAAAGAACUUAACAAAACUAUAUAUAUAUAUAUAGUCAGUGGCGUAGCCAGAAAUUUUAUGAAGGGGUCCAAACUUUGAAUAGUAAUUUUUUUAAUAAAAAAACGAUUAUUGAAAUUACCAAAAUAAAUAAUCAAGCUAAGUAAUAUUUAAUUAAAUAUAAGAAUAUUUUUAAUAGAAUUAACAAGUGUAACAAAAUAAACUACUAUUGAAAGCAUAAUUUAAAUAUAUUAUUACAAUUGUACUCGACGAGGUUUCAUAUCCUCCAACGUUUUUAUAAUAGACUUAUUAGAAUUAGUACGAAAUACUUUCUUUUCUACAUAAGACACUAUACAACCGUCUAAAAACUCAUCAUCCAUUCGAUUUCGCAAGUCAUUUUUUAUAUACUUCAUUGCUAGAAAACUCUUUCAACGGUUGCAGUAGCAACUAGCAAAAGCUAUUAAAAUAUAAGGAAAUCUUAUUCCACAAGGAAAAUGUAUUAAUUAAAUUUUAAGUAAGUAAUUCAAUUUUAAUUGAAAAAAAAAUCCUUAUUAGAGGUGAGAUUCGAACUUGGGUCACUCAAGACAAUCUUGACACUAUUUUCCAUCAAGCUACUGAACAUUUAUGUUAAAGUUAUGCAUGUUUGCUUACUUACUAAGUUCAAGAAGGCAAAAUAAUUACAGGAGGGGCAGCGAGUAGGUUUGCAAUAGCUCUAGCCGUCUCCACUAUGGAUUACUUUGAUAUUUUAGGGUGUCCAGAAUACCAUAUAUACCAAUAUAAGUUAAAACUUUACGUGUAUAUAUAGUAUAAUUUUUCGACGAAGAGUGUCCAAUUGGACACCCUGGUGACAAGGUGACAAUGUAUAUAUAUAUAUAUAUAUAUAUAUAUAUAUGUUAAGGAGCAUAUGGUCAACGGGUCAAUUGAUCGGUUUGCCUUUCUCCUUCAACAAUUCAACUUCCUCUAUUUACAUGUAAGUGUUUUAUUCAUUUUAAUUUAUUUGUCUUGUUUUCUUUUUUAUAUGUUAUGCAUGUAAAUAAUAGUACUAAAAAUAAACAUAAAAUAUUAAAAAUUUUGUUAACUCUCGAAAUUUUACCCGUAUUGCAUAAUUGAGACUGAGGGACUAACAUAUAUUAUUUAGAAAUUACGUUAAGAGUACUAUAAAUCAUAAUAAUUAACAACUUAAAAUAUUUGAAAAAGAUAUUAAAAUAUAAUUAUUUUUUGAAAUUUCACAUGUGUCACAUAAAUUGGGACAUAGAGAGUAGAAAACUACGGUAAGAGUCCUAUAAGUCACAACUUACAAUACUUAGAAACAUAUUAAAAAUUUGAUCAACUCUCGAAAUUGCACAUGUACCACAUAAAUUGGGACAUAGGAAAUAACACAUAUUAUUUAAAAAUAACGUUAAUUAAGAGUUUUAUAAGUUACAAUAAUUAACAACUUAAAAAAUUUAAACGAUCAUACUAAAAUUUGGUUGACUAAUUUCGAAAUAUCACAUGUGUCACAUAAGUUGGAACAUAGUGAGUAACAUAUAUUAUUUGAAAAUUACGUUAAAAGUAUUAUAAAUUACAAUAAUUAAGAGCUUAAAAUAUUUAAAAAUUUAAUUGACUCUCCUAAUAUAAUUUGUGCCACAUAAAUUGAAAUAAAUAAAAUACUAUAUGUUAGGCCCGUAUUUACACAGACUCUUAUAUAUCGAAUACAUAAGAUAUACUCCCUCUGUCCCAAUUUAUAUGACUUAAUUUCCUUUUUAGUCAGUCCCAAAAAGAAUGAUACAUUUCUAUAAUAAGUAACAAUUUAACUUUAAAAUAUCUCUUUUACCCUUAAUGAAAUGAUGUAUAGCCACAUAAAUUUUAUCAUUCAUUUUAGACCACAAAUUUUAAGAGUCUUACUUUCUUUCUUAAACUUUAUGCCGAGUUAAACUAACAUACAUAAAAUAGGACUGAGGAAGUAAUAGAAUUAAAAAAUGGGUGAGAAGCAAACCCAAAAAAAUUGGAUGAAGAAAUAGAGACAUUUGACUUCACAAUACAUGUACUCCUUUCUUUCAAACCUCUUAUCGUCCCUUUUAAUCCUUUGUUGAUUGGGUGUAGAUUUCAAAUAACUUUGAAAAUGAACAUGAAGAGAUUGCAAACAUAUGCUUUAUGGCCAUUGGAAAAUCAAGCACUGGGGUAUAUAAAAACUGUAAUGAUUUAAAAAACCUGCUUGAUCGUGUUGUUGCAGACAUGAACGUAAUUUUUUUAGACUUAGGAAAACUUCAAAACAAAAAAAAGGAAUUUGGAAAUAAAAUUGGAAGUAAGCGAAGUUGAAAUAGAUCUCCUUUAUGAAGAAAUUCAUGAAUUAAAAAUUGCUCUUGAAAAUUCUUCAAAAAAAUCAAAUUCUUCGAAAACCUCCUCAAAAAGUGUCCCUAGGAGCAAAAACUCUUCAAAUGGAAAUUACUCUAGUUGCAACCAGUUAUUCAAGUCGACUGCUUCAAAAACUAACAGUAAUGACUCAAAUUCUGAAGAAGAUAUUCCUAAGUCCUGCUAUUAUUGUGGAAAGUCUGGACAUGUAUCAUACAAUUGCAUGUUUCAUAAUCAUAACUCAUCUAAAUAGGUAUGGAGACCCAAAAGAAGUCCAAGUAAUUCUAACCUUGAAGGACCCAAAAAAGUUUGGGUACCUAAAAGGAGAUGAUGAUUUUGUUUUGCAGGAACACCGCAAGAAGUCAAAAGGAAAAUGGUACCUGGAUAGCGGAUGUUCAAAUCACAUGACAAGAGAUAAAAAUCUAUUCAAAUCAGUUGUUGAUUAAAGGGAGGAAACAUUCAUUUUGGUGAUAACUCAAAAGGAACGGUAAUUGGUAUUGGUACAAUUUCAUUCAAUGACUCAUGUGAUAUUUCAAAUGUUUAUUUAGUGAAAGGACUCAAAUACAAUCUUCUGAGUAUCAGUCAACUAUGUGACUCAAAUCUAGAAGUGCAUUUCCAAAAGAAUCAAAUCUUAAUAAAAGACUCUUCUGGAAACAUUUUACUACAAGGGAGAAGAGAAAAUAAUGUAUAUAUUCUUGAUUCCGUAAAAAAUAAUGGGGAACAUAUUUGUCUAGCAUCGAUGACUGAUGAUCCAUGGACCUGGCAUAAGAAACUCGGUCAUGCCAGCAUGCGACUAAUUGAGAAACUAGCCAAAAAUGAACUAGUCAUUGUAUUACCAAAGCUGGACUACUCAAAAGAUCACAUCUGCGACGCAUGUCAAAUGGAAAAACAAACAAGAAACUCAUUCUCCGGAAAAGACAUUAUCUUCACAAAUAAACCUCUACAGCUCCUACACAUGGAUUUAUUUGGACCUACUAGAACAACUACCAUCAGUGGAAAGAGGUACGCCUUUGUAAUAGUUGAUGAUUACUCUCGUUUUACUUGGGUUAUGUUUUUAUCUCACAAGGAUGAUACCUUAAAAAAAUUUGAGUUUUUCUAUGAGAAAGUUUAACGAGAUAAAGGUUACUAUAUUACAUCCAUAAGAAGAGAUCAUGGAGGAGAAUUUGAAAAUAACUUGUUCAAAAAAUUCUACAAUGUGAAAGGUUACACUCACAACUUCUCAUCACCCUGAUCACCUCAACAAAAUGGAGUCGUGAAACGAAAAAAUACGACACUCCAGGAUAUGUCAAGAACAAUGAUAGUCGAGCAUUCUCUUCCACACAAGUUCUGGGCAGAAGCUGUAAGUACGGCUUACCAUGUGCUAAAUCGAUACCUAAUCAGACCUAUUCUAAAAAAGACACCCUAUGAACUGUUGAAUGGUAAACGACCCAACAUUAGUUAUUUCCAUCUAUUCGGGUGCAAAUGUUUUGUUCACAACAAUGGAAAAGACAAUAUCAGUAAGUUUGAUGCACGAAGCAAUGCAUGUAUAUUUCUUGGACACUCAAGCUCUAGUAGAUCUUAUAGAGUCUUUAAUAAGCCGACUUUACAUAUUGAAGAAUCUAUUCAUGUUGUUUUUGAUGAUUCUAACAAAUUUGUUGAGACAAAAAUUAAUACUAAUGAUGAAGAGAGUCAACUCUCCAUCUCAACUCAAAGGGAGCUAAAUAGUGCUAAACAGUCGACUACAGAGGAAUCUUCCAUAAGUCCUAUAGUCGAAUCUGUCCCAAAUGAAUGGAGAAGCGAACCAGAUUAUUCAAGCAGAUUUAUUAUUGGAAAUCCAAGUGAAGGUAUGAAAACUCGAGCGUCAAGAAGAAAUGAGACACAGGUUGCACUCAACUCUCAGUUAAAACCAAUGAAAUUAAAGGAGGCUCUCUCAAAUGAAUAUUGGAUCAAGGCCAUGAAAGAGGAACUGGAUCAAUUUGACAAAAAUCAGGUUUGGACCCUAGUUCCUAAACCUGAUGAAAAAUCUAUCAUUGGAACCAAAUGGGUAUACAGAAAUAAGCUAAAUGAAUCUAGAGAAGUAAUCCGAAAUAAAGCUAGCUUGGUGGAUCAAGGCUACUCUCAGGAGUUGACUACGAUGAAACUUUUGCUCCUACUGCAAGGUUAGAAUCUAUUCGUUUACUUCUAGCUUUUACUACACAUAAAGGUUUUAAAAUCCUAAUUUUCCUUAUCAUGUUUUCAAACUUUCAAAAUCUUUGUAUGGUCUCAAGAAAGCACCUCGUGCUCCGUGAUGUUUGCGUAAUCAAGACACAACUUUCAAUUCAAGUGUCUACGAUCGUAAAAUUCUCUCUCGAGCACUUACCCCAAAUCAACUCAGUUUCUCUCGAACACCGAGUUGCCACUUUUAAGCACAACCUCUGCCUUAACCCAUUCACUCUCUCGAGCUGAAUGUGUGGGAAAAAGCCUAGGAUUCACUCUCUUGAGCUGAACUCAUGACGACCUAAUAACCACCAGCUAUCGAUUUAGUAGUCUUAGUCUCAAAACCUCUCUCUCGAGCAAGCCAAAAAUACUAAGAUGAAAUCGUAUUUGCAAUUACAAUCCCAUUAAGUUCAAACACAACUACUAAAUGAAAUCACAUUUAAAUAGAAAAUAGACUAACAAUAAGCAAUACCUAACAGGAAAUUUAACCCAUAUUCACAAAAUCACACCCCAAGAAUUGGGGUUUUAGUUAGACAUAGAAAAAAGGAAGAAAAUGAUACCAAAUCGAAGUAACAUCAACUGGGUAUGAUUUAUAUUCACUUCAAUCGAGUCUAAGAUGAAGAAUCUACAACACCCACUUCCAAUUUCUUGGAAUUGGAAGUCUUCAAAUCUUCAAAAGCUAAGCAAAAAUGUUCUCUACUUGAAAACUUAGAAAAAUAAAAUGUUGUCUAUGAAAUUGCAUACUAAGAUAAAAAUUCAAAAUAGUAUUUAUAGUUGUCAAAAAUGUUCUUCGAAGGAUCACUCGGCGCAGUUAGUUGGGAUCGCCGAUGCACUCGGCGAUCCGCCCUUUGGUCUGCUUCAUUGCCUUUCAGCUUUUGCCUUUAGUAUCUUCGUGUUCUGGAUCAUUGGGCGAUAUAAUAUUGCUUCGCGGAACUAUUCAGCGACACGCCGACUACUCCCUUUCAUCGCCGACUUGAUCUUUUCCUUCAGGGCUCAGAACACUGGAACUUUGGGCGAGGUUAAGGCCGUUCGGUGACUCGCCGAAUGCAUUAGGCGAUCCUCAUGCAUUCUUUUCUUCUUCUUUUCUUCAUCUUUUCAGCCGUUUUGUUCCUUUUUGCCAAGUAGUGUCCAUGCCUUGCGUUGAACUCCAAAUACCUGAAACUUACGAAUUUACAUUAGUUAUUGAGACAAAAUAUGCAUUUGAGGACACUAAUUCUAUUAAAAUGAAGCCCUAAAUGAGUUCAAAUGGUGGACUCAUCAACACCCCAAACUUAAACUUUUGCUUGUCCUCAAGUAAAACUCAAGUUCGGCAAUUCAAAAAGGAUGUCUCGAACAGUGCUACACAAGACUCAAUCAUGAAUGCACACACAAGACUCAAUUUACUCAUGCGAAGAUCAAAUGUGCACUCAAAGUUUCAAGUUGUGACACACCAUUAUCAAAAAAUCUCAAGCUCACUAAACUUGCUUAAAAUGCAAGUUCAAGCUCAAGAAAGGAAAUCACAUGCCCUCACACAAAAGAAUGAUUCCGUAUUCUCACACAAUGGUUCAACAAUUUAAAGUUCCAGAAUCAANNNNNNNNNNNNNNNNNNNNNNNNNNNNNNNNNNNNNNNNNNNNNNNNNNNNNNNNNNNNNNNNNNNNNNNNNNNNNNNNNNNNNNNNNNNNNNNNNNNNNNNNNNNNNNNNNNNNNNNNNNNNNNNNNNNNNNNNNNNNNNNNNNNNNNNNNNNNNNNNNNNNNNNNNNNNNNNNNNNNNNNNNNNNNNNNNNNNNNNNNNNNNNNNNNNNNNNNNNNNNNNNNNNNNNNNNNNNNNNNNNNNNNNNNNNNNNNNNNNNNNNNNNNNNNNNNNNNNNNNNNNNNNNNNNNNNNNNNNNNNNNNNNNNNNNNNNNNNNNNNNNNNNNNNNNCUUUUUCUUUCUUUUCUUUCCCUUCUUUUUUUUAUAUGGGGGGUUCCAUUUUUUUCAAAACCAUGGGUUAAAAGAGAUUUUUCUUGCACUUCUUGAGUUGCCUUCUCUUUUCACCACACCCAACUUAGGCUUUUGGCCUAAGUUGGCUAUUCAAUCAACCACAAAUCAAGAGGAUUAUGGGUACUGGAUUUAAGAAAGGUCAUGUUUUCAUCAAGUUCUUUCAAAGAAAGGUAAGGCUCAAGGGGUGUUCAAAAGAGGUUCACAGACUCACAAGGUAGGCCACAAAGGUAUAUGUCAAAUUGACUCACACUCUUCGAAGUUGCCUAAGAUCAUAUCAAGAGACAGCCUUACUUAGUCGACCGGACCAACGGAGAAAAUUCUAGGUGUUAUCAUGCAUGGUUCACAUUAAGCUCAUCACACAAGGCACCGAUACCAAAGUCAAACAAGACUCCACACUUUCUCUAGAGUGCAAUGUUCAUCACAAGAGACUCAAUUCGAUUAUUGGCUAGUCAUAACGAAAUGCAUAGAGUUCACAUAUUGUCUAUGCAACUUCAUUUGGCCUCAUCAUAGCCGCACAUUCAUGUUUGUUCGAUUAUGAGCACUAUUCAAGUCAUCGGUAUUGAUCGCAACCGAUACUCAAAUUUGCAAAAGAACAGCCACAUUCAACACAGAAGGAUUGGCAACAAUUUGCAAAAAAAUUAUUUUGAAAGGGUCAAAAAUCAAAAUCAUUUUCAAUUUAAAAUCAAGGAGCCACAAGCUCAAAGCUUCCAUAAAAAGCAGUGUCAACACAAUUUAAGAAUAAAGCCCAAAAAGAUAAACAAAACAAGAGUCAUAAUCAGCACACGAAGGUGGGCCUCACCCCACCACAAAUAAAAAACAUUUGUCCUCAAAUGCAAAUAAAAAUAUCCAAAGGUGAAAAGAAAUAAAGAAAGAGAUGGAGGUAAAAAGGGGAUCCUGUCUGAGCAGUCGCUCCAUCUAUCUGGGCAUCAGUGCUCGGUGUAUCGGUUUGGACUUGGGUUUCAUUACCCAGAGUCAUCCUAGAAGAGCCAGCUCCACUAGAAACAGCAAACAGUGAAUUUUCCAAGGAGGCCUGCACAACUGCAUCUAUCAUGGCUGCUUUAGUCUCAGUCAGGUCCUCAUCUGCAGCUCCCUCAGUCUCCUUAAACAUCUCCUUAUCUGUCUCUGCCUCUAACUCAGGCUCGACUGUCUUCUCCAUUCUACCCUCAUGUUCGGCGGUAGUUGGAGGCAUCUCGGGCAGAUCUGGAAUCUCCACUGUUCCAAAAACCAUGGACAUAUCGGUGGACUUCAGGUAGUCCACAUAUUUUCUCAGCUGAGCAAUGGCAAAUUUUCAAGCCGUCACCUCCUCGAUGGCUCCUUGACCACGCUCAUACACUGUUAUCCUUGCCGCAAGGGUAUCAAUGGCAGCGCUCAAUGGUGUCACAGCAGCAGUCAAAGCAGCCUUAAUCAUAUCAGUAAUGGAGGUCUCGAGCCUGGCUGCCCGACGAUCCGCAGAAUAGGCUAGCUGUCCCAUUCGAAGUAAUGAUGCCUGGGUGAUCGGAGUCCGGGAGACAACAGCAACAACAGGUCUAGGAGGCAGUACAUCAACAGAAUAACUAGGGGCAUUAGGAGAUACAACACAAGGAGUACCUGAAGGCCCAGGGGCCGUAGUAGGCAAAUAUGCCUCUGCAGGUGAUAAAUCUGUGUCUACAACCGGGGAAGAAUCCACCGGGGCUGCCUUCUUCUUCUGUUCAUCUUGGUCAUUUAAAUAUUCUGCCUCGAUCCUCCGGAUAUCGGUAGAGGAUGUGGGAAGCACUUCCACAUCUUUCUUGGCAUCUCUAGGCACCCGAGCUCGUAUGCACAGCUCGGUGAUCAAUACCGGGAAGGGAAGUGAGGUAUGGCGCUGCCUUGCACGCAUGAGUUUCUCAGAAACAAUGAUCCUUCCCAGGCUUAGCUUUGUUCCCUUGAUGAGGCAACCUAAGCAAGCUCUUUUUGCAUGGCGAAGGAUAGAUUCAUUAUGUGAAGGCAUGACCGUGUUGUUGAUGAAGUCAAACCAAUACCUUGCUGCCACAUUUAGGUCAUUCUUCUCGAUAAUUGCACCAACCUCAAGCCACUUAGGAGUUUCGUCUGAUAUUAACGGGGCCAACCAUUCUUUCAUAUCCUCCAGUGACGUCUUGCUGAUCAUAAUCUGACAGUUGUCCUCAAGUGUCGUGGUGCAUCCCAAAACGACAUUUAUAGCAGGAGAGUCACAUUGCACAUUUUUUCCCAUGACAACUACAUACUCAACCGGGUUAAAUGUAGUUGCCGGCUUCUUCCCACGUGGUAUCAAUGCACUGUACGCGCUGUAGAACUCUCUGACUUCUGAUGAUGUUGGUGCCUUGCUUUUUCCUUUUCCCUUUCCACCAGUUGUAGAAAUUUUUGUAGCCUUUCCUUUUGAUAUAGAUGCACCUUUGUUGAUUUUAAUCCCUUUUGCCUUAUUGCGGGGUGGCAUCUUUCUACCUGCAACUUUGGGUCUAGCCAUGUCUGCAAUACAUCGGGAAACAAUUCACUCAGAAGAGCAUACAAUCAGUAGUAGCAGAUAGAUUCACCGAACCAGUUGGCGAGUCGCUGAAUCUCUUUGGCAAGCUGGAUCAGGCUCGCAGAAGGAUUGGCUCAAAAGUUUUAGCAAGUCGGCAAUGGGAGUGACCUUGCGGCGAAUCGCCGACUACUUUCGGUGAGCAAGGGUUUGUCCACCAAAAGUUACAGUGCAGCAAGGAUUUAGAGGUGCAGACAAAUGGCGAUCAAGAAUACUUUCGGCGAGUCACCAAGCGCUUUCGGCGACGUCAUUCUUUUCGCCGAAAGUUACAGUAUUCAACUAUCAAAUAAAGCAUGAACUUAAAUUUAAGAUGGGGACAUUAGGUGAACCGCCGAGUGGUUCGGCAAGCUCGACUUAGCUCGCCAACUGGCCCAACGUACUUAUUUUCAACCCAACUUCUCAAAUUCGACCCCGCAACCCUCGAAAACAAAAUUAACACUUGCACUAGCGAAAUUAAACUAAGACCCAUGACACUCAUCAUCCCGAGAUACUCAAAUUUCUCCCGAUUCUGCCAAACUAAACAACAUGCAAGCACAACCAUACAAAAUUUAAUCAUUUAAACGCACAAGCAUACGGGAUAUCAAAAAUCAAGAUAAAAUGGGCAAGAUUCUUCAAUUAAGAUAGGCGUUUGAACAAUCUAACACUAUCAGAGAGGCCCAACACACGACAAUACAAUAAUAUCAUUUGCAUAAGAGAACAAAUUACUAACAAUAAGUUCGGGGUUCGGAAGACCAACCUUUGGUGCCAAUUAAAUUACUUUGAAUUGCUAGGCGGCAAUGAAAUCCAACUCCGAGCACAGAUCAACACUAAUAAUACUCUAAAAACUCAAAAAAUAUAGAAACUACAGUUCCGGUGUGAGUUUGGGCAAGUAAAAUGUGAGGGAAAGUGAAAGGAUUUGAAAUUUAAAUCAUUGGCUCUCUUUAAGACCGUCCAAUUUUUGCUCACUUGGCGAUAUUAUUCACAUUCGCCGAGCUACUCGGCGACCCGCCGAGUGGUCAUUUAUCCCACCGAGUUUUACAGGACCUCCAAUUUAUGUGGGGAUCCAAAUGGCGGACUUUGUCGCGAUCGCAGACCAGGUUGGCGACUCGCCAAGUUGCUCCUGGGCUCGCCGAGUUUUACAGGCUCCAAGUUAAAAUUACUUUGAGCCAGACGAUGGACCAAGUAAAGAACACCAACCAAUUUAGCGAUUCACCGACUGGAUUAUUCGUUAGCCAAUUUUACAUUUUUUCUACUUUAAUUUGCACAAUCAGCACAUCAUUAUUUCUAGAAUAACAAUUUAAAGCGAUAAAACCUUGGGUUGCCUCCCACGAAGCACCUUAGUUAAUGUCGUGGCACGACACAUGACCUUACUCAAACUCCAUUAUUGGGUUAGCCCUAGUGUCACUAGGUAACCCCAAUUGCUCAUUUGGGUGGGGAUGAGGCACUACAUGACUCAUGAGUGUUUCAAUCAGUUGGAUAGAUAUCAAGUGAGAGCCAAUCAUUUGAUUUAACACUUCAAUAUUCUCCUUCUUCUCCUCUAGCACUCUAUCUUGCUCAGUGAUCUUUUGGAGAAUGAUUAGUAGUGUAUCCUCGAUACGACUGUUCUCACUUUCUUUAGACUUUCUCCACUCAUGAGGGGGUAUGUACCUCCAUUUUCUUUUGCACUGAACUUCUAUCUCUGAUAUUUUUGUGGCCAAAUCGUCCAGCUGAGUUACCAGUGCAGCUAACAUGAAGUCCCUCUCGACUCCUUGGUUCGUCUCAGCUAAUUUGCCACCAAUUCUAUCGGCUAUGCUUCAAGUAUCUUCUUAUAAUGGCAACGCAAGAAAAACAAAACUAAAAAUUAAAUAAGUAAACUAUGACUAUCAAAAGCGAAAUUUGACUCAACUCGAAAUUCUAAAGUAACACCACUCCCCGGCAGCGGCGCCAUUUUGAUGUUUGCGUAAUCAAGACACAACUUCUAAUUUAAGUGUCUGCGAUUGUACAAUAGUAAUAUAACCCAACCGAAUAAGUUGGGGUCGAGUCCCAAGGGAGCGGUUUCUGAGAAUUAAGAGUUAAGCGCGAAUAUGCUAGAGUUAACCAUAGCUAAAAACAUUAUUGAGUAAAAACAUAAUAAAUUAAGGGGUUGACACGAAUGUCAAUUAUCAAUGGGGGGUUUGAAGUCGAUUAACAACUAAAACAACGAAAACAAAAAGAUGCGAAUAUAGGAGACGAGAUUCUUGGGAUGUGAUAGGAAUAUGGGAUAAACUAAACAAUAGGGUAAAUGCUAUUGAUAAUCAAUUGCUGAACAUUUGUAACUAGGCUAGACUUUAGUGGGGUAAAUUCUCUCUCGAACAACUUACCCCGAAUCAACUCGAUUUCUCUUAAACACCGAGUUGCUGCAUUUAAGCACAGCCUCCGCCUUAGCCCAUUCACUCUCUCGAGCUGAAUGUGUGGGAAAAGGCCUAGGAUUCACUCUCUCGAGCUGAACCCAUGACGACCCAAUAACCACCGACUAUCAAUUUAGUAGUCUUAGUUUUAAAACCUCACUCUCUAGCAAGCCAAAAACACUAAGAUGAAAUCGUCGUAUUUGCAACUACAAUACCAUUAAGUUCAGACACAACUACUAUACGAAAUCGCAUUUAAACAGCAAAUAGACUAACAAUAAGCAAUACACAAUAGGAAAUUUAAACGCAUAUUCACAAAAUCACAACCCAAGAAUUGGGGUUUUAGCUAGACAUAGAAAAAAGGAAGAAAAUGAUACCAAAUCGAAGUAACAUCAACUGGGUAUGAUUUAUACUCACUUCAAUCGAGUCUAAGAUGAAGAAUCUUCAACACCCACUUCAAAUUUCUUGGAAUUGGAAGUCUUCAAAUCUUCAAAGCUAAGCAAAAAUGUUCUCUACUUGAAAACUUAAAAAAAUAAAAUGUUGUCUCUGAAAUUGCAUACUAAGAUAAAUAUUCAAACUAGUAUUUAUAGUUGUUAAAAAAUGUGUUGCGAAGGAUCACUCAGUUCAGUUAGUCGGGAUCAUUGAUGCACUCGGCGAUCCACCCUUUGGUCUGCUUCAUCGCCUUUCAGCUUUUGCCUUCAACAUCUUCGUAUUCUGGAUCAUUGGGCGAUAUAGUGUUGCCUCGCGGAACUAUUCGGCGAUACGCCACUGCUCCCUUUCAUCACCGACUUGAUCUUUUCUUUCAGGGCUCAGCACAUUGGAACUUUGGGCGAGGUUAAGGCCGUUCGGCGACUCGCCGAAUGCAUUAGGCGAUCCUUAGGCCUUCUUUUCUUCAUCUUUUCAGCCAUUUUGUUCCUUUUUUCCAAGUAGUGUCCAUGCCUUGCCUCAAACUCCAAAUACCUGAAACUUAAAGAUUUACAUCAGUUAUUGAGACAAAAUAUGCAUUUGAGGACACUAAUUCUGUUAAAAUGAAGCCCUAAAUGAGUCCAAAUUGUGGACUCUUCACUCGAUAUGAUCGUCUUAGCAAAUUCCUUAUAAAUCAUGGUUUUACCCGUGGAAAAAUUGACAACUCUUUUUAUUAAAAGAUCCUCCUCUGAGAAGCUUAUUAUUCAAAUUUUUGUUGAUGAUAUUAUCUUUGGAAGCGCUAAUAUCUCCUUGUGUGAAGAAUUUUCUAUCUUUAUGCAAAGUGAAUUCAAAAUGAGUAUGAUGGGUGAAUUAACUUUUUUUCUCGGACAACAAAUCUAUCAAUCUGAGAAAGGUACGUUCCUUAGUCAAACAAAGUCCUGCAAAGAGCUCAUUCAAAAGUUUGGCAUGGAAAACUCAAAGUCACUAGGCACUCCAAUGAGUUCUACAUGUUCUCUUCACAAAAAUGAUGAAGAUAAGAUGGUCGAUGAAACUAAGUAUAGAGGUAUGAUUGGAUCUUUACUCUAUCUCACUGCCAGUCGACCAGAUAUCAUCUUUAGUGUGUGCAAAUGUGCCCGGUUUCAGUCAGCCCCUAAAGAAUCUCAUUUAACAGCGGUAGAGCGUAUUAUUCGUUAUUUAGUUGGAACAACAUCCUUUGGUUUAUGGUAUCCAAAAGAAAAAAUAUUCUUUCUUGAAGGAUUUUCUGACGCUGGCUAUGCAGGUGAUAAAGACGACAGAAAAAGUACUAGUGGUACAUGUCAAAUUCUGGGGAAAUCAAUAAGUUCUGGAAUAGAAAAAAGCAGGGCUCUGCCUCUCUUUUUCUUUUGACUACUGAGGCUGAAUAUAUUUCCAUUGGUCAAUGAUGUGCUCAAAUUUUGUGGAUGGUUCAUCUAUUAAGUGAUUAUGAUAUGUCUUUCUAACCUGUCAAAAUUAUGUGUGAUAAUUCUAGUGCCAUUUGUCUGUCAAAAAAUUAUGUGCAUCAUUCUCGAGCUAAGCAUAUUGACAUCAAACAUCAUUUUAUUCUAGAUCAUGUUUUAAACGGUGAUGUUGAAAUUUCGUUUAUUAGCACUGAUUUUCAACUAGCUGAUAUUUUUACAAAACCUCUUUUAGAGGAAAGAUUUUGUUCUCUCCGAAAAUCUUUAAAUAUCAUUGAGAAUCCUGUACUUUGUUAACAUUGUUGUGUGCAUUAAUUGAUUGCUAUUUUUCAUAUAUUUUCUGCCGCCUCGUAUAUUGUGUUUUCCUUCUAUUCCUUACUUUCCUUCUAUUUAUGCCUCUUUAUUUACGUCGUCUGCUUGUACUUGAUUUAAUCCAUCUCUUCGUUUAUCUCUUUAAGUCUUGUCAUGUCUCUUCCUCUUCCCCUCUCCUUCUUUUUAUAUCUUUCUUUCUUGUCUCUUCUUUAUCUCUCAUUCUUCUUCUACUUCCCUUUCUCUACAAUGGCAAAGAAUUCUGCAGCCACUCGCAAGAGCACUCGCAACAAAGGCAAAGGAAAGGUGUCCGCCUCUAUUUUCAUCGACUCCGACUCUGAUGAUCUUUCCAAGCCUCCGUCGCUUCCUCCCUAGGUAAACUCCCUGAUAAAUCCUUUGAUUGUGGGUCUUCCAAAAAGAAAUUCAAAUUCGAUUUCGACAGUUCUCUUGAUAAGAAGGUGGACUUUUGAACUCAUCUCAUGAAUCUCUUUUCCACUCUUUGAAAGACAAAACCCUUGUGCAUGGUAGGGUUGUUGAUCUUGAUUUUCUUUCCUCCCUAGACUGCCAUAUCAAAAAUUUGCUUGAGCUUCAGGGUUGGGCCAAAAUUUUCUCUGUGCCCAUGGUCAUUUAUGAGCCCCUUAUCCGUUUGUUUUAUGCUAAUAUUCGUUCCCCAAAGCCUGCUGAAAUUGAGUCCUUAGAGUUGGGUAAGCGAUUUUUUCUUGAUUGCAGAAAGUUCGAUUCUAUGUUUAGGAUUUCGUGCUAUGGGAUUAUGGUCCCUCAAAAGAACUGUUGGCCCUCUGACUGUGAUGUUUUGACCAAGCAAAGCAUGAAAUUUUUCUUGACCACUCUCAGCCCAUCCCUUCCCAGCUAGGGCCUAAGGAUCUCCCUUUCGAGACUCGUAUGAUUGCUCAUAUUAUUGCUACCACCCUCCUUCCUAGGGCUGGUUCUCAUUCUAUGCUUAGUCAACGUGAUACUCUAUUUGCGUAUUGUUUGGUUUCUGGUGUUAAAGUGUAUUUAUCUUCCUUUAUCAUCUCCUCUAUGACGGACGUCAUACCUGAUCCUUCUAGUCUUCCAUUUGGCAUGCUUAUCACUCACAUCUUUGAGUCACACUUUAUGUGCUUAGGAGACUUUGCUCCAGUUCUGAUUAAACAGAGGUAUAACUCCUGUGCUUUUAUUAGCAUGGGUUUUACUCGUUCUGGCUCCUCAAUACUGAUUCGGAUACAUUGGCUGCUACCCUGUGAAAUCUAAACCCUCUUCCUCCACAUCUGUGUCGACUACUAAACUCAAUGCCGCCUUGGAAAUCCUUGCUGAGAUGCACACCAAGUUGGAUGCUAUGGCCAUCACUGCUGCUCAAGUUACUGAUCUCAUGACCAAGCUUUCUGCUAUAAGCGAGCAAGUAGACUCUCUGAAGGAUCUCCUGUUGUAAGCCCAUUUCAAAAUCGACAGUGUUAAGGAUGUCACGAAGGAAACAGGUGCUGAUGUUGCUCGUCUUCGUCUCAGGUAGGAUCAAAUCGUGAAGGAAGCCAACAAGAUUGCUACUAAAGUUCAAGUUGGAUCUAAAGCCAUAUCCUCCUCGCUUUCCUCCAUAUUUGAAGAGAUGUUGACUGCUAUUGUCAACACCUUGACUUAUUUCCUGCAUCCUCAUUGAUUUCCCUGUGAUUCUAUUUUGAACUGCUUUUGUUUUGAGCCUAUGGCUUCUCUUAAGACUCUCUGAUGUUGUUUAAGUUUUUUUGAAACUCUUUAUUCUUUUCUUUUUGCUGAUGCCAAAGGGGGAGAAUUAAUUAUCUUAUUAUGCUAUCAGUGUUUGUGAUGCUUAUGGUUGGUUUGUGAUUCUCUGUAUUGACUCUAUUUGUGUGUCUCUAUUGAGAUCGUUGGUUGUAUUAUCUGCAUAACAUAGAAAAACUUUUGCAUAUUUUCAGGGGGAGCAAGUUGAAAACUCAGGUCCACUGGUCAACUACCUUUUUCCACAUUCAGGGUGAGCAAAUCAACUACCAGUUAUAUAAGUCGACUAUAAUAGGGAAGCAUAUCUACUAUAUGUUGUCAUCAUCAAAAAGUGGGAGAUUGUUAGAGCAAAAUUUCAAUGAUGAACAACUUAUUUCCUUGCAUGACAAACGUAUCAUCAAAAAGGAAAAGAAUCAAUCAUGGAUCCCCAUGAAUCAAGUGAAAGAUUAACCAAUCAAGCAUUCUGAUUGUUGAAUAUCAAUAAGGAUCCAAAUGAAGUUCCCCAGAAAUCACAGAUUAUAAAAGGAAGAACUAAUCAAGGAAGCUGCUCUAAUCAAGUAAGGUGAAUAAAUCACAGUUCACAAAGGAGCUAAUCAAGGAAAGCUGAAUAUCUCGACAACCAGUAAUGAAGAACUCAACGGCUAUAUUCCAACCAACAUCCCAGGGAAACUGAAGAACUCAAACGGCUACUUCAACAACCAAUCAAGUAAACUACAACGACUACAAUUAACAGUAAAUCAAGGAUGUUGAACAAAAAUAAAGACUGAAAAUCAGUCUUGUGCCUCAUUCUUGGAAAAUAAGGAUUCCUUGCCUUUUUUUCCAAGGAUCAAAAUCUCUUGGGUUGAUAUCUCAUUGCUGAAACAAUUCAAGACUUCAAACAAUAUAAAUGAAGACUCAACUAUCAAACGAAAGUGUACAACAAGUCUGAAUCAUCUCACAUUCUCUACUAUACUUUUAUCAAGCAAUGUAUUACCUAGUUCUACUGUGUAAACAAAAAAGAGAUGAGAGAAAAAUAUUGUUGGUGAGGCUUUGUAUCAAAACAAAAAAAAGGAGUGGAACAAAAACUGAGUGUAGAGUGUUUACACUUAUCUCUGUACUCACACCAAAAGUUCAAAAAAGCUUGAAGAGAACACCCUUGCAACACAAGGGGACUGGACGCAAGAUCCACAUUGGAUCCCAAACAGUAUAAAAACAUCCUGUGUCAAGUUUACUUUUAGCAUUUGAUUACUUUCAUGUGUUCAACAGUCGACUAAGGAACACUUUAAGUCGACCACUCAUAAGAAAAAUAAAAAAAAAUAGCAAUUCACCCCCCCCCUUGCACUUUUAAAAAUGACUUAAAAUAAGUUAGGAAGUAUUUGACAAGGUUAAAAAAUGACUUAAAAUAAAUCAAAAACCAAAAAUAGGUCUUCCCUUACUUUUUAUUUUUGACUUAAAAGUCAAAAACCGAACGAGCUCUUAUUCACCUAUUCUAGUCUAUGUAUAUGUAUAUACCCUUUACAUAGUUUGGUUCACAACAAACUAUUAAUAUGGAAAGAUAAAAGGAGCCAGUGUUCUACUAUUUUACAACCUUUACCAAUUUUUAUCUAAUGAUUGUUUUAAUACAAUCUAAACAAAAAAGUUAUUAAGUUUAUUAAAAUGUGUACCUAAUUCUAUAGCUUUACGCCUAUCCAACGGAUGGUUAUUAUGUGUAAAUAUAAAGAGUGAAGUGCUGAAAACGUCCUCAAACUUAGUUCAAAUUAUUAGUUUUGUUGAUGAACUAUGCCUAGUGGCUAGUACUUAGACAAUCAAUAGACUUAACUAAAUGAACUUAAACAUAGGAAUGGCAAUGGGGUGGGACGGGACGGUUGUGGGGCAAACCCACAUAAAUCCGCUAAAAUUAUAACCCGCCCUACCCCGCCCCGCAUAGCAUCAUUCAUUGGUUUCAACCCACCCCGCCCCGCACCUCAUAAUUUGUAAAAUGUUUCAAAUAUUGAAUGAAAUAAGUGUUUAACCAAAAAAUUUAAAUUAUUUUAAUUGCUUCAUGUAUUUUUAACCUCUAAAAUUAAUAUGUUAUACUAUUCCAAACGGUCAGUAAUUCUUUUUGUUAAUAAUUUUGAAUUGAUUACCUAUGACGUAAUAAACAAAUUAUUGAAUGUAGUAAAAAAGAAACAAAAUAUGUCAACAAGUUUUGUUUUCCUUUCUAAUUUAUUGGCCAUUCAAAAACAUUUUUUAAUCUGAAAGGUUAAAAAAAACACCAAACAGUGACAAAACAAAUCAAAAACUGAUGCAAAAGUUAGUGUAGAUCAGCGAAUUUAAAAGAUUUUUACCUUAAACCCAUGCCCCGCCCCGCCCCGCGAGAAUUUUGAAAAUAUAUAUUUAAACCCUCCCUACCCGGCCCAAACCCCCAAAAACUAUAACCCGCCCUACCCCUCGAACGAUGAAACCCGCCUUGCCCUACUCCCGCCCCACCCCAUUGCCAUCCAUACUGAAACAGCCCCCCCCCCCCUAUCUGUCCCUUGAGCCAUGACAUAGAAAAUUGUCUUAACCACACUUUGUACGUGUGAGAUGCUUAUGAAAAAUGCCACAUAAGCAGCCAACGGUUAAAAACCUCAUUUUUUACAUAAACCAAACUUUAAUCCAAUUUUUAUUUUUAUUUGUACAUUUUUAAAAAAUCAAAUUAGCUUUAUAUAUAGACAUUUGUAUUUGCACUGAUUUGACAUUUCUCUCCUUUAACUUCACGGAAUUUCAUCUGACAUUUGGAUUCAAUUUCAUAAUCCCUAGUCCUUAAUUAUUUGUCAAAUAUUUUCUAAUUUGAUUUCUUUUUUUACUUGUCAUUUUUGACAAAUCAAGGAAAAUUUUCUUUUACUUAUUAUAUUCUGAAUUUAUGAACAUUAAGUUAAUGUCUUUGAAAACUAUAGUGAAUAUAUAUUUGAGACUCUAUCAAUUAAUAGGAGUAAAAUGGUAAAUUCGUUAUACCAAGCAUUAUUUUCUUAAUAAAUGUGUCAAAUCAAAUUUUAACGAAUAAAAACGAAGGAGUAUACUUAAUAUUACUAUACAAAUUGAUAUUUCUCAGUUGUCACUUAUCAACUACUAUUAAUUAUAAUCUUUACACAAAUAACACAUCAGAUCCACUUCUAUUUAUUUAUUUUAUCCAAAACAUAGAGAUUAUAUAUUAAUUAUACAUAAUUAAACACAUUAUAUAGUUGUCUACUAUUUUUAAUUUAAACGAUUGAAUAUACAGUUAUUUAAAUUAUUUCUUCAAUAUGAAAUUAUGUUGCCAUAUAUAUCAUGAAAAAAUAUAUAAUCAAUCAUGGUUAAGGUCUAGAUUUUAUUCAUUAAUUUCAAAAAAUAAAAUACAUUUUUCGUUCAAAUUAGAACUUGGAAAAACGGAGAAAAUACAAAAUAGAGAGGAACCAAAUCUUAUGCAUUACUGGUUAGAUUUUUCCUUUUCCUCAUCAGUCAUAAAAGCAGUAAUGGGAUAAGACCUUCCAAAUCCCAUAGAAGUUUUUAAAUAAAUCUUCUUUUGAUCUUUAUUAAUACUCAUCUCAACCGCAGGUACCCUAAGAAGUAGUUGUUUACCCUUAACACCACUUAUUUUUUUCAUUUUACCUGUCGAGAUAUAAUAUACUAUAAUUUAAUAAGUUUUUUCAAAUAAUUUAAAUUUUUAUAUGAAAUGACAUGCAAUAUAAUUAUAAUUAAAAAUACGUUCUUUCAAAUAUCUUAAACUGUUUGGUAUUGUUGUUGGGAGAAUUAAGGUGUUAGGUCAAUCAAUAUAAUUAUUUUUAAAUGGAAGAAAAAAUUGUUUUUCUAAUAUUGGGAAGAAGCUAAAAAAAAUUGAUUCUUAAAAAAAGCAAAAUAGUCUUGCCAUAUAUGCAUAUUUAGUUAUUUACUAAUAUAUUCCCUUAUAUUUAUUUAUUUUUAUGGUGAUUUAAUUUAUGAAAUUGUUUCUCAAUUUAUUUUGCUUGAUAUUUUUAAUUAUACUUAAAUCAUCAUGUUAAUAAUACAUCAAUUUUUCAAAAUUCAGAGGAGACGAACUGAACAGAUGAAAAGAUAAGUUCAGUAAUGGUUAAUUGGCCAAAGUUUCUUUCGAAGCAAUAGAGAUCCAAGCAUACUAUAUUUAGCACAAAAAUACCUCUUAUUUCUCCUUUAGUUCUCCUUUUUUAUCAAUUUUUCGUACUCAUUUUUCUCCCUCUCUCUUGUAGCCACCACUUUCUCCAUCAGUUGAAAAUCUAUAUCAAAUGAAAAUAGACCAAAGUAUAAGCAUGUGCAAAUUGUGAUAAAAGUCUAUUGUUUAUUUAGAAAAUUAGAAGAGCUUUGUUCUUUUUUUCAAUGAGUCAAUCGAUCAAUUCUCAUUAGGGGAGUUCCUUUAAAUUUGCAACGUCAAGGCAACCAAAGAGUAUAGUUAUCUUUUAUAUUAUCAGUGUAAAAGUUGAAUUCUACAAUGGGACCCAACACAAAAAAAUUGUUUGUAUAAAUAAUAAUAAACUAUCACUAAAAAAAUUCAUUCAAUUAUAAAUCACAAUUAUAAGGGGAAAAAAGAGGACGCUCAAGAAGUUAUUAGUAACAUCCUCUGCUUUUGAAAUCUAUUAUAUAUAAAAUUUUAGACUAUUCAAUAUGUCACGGAGUACUCUUCAGAUUUUUGUACAUGUGAACUUUUUAGUGCAGACAUUACUACUUGUUCUCGCAAAUUAUCGGAAAGUGUACACACCAAAGAUUUGAAUCUGUAUAAUACAUAUUUUUACACUAAAUUUCACAACAUACAUAAUUCAUUGCCUACAAUGCACAUAAUGCUACAACAGAAAGAUUAUUAAAUAACAUACCUCGAGGAGAAUUUGAGUUAACAGUUUCUUUGAUUUUCAUAGAUACUGCCCUAUUGGAGAUCAAUUUAACCCAUCACAUUCCUUGCUCUCCAUUGAAUCUCUGUCUCUGAAUAGACGGAGAGAAAGAAUAGAGUAGAUGAUCAGAUCUAAAAUCACUCUCACAUCUCGAAAGAUGUUUGAUAACCUACAAAGAGGAAAAACAACAAUGCAAACAAAAAAAGACAUUGUUAGAAAAGAAAUUCAAUUAACAAAGUAAUCACUCCUAAAGGUUAACUAAAAAUACUUGAUGAAUCCAACCAUUCUGGCCUUAUUUCAAUAUAAAGCAACAUCAAAACUAUUUUCAACUUUUUCACAUCUGAAUGAACUCGAAGCACGAAUAAUUAAGCACUGAAAAUUAAAUCUAUGACAAAAGUAAGUUAAAAGUGUUUCAAUAUAUAAUACAACAAAAAUAAAGAGAACUUGUCUCCUAAAUUAGGCCUACUAAAUUCAAAGCUAAAACACAACACUCCUCCGAAAAACAAGUCAUUACUAUAGAACUACAUACAAUUUUCAUCAAGCAAACAACUUAAUGACGACAUUAGCAUUCAUCAAUCAAGUAUCAGACAUUACUUAUCCAGAAAUCAUCUUUAUACUUGUUAGAAUUUAGCAUUUGUAUCAAAACAUAGAAAAGAUAGCAAUUGAUACACAAGAAAAUGUAGAAAGAUAUAGCAAACUGAUUAUAUUAACAACAACGAUAGUUAGGAUUUCUUUAAUGUGGAACACAUGCCUACACAAUCAAGACUAAGGAGAAUGAGACAUUAACGUAAAAUUUUACAGGGACACAUAUAGCAAUGUAAUUCUGGUUUUUUAAACAGACAUCAAAUUAAAGAGUCAAAACCUCUAGUAGUAGUUGUUUUUAAAAGAAAAUCUCUUCUAGCAUAGCACAAGCAACGUCUGUCUCUUCUGGACGUCAACCUAACAACACAUUUAGCCUGGAUUUCAAUCAUAUUACUAAAUGCAACAGGUGAAGAUCCUUCCGAAGGAAAAAGGUAUUUCCAUGGGGGAAAAUUGCAAUCCUCAAGUCUAGAGAUAUUAUAAUAUAAUGUAGGCACACUCAUCGACAAAAAUGACUAUCGGCCAAGUCAUUCGGAGAGCCCGACUUACUUCACCAAGUGACUCUUUGCAGCACAUUUUUGGCAACUAUAAAUACAUUUUUGAACAUUUUAGUUUAGUAUCAUUAUUCAUUAUCAAUUACUCUUUAGAACAGUUUUUAUUACGUUUUGAACUGGGAGACAAGUUUUCUCUAGUUUUCCUUUAGCUUAUAAGAAUUGAAGUUUUCCACUUUUGAGAAAUUGGAAGUGGGUCUUUGAGAUUCUUCGAUUUGGACCUUUGUAAAGACGAAAUCAAUCUUACCCAGUUGAUGGAAACUCAAUUUGGUAAUGAUUUUUAUCUUUUUAUGAUGUCUAGCUAAAACCCCAAUUCUUGGGGUGUGAUUAUGUGAUUAUGGGUUGAUUUAGGUUAUGAGUAUUGCUAAUUGUUAGCUUAAAUGCAAUUUAGAAGUGAGUUCCAUCAAUAAUUAUUGUUUAAUUUUUAAUAAUUGUAGUUGCAAAUGCAGUUAUACCCUUGUGUUUUUGGCUUGCUCGAGAGAGAGGUUCUAAAACUAAGAUUAUUGAUUGAUGGUGUAUGGGUAUUGGGUUGUCAUGGGUUCAGCUCGAGAGAGUGAAUCCUAAAUCCUUUUCCACACAUUCAACUCGAAAGAGUGAAUGGACUAAGGUGUGGGCUGGUCUUAUUUUGCAUGUUUGUCGAUGUUCCUGAGAAAUCGACUUGAUUCAGGGUAAAUUGUUCGAGAGAAAGUUUACCUCCUCUAUAAUCUAUCUUACUCACUAAUAUUUGACUAUUUUCUAAUAGUUGCAAUUACCCAUUUGUCUAUAUUAGCCUAUAAUCGAAUCACAUCCCAAAAACUCGUCUCAUUAUUGUUAAUUCGUAUUGUUUGCUGCUAUUAUAGUUGAUGAUUUCAAACCAAAACCCCCCAUUUGACAUCGUGUCACUCCCUGAUUUGAAAGAUGUCUUUAUUCGAUAAUUUCUAUUCCUAUGACUGAUUUGACCAUAUUCACACUUUCCUAUUGAAUCUUAAACACGUACCGCUCCUUGUGGGUUUCGACCCCAACUCAUUUAGUUGGGUUAUAUACUGAUUAAUGAUCGUUGAUGCUUAGAAUUGGAUCAAGUGUCUUUGAUAACGUUAUUCAAUCAAAAUGGCGCCGUUACCGGAGAGUGGUGUUGUUUAAGAUUCUUUUGGUGAAGUUGAAUUUUGUUCUUUUUAGUCAUUGUUGAAUCUACUUACUUUUAGUUUUGGUUUGUAUGUUGCUUGUUUAGAACAGAAGAAAGGAGCAUGUCUUAUAGCAACGGUAACCACGUGGAGCUCCCUCUUUCAAAAAUGAUGAUUCUUAGGGAUAACAUCCUAAGUUUCAGGUAAUUAGAAGGUUAGUCAAUCCAUGAGUUGUGGCUGAGAUUUAAGACACUAUUGCUGCAAUGCCACUCAGCCAUACCUCCAAGUUGUUGAUCGGAAUGGAAUUGGAUGUUCCGGGUUUGGUUGGUUGCCCGAAGGAAGAGGGUGACUUAAUUUCACUCUUUAUCAUCCCUUACUACUCCCCAAUUCCCAUCAAGUGUUGUCUUAUUUCCCAAUCCAAUUAGACACCACGUGCUUUAGCAAGAAAAUCCAACUCAUGGAAUCCCAGAUAAGAUGCUACUAGAUUGCUUCUAUAGAGGUCUUGGUCCUGAGAAUAGAGGAGUGGCUGACCAAAUUUCUCCAGGUGGUCUCACACAACUACCCUAUGCAAUAGCAGCCCAACUCCUUGAUCGCGUGGCCAAGACCAACAAUGGGACAGAGAAGGACCAGGUCUUGGCCACACUAUUGACUCAACUGGAUCUCUUGGCCAGAGAGAUCAUGGAAUUGGAAGUACCGUACCAAAAGAAAGAUAGGUACAUUCCCCCUCAUGAGCGUAGAAAGUCCAAUGAGUACGAGGGUGGACAAGUAGAAGAGAUACUCUCACUCAUUUUCCACAAAGUCGAAGAACAUGGCAGAGUGUUGAGAGAGAUAAAACAGAAUGUCCCACUGAUGAAUCAGAUGACUGCUUCCCAUUCCAUAUCUAUUCAGCUACUGGAGACCCAAAUGGGUCAUGUGUUGUCUCAUCUCCACCCAGGAGUGAAGUUUAAGUGGGGACUUGCGUCGUGCCACUAUGUUAACUAAGGCUCUUCAUGGGAGUCAACCCAAGUUUUAUUGCUUUCUUUUUUGUUUUUUGAAAUAAUCGUGUGUUGAUUGUGCAGGUUGAAGUGUAGAAUGUGUUUGAAAAGUGAAGGUUGGCGAACAAAAUGUCCAAUUAGUGACUUGCUGAAGAGGUCGGUGAGUCCGACUUGGACCGUCGUUGGACUCAAGAAAUUAUGAAGUUGGAGUCUGUAAAACUCGGCGAGCCCGUGGACAAGUCAGCGAAUCACCGAACUGGUUGGCGAUCGCGAAUUUGUCCGUCAUUUGGACCCCCACAUUAACUGAAGGUCCUGUAAAACUAGGCGAGGUAAGUGACUACUCGUCAUGUCGCCGAGUGGUUCGACGACGAAAAUUAAUGUCGCCUAAAGGGCAAGAAUUGGACGGUUUUUAAAAGGCCAAAGGUUUAAAAUUUCAAACUCUUUCACAUUCCCUCACUUUUUAACUUCAUACAAUCACACCCACACUAUAUUUGUCUACAUUUUUGUGUUUUUACCGCUUCCUAGUCGUCAAUCUUGUGUUUGGAGUUGGAAAUCUUUGCCGCCUAGCAUUUCAAAUUAUAUAUUCGGCAUUAAAGGUUGGUUUUCCGAACCCCGAACUUGCAUUUAGCGAUUUUACUCAAUUGCAAUUGUUUUGUUCUUAGUGAUGUGUGUUGAGCCUCUCUGAAUUCAUAUAUGUAUGUUUGCUUGCCUUUUUUAAUUUUGAUAUCAUGCAAUAAUGCCUAAGUUGAUAAUUUCCUAAGUUUUGUGCUUUAAAAUUGAUCGAAAUCUUGUUUGGUUGUGCUUAAUUGUGUUGGGUCUAGUCGGGUGAAGUCUGUGUAACCUAUAAUUGUGCUAAAUGAUGCACUUUGCCCGAUGAUGGAGCGUUUGACGUCAUUCUUAAGGGCUUAAGUGGUCAAAUGGCCAAUUUUGGCUAAAUCGGGGAAAAUCUUAGUACCCCAUUGGCAUGGGUCUUAUGGGUCUGAGUCUAAUUGAAUAAGUGCAUGGUUUGAUUGUUUUUGGGGGAUGCGGGGUUGAUUUUGGAAGUCGGGGUAGAAAGUAGGAACGUUGGGCAGUUUGGUGAGUUGGGUCGAGCUCGCCGAACCACUCGGCGGUUCGUCGAAUCCCCCUUGAUCACCUUUAAUUUCAUGCGAAUGUUGAGUUUUGGUUCUGUAACUUUUGGCGAGAAGCCUGAGUUCACCGAGUGCACUCGGCGACUCGCCGAAAGUCUUCUUUGAUCACCAUUUCUGCUCCCCUAACACUUAAAAUACACUGUAACUUUUGGCGGGCUUGUCUUUGCUCAUCGAAAGCUGUCGGCGAUUCGCCAAAAAACCCCUCCCAUCGCCAACAUGCUAAUUUUUGAGCUAAUCCUUUCGGCGAGCUCGAUUUGGCUCGCCAAAGUGAUUAGGUGACUCGCCAAUCGGUUCGGAGAAUCUGUCUGCAAUAUGAUUUUUAUGAUUUUUCUUGAAAUGUUUCUAACUUUCUACGAUGUUUUUGCAGAUAUGGCUAGACCAAAAAUGGCAGGUAGACACAUUCUGCCCCGCAAGAGGGCUAUGUGAAUCACAAUUAAUGAGGAUGCAGCUGCAUCCAUGGCAAAGGCUACCAAACUUCCCACCACAGGUGGGAAGGGAAAAAGGAAGGGCAAGGCACCUGCUCCUGCGUCACUGGAGGUCAGCUCCAACAGUGACGGAGUCCGUGCCACUUACCUCACCACUUCUGAGAGUGAGGGUGAGCACCAGGACCAUCAGGCUGCAACUUCUUAUCCUGAAGAUGACCUACUAUCAACCCAAAGAGUGGAUCUGCGAUCCAAAAGGUUGAACGAUCCAUCUAGGAUCAGGAUUCCCCAAGCCACCACUACUCUUCCUGCUCCGGCAAAGGCUGUGGUUCUAGCAUGAGCUGCACAGGGUCCUUCUCCCCGAUCUAUGAACAGACUAAAGACUGAGGGAUUGAGGACCAUCAUUGAAGAUAAGAGGUUGUCUACUGAUGGAGUCAUAGACAGAUAUCCGAAGAUCAUGAGUUGCUUGAGGUCUUACAAGUUCCAGCUAUUCACUCGACCCCGUGGCCCUUAUGUUCCAAAUUGAGUCCCAAAAUUCUACACCGCCUACAGAGCGCUAGUGCCACAGAGGAAAAAGCAGGCUGCUAAAUUCAAGCCGGUUGAUUAUGUGGUUGUUAGGGGCAAGAAAGUGUUGUGUGACAGUACUAACAUAAAUGAUGUCUUAGAAUGCAGCGACAACAUUGAAGACGAUUACCAGUACAAGAUCAAGACUAAUUCCUUGGAGAACAUGAAAAGCUGGUUAGCUCCUGUAAUUUAUGAUACCAACCCCAGGUGGAUAGAGGCAGGAGCUCUCAUCGAGAAAAAGGACCUCAACGUAACAACGGUGUACUGUUUUGGCUUUAUCAGCAGCACUAUCAUGCGAUCCCAGAAUGAGUCCAUCCUCCGCCAUAUAAAGUUUGUCUUAGAUCAAUCAUUGCACAAGAGCGCAUAAAUUUAGGUAUGAUCAUUGAACAAGAGAUGGACAUGAGGGACAAGCAGCGCCAAACCUCUCUUCCUUUUCUGGAGUUUAUCACUGAGUUGUGCAGACGGGCUCGGGUGCCUCGAGAUGAGAAGAAGGAUGUGGAAGUGAUUUCCACAUCUUCUACCGAUAUCAGGCGGAUUGAGGCUGAAUAGCUGAAGGAUGAGGCGCAAAAGAAGAAGGCAGCCUCGGUGGACACCUCCCCGGUUGUUGAUACUGACACAUUAUCUGUAGAGGCAGUAUUUCCUACUCUUACCCAUGUGCCUUCAGGUAUAUCUAGUGUUAUUCCUUUUGUUACUCCCAGUUCCUCUACGGCUCCCCUUCCUCCUAGUUCUAGUGCCUCUGCUGCUGCUACUUCCUGACCGCCACUCACCUAGGUUGCAUUACUACGGAUGAGGCAGGUAGCCCAUUCUGCUGAUAGGAGCGCCUCUAGGCUUGAGGCCACAAUUCUUGGCAUGAUCGAGAGGGCCCUCACUGAUGUUGUGACACCCCUGAGUUUGACUAUUGAUGCCCUUACGGCAAGGAUAGCGGUGUGCGAGCACGACCAAUAGGCCAUUGAGGAGGUGACGGCUUUAGGCUGCUAAUGUUGAGCUGAGGAAGGAUGUGGACUAGCUGAAGUCCACCGAUAUAUCGAUGAUUUUUGGGAGUGUGGAGAUCCCCGAUAUUCCAGUUGAUCCAGAUGUGCCUCUGGCUACCACCGGAGAUGAGGUUCAAACUGAGGAGGUAGCUGCUGCCUAGUCUGAGGCUGAGACCGAUGAGGAAUAACUUGGUUUUGAUGAGGAGGCUUCUUAUGAGGGCCUUACAGAGAUUGAUGAGGCCAUGGUAGAUUCAGCUGUGCAGAUCUCUUUGGCAGACACCCAUGGCUGACCCUAGUGGUGUUAGCAGUGCUGAUGUGACACGGGCACUAAUGCACCGACAGAUGGAGCGUCUAUGUAGACAUGAUUUUCUUUACCUCCCUCUCUGUCACUUUCAUUGAUUUUUAGUGUUUUUAUUGCAUUUGAGGAAAAAUUACUUUUUGUUUGUGGUGGGGUGAGGUAUUUCCAUACCUACCUCUUGUGUUUAUCUUUUUUUGUAUAUAUUGGGUUUUUGUGUUUGUAUUGUUGUGUUUUGACAUUGUUUUGUGGAUGUUUGAGCUUGUGGCUCUGUAUUUUGAAUGCAAAUAGUUUUUGACCCUCCUAAAAAAAGCCACCUCUUGAUUGUGUUUGAAUGUGGCUGUUCUUGUGCAAAUUUGAGGGUCUGUCAUGAUCAAUACCGAUGACUUGAAUAGUGCUCUUAAUCGAACAAAAAUGAAUGUGCGGCUACGAUGAGGCCAAAUGAAGUUGCAUAGACAAUAUGUGAACCUUUUUCAUGUCGUUGUGACUAGCCGAUUAUCGAAUUGAGUCUUUGUGAUUAACAUUGCACACUAGCAAAAGUGUGGAGUCUUGUUUGAUAUUGGUGCUAAUGCCUUGUGUGAUGAGCUUACCGUGAACCAUGUGUGAUGACACCUAGAAUUUUCCCCGUUGAUCCAGUUGACUAAGUGAUGCAAGCUCUUGAAAUGAUCUUAGGCAAUAAUUUUAAAGAGUGAAACAAUUUGGCAUUAUACCUCUUUUGUGGCCAACCUUGUGAGUGUGUGAACUUUGCUUGAACACCCUUUGAGCCUUAGCCUUUUCUUGGAAGAAACAUGAUGAAAUUAUAACCCCGCUCUAUCCAUUCACCCAUAAUCCUCAUGAGGUGUAGUUUGUUUGAAUAGCCAACUUAGGCCAAAAGCCUAAGUUGGGGGUGGGGUGAAAAGAGAAGGUGAAAUAAAGUUGUGAAAUAAUGACUAGCAAAAGAAGUCCCCCUUGAUCCAUGGUUUUGAGAAAUAUGGAACCCCUCCAUACAAAAAAAAAAGAGAAAAAAGAAAAAGAACGAAAAAGUUGUGAAAUAAAGUCGUGAAAGUUGCAAAAGAAAUGGGUGUUCGGUAUUCCAUGAGAAGUGAAUAAUGGGGUGAAUUUUGAGCAUGAGUGAAAAUGUUGAAGAAAAGGAAAGAAAGUGUUGUUCAUACCACAUUUCAUGAGGAUAGCAGCCACUGAGCCUAAAUGACCAUACAUUUACAUUCAUCCCCGUUACAAGCCUUGAAAAGACCUUUUUUAUCUUGAGUGAGCUGAAGUGAAUGUGGAUUGGAAAAUAAGGGAAAACAUAUGGGUGAAGUCAUGCAUGUGUUAAUCUUUGUGAGUGUGAGAGUUGUAUGUGAUUCUGGAACUAUAAUGUGUUGAACAAUUGUGUGAAUAUGGAAUCAUUCUUUGUGUGAGGGCAUUUGAGUACCUUUGUUGAGCUUGAACUUGCAUUUGAAGCAAGUAUUGUGAACUUGAGAAUCUUUGAUAAAGGUGAAACACAAAUUGAAUCUUUGAGUACAUAAUUGAUCCUUGCAGAAGUAAGUUGAGUCUUGUUAUGUGCAUUCAUGAUUGACGCUUGUGUAGAACUGUUUGAGACAUCCUUUUUGAACUACUGAACUUGAGUUUUACUUGAGGACAAACAAAAGUUUAAGUUAGGGGUGUUGAUGAGUUCGAGAGUUGGACUAAUUUAGGGCUUUAUUUGUAUAGAUUUAGUGUCCUCAAAUGCUUAUUUUGUGCCAAUAACUGACAUAAAUUCUUUGAUUUCCAGGUAUAUGGAUUGAGGAACAAUGCAAGGACAAUAAUUUGCAAAAAGGACCUAAACAAGCUGAAAGAAUGAAGAAAAGCAAGCCUGGUGAUCGCCAAGUCCACUUGGCAAGUCGCCGAACGGCUGCUUGACCGCCUAAAGUUCCAAUAUGCCAAGCCCUGAAGAAAGAACAAAGUUGGCGAAAGAAAGGAACAGUCGGCAGAACGCCGAGUGGUUCCAUGAUGCAUUGUUAAAUCGCCCAAAGUUACAGACCUUGAGGAUGCUGAAGGCCAAGGCAGAAGGGCACUGAAAAUGAUUAAAGGGCGGAUCGCCAAGUCAUUCGGAGAGCCCGACUUACUUCGCCGAGUGACUCUUCACAACACAUUUUUGGCGACUAUAAAUAUAUUUUUGAACAUUUAGUUUAGUAUCAUUAUUCAUUAUAAAUUACUCUUUAGAACAAUUUUUAUUAAGUUUUGAACUGGGAGACAAGUUUUCUCUAGUUUUACUUUAUCUUUGAAGAAUUUAAGUUUUCCACUUUUGAGAAAUUGGAAGUGGGUCUUUGAGAUUCUUCGAUUUGGACCUUUGUAAAGACGAAAUCAAUCUUACCCAGUUGAUGGAAACUCAAUUUGGUAACGAUUUUUCUUUUUAUGAUGUCUAGCUAAAACCCCAAUUCUUGGGGUGUGAUUAUGUGAUUAUGGGCUAAUUUAUCUUACGGAUAUUGCUAAUUGUUUGCUUAAAUGCAUUUUAGAAGUGAUUUCAAUCAAUAAUUCUGGUUUAGUUUAAGAAUUGUAGUUGCAAAUGCAGUUCUACCCUUGUGUUUUUGGCUUGCUCGAGAGAGAGGUUUUAAAACUAAGAUUAUUGAUUGAUGGUCUGUGGGUAUUGGGUUAUCAUGGGUUCAGUUCGAGAGAGUAAAUCCUAAACCCUUUUCCACACAUUCAACUCAAGAGAGUGAAUGGACUAAGGUGUGAGCUAUUUUUAUUUUGCAUACUUGUCGAUGUUCGAGAGAGAUCGACUUGAUUAAGGGUAAAUUGUUUGAGAGAAAGUUUACCUCCUCUAUAGUCUAGCUUACUCACUAAUAUUUGGCUAUUUUCUAAUAGUUGCAAUUACCCAUUUGUCUAUAUUAGCCUAUAAUCGCAUCCUAAGAACACGUCUCAUUAUUGUUAAUUUGUAUUGUUUGUUAUUGUUGUAGUUGAUAAUUUCAAACAAAACCCCCCAUUUGACAUUCGUGUCACCCCCCGAUUUGAAAGAUGUCUUUAUUCGAUAAUUUAUAUUCCUAUUACUGAUUUGACCAUAUUCACACUUUCCUAUUGAAUCUUAAACACGUACCACUCCCUGUAGGAUUUGACCCCAACUCAUUUAGUUGGGUUAUAUACUGAUUAGAAUUGGAUGAAGUGUCUUUGAUAACAUUAUUCAAUCAAGGACUCAAAGUAGAUUAUAACAUAUGCUAAUGUCAAUAUUUUCUUCAAGUACUAUCAUGUUUCAGAUAACUCUUUAUUCACAAAGAGAAUAUGAGACUCCGACUUUCAUAAUUAGCAAUUCAGCCUUUGAAGGGAUAGUAACUAUUAGAUGAAUGACUUUUAAAACAAAUUCACCUACCUGUCGAAAAUGCUUGAGAACAUAUGUGCUUGAUGACUUAUGUCAAUGACAGACCUUCUAUAGAGAAUCUCUACACUUAAUAGUCGCGUUCACUUCUUAAAACCUUAAAUACUUCUUCUAUAUAUUUUGGCUUCUUCCAAAUAUUUCUCCUAGGUCUUCAAGUGCACUCCGAGUCAGCAAUAAUAACAUGCAUGUAAAAUCUUGUCACUCCCCGAAGCUAUCCCUAGGACACGAACACGGGACCUAGGAUCACGAGUGACCCCAAGCUAACCCUGCUGGCAUAUCAUAAGCAUACUAAAUAAACUGCAGUAAGGAAAUAUUGUGCGGAAGCUAAAUCAUAAGAUAAACUGAAAUGAAAUGGGGAAUACACAUAACUAUCUGAAUAUAUAAAAACCAAGAGCUUAACAACAAUUGAAAGGUUAAACUCAAGUGCUAAAGCUGAAACUAACUAUGUCUGAAAUAAGUCUCUAACUGAUUAGAAGUGUUGGGACAUGGCCCAGCUAAAUCUAGCAAAACUCAAACUAAAGACUAAAUGAGCAUCUACUACUAUAUUGGCCUUACCAGGAUGGUAAUGCACACUCAUAUCGUAAUCCUUGAGAAACUCAAGCCAUCUCCUCCGGUGAAGAUUCAACUUUUUCUGGGUGAACACAUACUAAAGGCUCUUAUGGUUUGUAAACACAUCUACAUGAACACCACACAAGUAAUGUCUCCAAAUCUUAAGUGCAAACAUCACUGCUGGAAGCUCGAGGUCAUGAGUUGGAUAGUUCUUCUCAUGCACCUUAAGCUAUCUAGAAGCAUAAACUAUAACCUUACCUAGCUGCAUCAACACACAAACUAGGCCGACUCCGGAUGUAUCAUAAUAGAUAACAUAACCAUUUGAACCCUCUGGUAGAGUCAAAACAGGAGUUGUAGUCAACCUAGUUUUGAGUUAUGCGAAGCUUUUCUCACAAUUAUCUGACCACUAAAACUUAACCUUUUUUUGCAUCAACUUAGUCAAUAGAGGGGAUAUAGAUGAAAAUCUUUCCACGAAACUUCUGCAAUAACCCGCUAGACCCAAGAAACUUCUGAUAUUGGUAGGAGAUGUAGGUCUUGGCCAUUGUUUCACUUCUUCUAUUUUUUGGGAAUCCACUUGGAUCCCUUCGCUAGGCACAAUAUGCCCAAGGAAAACAACAAAUUGUAACCAAAACUCACAUUUGCUAAACUUAGCAAAUGACUGGUGAUCUUUGAGAGUUUGCAGGACAACCCUCAAAUUAUUCGCAUGUUCUUCCUCAUUCCUAGAGUAAAUGAGGAUAUCAUCAAUAAAGACGAUAACUAACAAGUCCAAAUACUGCUUGAACACUCUGUUCAUCAAAUCCAUGAAAGCUGCAGGAGCAUUGGUUAGUCCAAAUGACAUAACUAUAAAUUCAUAUUGACCAUAUUGAGUUCUGAAGGCUGUUUUUGGGAUGUUACUAUCUCUGACUCUGAGCUGAUGAUAAUCGGAUCUGAGGUUUAUCUUUGAGAAAUGACUAGCAGCCUGAAGUUGGUCGAACAAUUCAGCAAUCUUGGGGAUAGGGUACUAAUUCUUGGUUGUAACUUUGUUCAACUGCCUAUAGUCAAUGCACAUCCUGAGAGAACCAUCUUUCUUUUUCACGAACAACACUGGUGCACCCCAUGGGGAAAUACUGGGUCUGAUGAAGCCCUUAUCUAGAAGGUCUUUAAACUCCUCUUUCAAUUCCUUAAACUCAGCUGGAGCCAGAAUAGAAAUAGGUUGGCCAUCUAGAAGGAGAUCACUUCCAAAGUCAAUCUCCUUUUCGGGAGGAACUCCGGGAAGAUUUUCUGGAAACACUUCUGAAAACUCAUUAACUACGGGAACUGACUCAAGAGUUGGGGUUUCGGAGCUUGAAUCCUCAACCCGAACUAAAUGAUAGAGAUAACCCUUAGAGAUCAUCUUUCUAGCCAUAAGGUAAGAAAUGAAUCGACCCAUAGGCGCUUAGCUACUACCCUUCCAUUCUAAGUUUAGUUCGUUUGGAAACUGAAAAUGAACGAUCCUAGUUCUACAAUAGACUGAGGCAUAACAUGAAUGUAACCAAUCAAUGCCUAGAAUGACAUCGAAGUCUACCAUUUCUAACUAUACAAGAUCUGCUAAGGUAAAUUUUUGUGAGAUUAUGACAGGGCAGUUUCUGCAUACCCAUCUAGCUAUAACUAGGUCACCAACUGGAGUAGAGACUGAGAAGGGUUCUGAGAGAGUUACUGGACUGACACCAAAGUUGACUACUAUAUAGGGAGUUACGAAGGAAAGAGUAUCCCCUGGAUCUAACAAAGCAUAAGUAUCUAAGUUAAAAAUUUGUAACGUACCAGUGACUACAUCAGGAAAUUCUUCCUGAUCCUGGCGAGCCUGAAGAGCAUAGAACCUGUUUUGGCGUCGUCUGCCACCUGAACCAGAUGAGUUACCCUGCUGAGUCGGGUGACCUUCUAGCGGUGCUGAAGUUGUAGACUGAGCUUUACCAUUAUUACCUCUUUGACCCUACUUAGAAGAAGGACUUUUCUCAACCUGUGACCGGUCUGACCAUACCCAAAACAUACUUCCUUCCCUACAAGACUCUUGCCCCGGAUGGUUCAUACCACACUUAGGACAAGUUGGGUAGGUUCUGGUGCCUGAAAUACUCCCCUGAGACUUAGAGCCUAAUGCCCUACCUUUCUGAUCCUGUCAAAACCUGAAGGAUGGAACACUAGCUGAUGAAGGUGCUGGGGCUGAAGACUUUAGUUGACCCCAAAGGGGUCGCAUAUAAGCCCUUAGCAUAUCCUGAACAUAAGAUAAUAGAAAAUACGGAAAAAUUUAAAACUUUUACAGUCGAAGUCAUUUUUCAUUAAAGCAAACGGAAGACUUUCUACACUUUGUCUCAAACCAUCUAAUACAAUUUUUUAGAAUAAACUCUUGGGACAAAGCCCAUACAAUAGUCUCAAAACAUGAAAUAAAGACAAAGGAAAUGGUUGGUUUGUCCUCGAAGCUAUGAGGACUCACCAAGAUCUUCAACUCUCCUUGCACCUUAGAAACCUAGCCUCCAAAUGAAUUCAAUCUCCAAGACCCUACAUUUGAUUAGAAUGUAGGCAAUAUGCGUUAGUACAAAAUGUACCAAGUAUGGAAGCUAGCACAACAUCAUAAGAGCAACUCGAAUGGUUAGUCAACAUAAGACAUAAGCGUAAGAGAUAAUAACAUAAUCAUCAUAGUCAACAACAAAACCUCCAAUAUAAGCAUUAUAUAAACAUAAGUCAACAUAAGACAUAGUUAAUGAAUAUAUGAGAUACGCCAUAAUCAUAAUAAGCCAAGUUUUCAACAUGAUCAUCUCAUAAGCAUAAUUGGCUCUUAGUCCUCUAUACCAUAAUACCACCAUUCGCAAGUAACCUCAAAAGCAUACAACUGCAAGGCAAGAAUAGCAUCCCAUAAUACCACCCAAACCAAGUAUCCCUUUUUGAUCAUCUUAAUCAUAGUCUGCAUACAUGGUCUAAGUCUUAAGCCUUGCUACCAUAAGGGCACCAUACUCCUAAGUAACCUCAAAGCACACUUGUGCAAUGUAUGAAAGGCAUCCCAUAAUACCCUCCACACUAAGCAUUACCUUGAAGUCAUCUUAGUCAUACUUACCCUCGUUCGAUAUCUAUACUAGCUUGCUUCAUGUAGACAAGGGGACUAUCACAUUAGUCAAUCAUAUCAAGUAAGGAAACUAUAGCACAAUCUUAUCUAAGCAUACAUCAAAUAAGUCAACACUCAUAAGGUAACCUUUAGUCAUACUUGUGCAAGUUAUGAGUAGCAUCCCAUACUACUACUCAUACUAAGUACUUCUUUAGAUCAUCAUACUCAAGUUCCUUAAUUAGAGACUAGCCCUCUUUUAAAGCAUGCCUAGGAGACUUUACUAAGUCUAUCUUAGUUCCUUCUUGUUUUGAACCCUAAGAUAUACUAUACUAGGUACAUCUUAGUUCAACAUAUUGGAACUCUAGGAAAUUCUACUUAAAGCACAAUCUAAGUUCAUUAGACUUGAACUCUAGGAGAUGCUACUUAAAGCAUAAUCUUAGUUCAUUAUAAAGUUGGACCCUAUGAUGUACUUCUUUUAGCAUGCCUAGGUUCAUUAUUAUUAUGAACUCUAGGAGGUACUAUUUAAACAUAUCUAAGUCCAUUUAUACUCUUGAACAUUAUGAGGUCCUUCACUAACUUGUCUUAGUCCCUCAUUACUUAGAACCCUAGGAUAAACUAUAUUAAGUACAUCUUAUUUCCUUAAGGUUGAACCGUAGGAUAUACUACCCUAGGUAUAUCUUAGUUCAUCAUAUUUGAAUUCUAGGAGAUACUACUUAAAGCAUACUCUUAUUUCAUUUAGUUUGAUCCCAAGGAGAUGCUCCUUCAAGCAUAUUCUUAGACCAUUACUUACACUGGACUAUAGGAGAUGCUACUUUAUGCAUAAUCUUAGCCCAUGAGGUUUGAACUGUAGGAGAUGCUACAUUGAGUACAAUCUUAGUUCAUUACCAAUCUUAUUUAAUUGGGAUAUAGACUUAACUAUGCUAGGUGGGAACCUCCAGGAAAGCCCAAACUCAACUAGGUGGGAACCUCCAUCUCAUUUCAAUAUCCACUCGGUGCUAGGCCUAAAUCCCACAAGAUAAUCAUUAAGUCUCUACUUGGACUCAAGUUAAUGGAAAGAGGUUCUUGAGAACCAAUCCAUGCUAAUACCUCGUUUAUACCAUGUGUGAGAAACUAUCACCAUCCAUGACCUAGGUAUAAAGGCCCUCUAGCCUUAGGUUCAAUUAGUUAGAAGAAAUCCUUCAACCCUAGAACCACUACUAUGUGAGAAGUCUUUCAUGUUAAGUUCAUAUUCAUACUUAGUAUCAUGUCUAGAAUUCUACAUUAGGCAAGGAUAUCAUCAUGACCUAAGUGAUUCUAUCACUUCCUACCAUCUAUGAUUCAUAAGGUGGUCUAAGUAGGUAAAGGUUUCUCAACACAAUUCUAUUCAUUAGCCUUGGGUUCAUAUGUAGAUUUUACUCUCAAGGCCAUAGGAUCUAAAGUUGAUCUUAUUAGCUUCUUGCUUAAGCCCUAAUGAUCAUUAUUCAUCAUUAUGACUCCUCAUUCUCAAUGACUCAACAUCAAGGAAGCAUAUUAUUAACCCAGAUUACAAGACAUUCAAUCACAUUCUUUGAUACUAGGUGAUCUUAGUCAUAAAUUACCUUAAAGGUUCAAUUUCAUUUUUACAAGUCAAGAUCAAUCAUGUAGUAUACAAUCUAGUUUAAUGUAUGGCUAGGUAUUCAUAAUCUUGAUCAAUUACUACACACAACAUUGAUUUAGGAAGAUCACUCAUGAACCUUCAAUUUCAUCUCCAAUUGCAUCAACCCACAAUUAUCACAUAUAUCAAUUUAGAUUAGGGUUUACCAUAGAAAUCGCAUGAAAUCAUACUAAUAGCAUUUAACAAAGAUAAUUCAAUCAUAAUUGGAUGUUAUCCACUAAAUUGGAAACACAUCCAAAACCUACCCACAAUGCAAGCACAACCCUAGCUAGAAUUGGGUUUUUGAUUUCAUAAGUGGGGAAGCUAUGGGGGCUCCAUGGGUGGAAGAACCCAUGGAUGAUUAAGAUUAACAUAACUUCAAUCAAAUCUCUAAACAUAACUUCAAUCAAAUCCCUAAACAAAGGUUGAAUCAAUGAUGAAAAUACCCCUAAGCUGCUGCCCCAACUUCCUUUCUUCUUCUUCUUCUAGAGAGAGGAUUUCUUGGAGAGUAAUUUGGGGUCUUUUGAUGAAUUAGCUAAAGUGAUUAGUUUAGGGUCUAUUAACUAUUUAUAGGAGGUUAAUUAACUAACUAAUCACCCCUCCUAACCCCUAAACUAAUUACUAAACUAACCCUCAACUCCUCACUUAAAACUAAAUUACCAAAAACUGGCAGCAUUCACAAAUCCCCAUCCACGGACCGUGGAUGCGUUGACUGGAUGUGGUUUGGAUCCGUGGUUUGGACCUGAGGCUCAUAUGUUUCAGGCCAACUCAGGCCUGACCUACGCCCAUGACCUACGGGCCGUAGGUUGAUCUUCUGGCCGUGAAUGGCCAACUGUGGUUCACCAUUUUUGACAGCUUUUGGGGAUUGUUUUGGGGUCCUCCUCAAGGACCCCUCGGGUGGACCUUGGGGAGUUGUACCCGGCGUUUAACUCCUAAACAUGUCAUUCUAAGUACGGGUGUCAUUUCUAUGAGUUUUAACCCUCAUACAACACGCCAAAACUCCAUUACAAGACUCUACCACACACUAGUUCAACUCACUAAAAUAUGGGGUGUUAUAAUAUCCCCCACUUGGGGAACAUUCGUUCUCGAAUGGCACUUUAAACAUCUCUUAAAGUCACAACUCUAACCUAGCAUCCUAUUAUGCAUGCACUACAUUUAAAUGCACCCCAUAAAGCAAGACAACUUCAAUCCAAAACUAAACUCACUCAAUGCAACUCAAGGGAGUAGGAACCACUUCUACUAACCCAAAAAUGCAUAGAAUUAAAUAUCUACUUCUUUUCAAGGAGGCACUAACAUCUCCUAACUAAAACAUGCUCAAUACUCCCUCAUGGAGCGAAAAUGCAAGUUCACCUCAUAAAACAUUCAUUCAAUGAGAAACCUUUCAACUCCACAAACUAGGGCAUGCUCGUAAUCAACUCAUGAAGUCUAUAUGCAAACCUACUUAAAUGCAUUUCAACAAGAGCAAACAAUGUAUAAAAGUCAUUUCUAACAAGACCUAAGCAUUUUCAUGAACAUGCAUAUAAGGAAAUUAUGACAACACAUAGAGCAUACAAUAACCCUACUAUAUAGGCACACUAUCCCCCACUUGGGUGUAAGCCUACACAACCUUUCUUAAUCAUCAUGCAUACUAACAAUAACUUUAAAGUCCAACAUAACAAGUCACAAAAGACAAGAAAUCCAGAAAUUUUACUAAAGCAUAAAACACUUACCGGAAGGGACAUGAGGAGAUCACUCUUGAUCUUCUCUAGAUUGGAGAGCAUAAAACCUAUGAAUAGUUGGGAGCAUUGGACUUGGCCUCCCUCCCUUUAUCCCUAAGGAUUGGACAAUCUCUCUUCUUGUGACCCUCAUUACCACAACCAUAGCAUCCUUCCUUUCCCGCUAGACACUCACCAAAAUGCUUCUCUCACACUUAGAGCAAGUAGUCUUAAGCAACACGGAUUCACUAUUACUCCCUCUUAGAGACUUAGGCUUAGACACCCUAUCUUGGUUGGAAAGCUUUUGUUGGGUCCUAGGCUAAUCAUAUCUCUCGGAGCUAAAAUUGGAGAAAUCCCCAUCAUCGGUUCUAGGUCUCUUAACUUCCCUAUUUUUCUUCCUAAGCUUUGUCUCCUCAACUUGUUUAGCAUAAACCAUUAGACGUGAGAUGUCCAUAAUAUCAUGUAGAAUUGCCGCACAACACUUUUCCUCAAUCAAUUCGGACACUCCAGUCACAAACCGACUCAUCUCAUCUCUCGGAUUUGCCACCAAAGAUGGAGAAUAUUUGGAUAACUUAGUGAGCCUUAAAGAAUAUUCUUGAGCACACAUACCUCCUUGGCGAAGGUUGAUAAAUUCCACCACCUUUGCUUCCCUCUUUUCUCAUGGAAAGAACCUAUCAAGGAAUGCUUUUUGAAUACUUUCCAACUUAUGGGACCCGCCCAUAUAGGCCUAUUAUCUUUCCAUUGAGCAUACCACACUUGGGCCACAUCCUUCAAUUUAUACCCGUCUAAUUCGGCUUUCUCAAUAGAAGUGACCCCCAUAGCCUCCACUAUAUUGUAGACCUCCUCCACAAACUCUUGUGGAUCUUCAUUCACUUUGGAACUAAAGAAAAUAGGAGGGUUGAUGAGUCCACAAAUUGGACUCAUUUAAGGCUUUGUUUUAAUGCAAGUAGUGUCCUUGAAUGCUUGUUUUACCUCAAUACCUAAUUAAAAUGCUGAAGUUUCAGGUAUUUGAGUUUUAGUGGAAGCAUGGACACUUAGGCGCAAAACGGAGCAAAUAGGGCUGAAAAGAAUAAGAAAUAGAAUCCUGCGGAUCGCCGAGUUUAACUUGGCGAGUCACUGAAAUUACAUAAGCCGCCCUUCGUUUCAGUACGUGAAGCCUUGAAGGAAGUGGAUCAAAAGGCGAGGAAAGGAGCAGUCGGCGGGUCGCCGAUCAGUUCCACGAAGCAGUACUGUACCGCCCAAUGAUACAGAAUGCAAGGAUACUAAAGGGAAGACACUAAAGGCAAUGAGCUGACCAAAGGGCGGAUCGCCGAGUUCAUCGGCGAUCUCAACUAAUGUCGCCGAAUAAUCCUCCGCAGCACAAUCUGUGAAAACUAUAAAUAUUAUUUAGAGUUGUAGUCUUAAGGUUGGAAAAGUGUGGAACAUUUUAGAGUAAAAAUUAUUAUUAGUCUUUAGUAUUUUUCUUUAUUUUUCUCUCAAGUUUGGAGAGGGUUUAGUGGAGACUUGAAGAAAGCAGUUCUUCUUCCCCAAGUUGGAAGUGGGUCUUCUCUAUUCACUUCUCUUUCCUUAAUUCAAGGUUUAAUUUCUUAUACCCAGUUGAUUUCUUUAUCAUGUUAGGUAUAAUUUCUUAUUUCUUGAUGUGUGGCUAAAAAUCCCCAUUCUUAGGGUGUGAUUUAGCAAAUAUGGGUUGAUAUUCAUGUUGGGUCUUCCUUGCUGAUAGAUUAGAUGUAUUUUAAUGGUGAUUUCACCUAGUGGUUGUGGUUUAAUAUAAAGGGUUUGUAGUUUCAAAUACAAAGCAACCCAUGUGUUUUCGGCUUGCCCGAAAGGGAGGUCGCGAAACNNNNNNNNNNNNNNNNNNNNNNNNNNNNNNNNNNNNNNNNNNNNNNNNNNNNNNNNNNNNNNNNNNNNNNNNNNNNNNNNNNNNNNNNNCCAAGAACAUUUUCCCAUACUUGAUUUUCUUGUUAAUUUUUGUUGUUUUUACUACUUGUGACAAAACGCUCAUUUGAUAUUUGACACUUUCGUGUCACCCCCAUUAAUUUACUAUGUCUUUUAUCACAAAUGUAUUUAGCUACGACUAAUUCGAAUGAAAUUUUAAUUUUCUAUCAAUUCUCAAAACCUCCCUUAGGACACGACCCCAACCUUUAGUUGGGUUACUCUACUAUCGACGAUCGUAGACACUCAUACCGUAGGUUAGUGUCCUUGGUCACGAUAAGCAUCAAAAUGGCGCCACUGCCGGGGAGUGGUGUUAUUUUAAAAAAUUUAGUUCACUAGAAUUUCCGUCUUAUUAAUCGUAGUUUACUAACUUAACUUGUAGUUUUGUUUUCUUGUCUUUAUGUAAGCAGAGGAAGUGAGUAUGGCGAGCAGCACUCGGGAGAAAAUGGAGUUUCUUUCAUUAGAGGUAAUGAUAUUUCGGGAGAUUAUCCUCACCUUCAAGCAAUUGGAGGGUGAACGGAUCCACAAGUCAUGGGCAAGGUUUAAUGAACUGAUCAAUCAAUGCCCAAAUCAUGACAUUCCCGACAUAGCUCUUCUUGAUUGUUUCUAUAGAAGUCUUAGCCCUGGAAACAAGAGGUUGGUCGACCAACUCAUUCCGGGAGGCAUUGCAAAACAACCAUAUGUGAUAGCAGCUCACUUGCUUAAUCAAAUGGUUGAAACGAACCAAGAAGUGGAAAAGGACUUCAUGUUAGCCGCCCUAAUGGCUCAGAUGGAUGAGUUGUCUAAAAAGAUGGCGUAGAUUGAAAUCCAAUGUAAAAGGAAGGAUAAAUACAUCCAUCUUCAUGAGAGAAGAAGUUUCAAGGACAAUGAGGUUAAACGCCUUGAGGGAAUGUUCUCAGUCAUUCUCCACAAGGUAACUAAGCAAGAUAGAGAGAUGAAAGGAAUGAAAGAAGACAUUGAAGGAAUGAAGCGGAUGAUUUGGUAUCAUUCCAGAGCUGUCCAGCUGCCCGAGAACCUCAUGGGCUAUGCGUCGUACGAUCUCCACCAGCAACAAAACAGGGGGUUGCCUAGUAAUAGCAUGGCUAACCCCAAAAAUGAAGUUUGAGUUCUGACUUGCAUCGUGCCAGGACGUUAACUAAGGCGCUGUUUGGGAGGCAACCCAAAACCUUUACGAGCUUUAGUUUUAUUCUAGAAAUAAUGGUGUAUUAAUUUCGUAGGAGAAAACGUGGAGAAUGAAUGAAAAAUGUGGAUUGGUAAUUGAUAGUCCCACUCGGUGAGCAACCGAACUAUUCGGCGACUUCGAUCUUGACCACCGACAGACUCAAGAUCCAAGAUAUAGUCUGUGACAAUCAGCGACGAGGGCAAUCACUUGGUGUAACGCUGAAUCAUUCAGCGGUACAAACUAAUAUCGCGGCUUUUUUAAAGGCCAAUAAUUUCAAAAAAAUGGAAAAAUGUUCAUUUUCUACUCAAUUUCUAUUGUCGAAAAACCGCACUUAGUAAGUAAUUUUCAUUAUCUCUACACUCCUGGUAUUUUAGUUGUCGAUUAGUUCUAAAGCGUGGGAUUACAUUGCUUCCUAGCAUUUCAACACAGCUCAAGCAUCAUAAAAUGUUGGUUUCUCCCAAACCCCGAAACUACUAAACUUUUGUUCUCUUAUUAAAUUAAAAUUGGUUGAGCUGACAUGUGCUAGGCCUCUCUCUGAUAAACCCAUCUUUGUCGAAAUGCCAAAUUUGAUCUGAGAAUCGUGCCUAAUUGAUCUCGAUUUUUGAAAUCCCUUUUUACCUGUGCAUGAAAUGAUUUGAGUUUUGGGUGGCUGAAUGUCAUGGGUCUUAUUUUAAUCUCACUAGUGCAACUGUAAAUUGUAUUUUGGGAGUUUGCGAGGUCGAAUUCGAUUUAGAAGAAGGCACGUUAUGUUGUUUAGUGAACUGGGUCGAAUUCGUUAAACAACUAGGCGGUUCGCCUAAAAGUGGCUUAGAUCGCCCUUUGUCUGCACUCCUGAAUCUUCAUUGCACUGUAACUUUCUGCGAACAGACCCUUGAUCGUCGAAAGUAGUCGGCGAUUCACAAAUGGAACUUUCUCAUCGCCGACUAGUGAAGGCUUUUAGGACAGGAUCUUAGGCAAUUUCGACCCAAGUCACCAAAGAGGCUUGGCAAUUCGUCGACGAGUUCGGCGAAUCUAUCUACCAUUAAAAGUCUGCACCGUUGGUUUAAUUUUUUUUUACUAUAACUUAAUCCUGAUUGAUUGCAGAUAUGGCCAGACCCAAAGUUACAGGAAGCAGCAAGCCAACUCAAAGCAAGAAAAAAAGGAUAACAUCAAUGAGGAUGAAGCUGCAUCCAAAAGCAAGUUUGCACAACGUUUUAACACUUGCAAGAAAGGCAAGGGCAAGGACAAAACUGUUGAGCUAUUAGAUGCAAGCUCCGAUAGCGCUAGUUUUUACACCAACAACCCAACAACAUAUAAUAGUGAGAGUAUGAGUUCAGGCGAAGACGAAUCGAGAGAAGCACAGAGGAAUGAGUUACGAUCCAAACAGAUUAAUGACCCAUCACGAAUCAGAAAUCCUCGAUCCACCGCUGAAACUCCUCUAGCUUCAGAACAGGCAAUGGUACUGGCACCUCCAGUACAAGGCCCCCCACCUAGAUCAUCGAAUAGAUUAAAGUCUGAGGGAUCAAAAACGAUCAUUGAAGAGAAACGGUUGUCCAUAAAUGGAGUGAUUGAUAGGUAUCCCGAGAUAAUGGAGUGCUUGAAAUAUCACAAAUUUCAAGUUUUCACAAAACCACGUGGCUCCUAUAUACCAAGCUGCGUUAGAGAGUUUUAUAGUGCAUACAGUGCAUUGGUACCCCAGCGGAAGAGACUAGUUGCGUCUUUCAAAGCAGUUGACUACGUGGUUAUCAGAGAAAGGAAAGUAGCGUGUGACAGUGAGGCUAUUAACAUAGCCUUAGGCAUGUCCACUAACAUUGAUGAUCACUGUCAGCAUCUGAUCAGAACGAAAGCAACUGGAUGCUAUGAAACAGUGGUUGGCCCCUAUAAUCUCAGAUUAUGACACUAUGAAAUGGCUAGCAGAAGGAACCCCAAUUGAAAAGAAAGAUCUUAACGUAGCUACAAGAUACUGGUUUGGGUUUAUCAGCAGUUUCGUCAUGCCAUCACAGAACUAAUCAAUCCUUCACCUCGCUAAAGCAGCCUGUCUUGGAUGCAUCAUAGAGAGGAUCAAUCUGGGAACUGUCAUUGCUUCUGAAAUCCAUAUGCGUGCAAAGCAAAACCAAACAUCUCUUCAUUUUCUGGUACUAAUCACUGCAUUGUGCAGAAAUGCCCGAGUACCACUGAAAUGCAAGGAGGAUGUAUAAGUGAUGCCCACUGCCUCUACCAACAUCCGAAAAAUCGAGGCCGAAUAUCUUAAGGAUCAAGCAGAAAAGAAGCAGACUGAAGUGGCGACCACUAGAUCUACACCUACAGAAGUACUUCUGCUCACUCCAGCUCUUGGACCUUCAGGUAUAUCCAUUAUUACUGCUACUUCCACUAACACUCCAGGUUCCUCUUCUGCUAUUCCUAGGCCCCCACUCACCCACGCUUCCCUACUUCGGAUGGGACAAAUGGCCCUUUCUGCUAAUCGUCGGGCCGCUUGUUUAGAGGCAGUUGUUCCAAGCAUGAUCCAGACGGCCCUAACUGAUGUUGUGACAUCCCUGAACACUACCAUCGAAGCCUUAGCGGCCAAGAUAGUGGUGUGUGAGCACAAGCAAGGGUCCACUAGUGAGAUAAGAUUUUUAAAAGCUGCCAUUGCUGAGCUGUGAGAAGAUGUGAAUCACUUGAAGGCCACUAAUGUGUCCAUGGUUUUGGGACAAUGGAAAUUCCAGCCAUGCCCGAGAGGCCUCAGACUACUACUGGAUAUGGGGAUAAAGCGGAAUAGACAGAGGAUUCGGGAGCGGAAGCAAAGAUUGAUGAAGAGAUGUUCGAGGGAGCUACAACAAACGACAUAGCAGAGACUGAAGAAACCAUGAUAGAUGUUGUUGUGCAGGCUUCCUUGGCCAAAGCUUCGGCUGCGAGAUUCAGUGGAGCGGGUCCUUCUGGAGGUUACCCUCAGCUUUGAAACCCAGAUAGAUACGUCGAGCCAGGAUCACCUUUUUAUCUCCCUCUCUGUCUUUUGUUACUCUACCUUUCAGAUUCGUUGUUAUUUCCAUUUGAGGACAAAUGCUUUUAUUUAUGGUGGGGUGAGGCCCACCUUUGUGUGUUAUUUGGAUAUUUAGGUUGUCUGUUUUUAAUUAUUAUUUUAAAUUACUGUUUUUUUGUGGAUGUUUGAGCUCAUGGCUCCUGUUGUUUCACUUGCAAGAUAAUUUUGAUCCCUUUCGGAAAAAUUUCGCCACCUGUUGUGUUGAAAGUGUCUGUUCUUUUGCAAAAAUAGUUUGAGUCUCGGUUUUGAUCAAUAUUGAUGACUUGAAUAGUGCUCCCAAUUGAAUAAACAUGAAUGUACGGCUACGAUGAGGCCAAAUGAAGUUUCAUAGACAAUAUGUGAACUCUUUGCAUCUCGUUGUGAUUAGCCAUUUAUCAAAUUGAUUCUCUUGUGAUGACCGUUGCACACUAGCGAGUGUGUCUAGUCUUGUUUGAUUAAAGUAUCAAUGCCUUGUGUGAUUAGCGUACUUUGAACCAGGCAUGAAUAAACCUAGAAUUUGCCCCGUUAGUCUGAUUGAUUUAGAAAGGUGUACUCUUGAGAUGAUCUUAGGGAAUUUUAAACAGUGUGAUCCAAUUUGACAUAUACCUAUUUUUGUGACCUACCUGUGAGCGUGUGAAACUCUUUUGAACACCUUUGAGCCUUACCUUUCUUUGGAAGAACCUUGAUAAACCCUAGAUUUUUCAUCCACUGCCUAUAAUCCUCUUGAGAUGUGUUUAGUGAAUAGUUGACUUAGGCCCAAAGUCUAAGUUGGGGGUGUGGUGAAAAGGAAAAGGAAAAGGAAAAGGAAAAGUCAAGGAGUGCAAGAAAGACUCCUGAACCUAUUGUAUUGCAAAACAAAAUGGAAACCCUCGUAUAAAAAAUAAAAAAUAAAAAAAGAGAAAAGAAAAGAAAGAAAAAGAAAGUUGUAGAAUAAAAGCGGAAAAGAAAUUGGGUUUCCAAGCAAUACAUGGAGAACGAAUAAUAGGAUGACUUAUGAGCACUAGAAGAAAAAUUGAGGAAGGAAGGGAAGAGGAUAUCUUGAGAACAUCACAUCUCACGAGGAAAAAGUCAUUAAGUCUAAAUGAUCAUACCUCUGCACUCAGCCCCAUUACAAGCCUUAGAAAGACCUUUUUGAUCUUGAGUAAGCUGGAUCGAAAGUCAAUUGGAAAAUAAGGGCAAACCUAUGGGUGAAAACAUGCAUUGUGUUCCUCUUUUUGAGUGUGAGCGUUGCAUCUGAUUCCUGAUCUUGAAUUGAUUAACCUUUACGUGAGGGUAUCUGAUUCCUUCUGUUGAGCUUGAACUUGCACAAGUAGCAAGUAUUGCGAGCAUGAGAUUCUUUGGUAAUGGUGUGUCACAAUUUGAAUCUUUGAGUACACAAUUGAUCAUUGCAUAAGUAAAUUGAGUCUUGUUGUGUGCAUUCAUGAUUUAGUUUUGUGUAGCACUGUUUGAGGCACCCUUUUUGAACGGCUGAACUUGAGUUUGCUUGAGAAAGGAAAAUCUUAAGUUGGGGGUGUUAAUGAGUCCACAAAUUGGACUCAUUUAAGGCUUUGUUUUAAUGGAAAUAGUGUCCUUGAAUGGUUGUUUUACCUCAAUACCUGAUUAAAAUGCUGAAGUUUCAGGUAUUUGAAGUUUUAGUAGAAGCAUGGACACUUAGGCGCAAAAACGGAGCAAAAUAGGGCUGAAAAGAAUAAGAAUGGAAUCCUGCGGAUCGCCGAGUUUAACUUGGCGAGUCGCCGAAACGACAUAAGCCACCCUUCAUUCCAGUACGCGAAGCCUUGAAGGAAGUGAAUCAAAAGGCGAGGAAAGGAGCAGUCGACGGGUCGCCGAUCAGUUCCGCGAAGCAGUACUAUACCGCCCAAUGAUCCAGAAUCAAGGAUGCUAAAGGCAAGAUACUGAAGGCGAUGAGCUGAACAAAGGGCGGAUCGCCGAUGAAUCUCGACUAAUGUCGCCGAAAAAUCCUCCGCAGCAUAAUCUGUGAAAACUAUAAUUACUAUUUAGAGUUGUAGUCUUAAGGUUGGGAAAGUGUGGAACAUUUUAGAGUAAAAAUUAUUAUUAGUCUUUAGUAUUUUUCUUUAUUUUUCUCUCAAGUUUGGAGAGGGUUUUCUGGAGACUUGAAGAAAGGAGUUCUUCUUCCCCAAGUUGGAAGUGGGUCUUCUCUGUUCACUUCCCUUUUCUUAAUUCAAGGUUUAAUUUCUUAUACCCAGUUGAUUUCNNNNNNNNNNNNNNNNNNNNNNNNNNNNNNNNNNNNNNNNNNNNNNNNNNNNNNNNNNNNNNNNNNNNNNNNNNNNNNNNNNNNNNNNNNNNNNNNNNNNNNNNNNNNNNNNNNNNNNNNNNNNNNNNNNNNNNGGGUGUGAUUUAGCAAAUAUGGGUUGAUAUUCUUGUUGGGUCUUGCUUGCUGAUAGGUUAGAUGUAUUUUAAUGGUGAUUUCACCUAGUGGUUGGGGUUUUAUCUAAAGGGUUUGUAGUUGCAAAUAUAAAGCCACCCAUGUGUUUUCGGCUUUCCCGAGAGGGAGGUCGCGAAACCAAAACCACUAGACUGAUGGCCUAAGGAGUGGGUCGACAUGAGGUUCUGCCUGAGAGGGUGAGCCCUAGUCCCAUAUCCUAACACUCAGCUCGAGAGAGUGAGUGGGGUAAGGCGUAGGCUGGUCUUCAUGCGGCAAAUGGGUGUCUGAGAGGAACGCAUUUGAAAUGGGUUAAGUUGCCCGAGAGGGAACUUAUUUCCAUUUAAAGCUUAGCCUAGUCACUAUUACUUUGCAAAUUUCCUAUCGAAAGCAUGUACCCAACAAUUUAUCUCAACUUAUAUUGCGGUCACAUCCCAAGAACCUUUCCCCAUACUUGAUUUUCUUGUUUACUUUGUCGUUUUAGCACUUGUUACAAAAACUCCAUUUGAUAUUUGACACUUUCGUGUCACCCCCUUUAAUUUACUAUGUAUUUUAUCACAAAUGUAUUUAGCUACGACUAAUUCGAAUGAAAUUUUAUUUUUCUAUCAAUUCUCAAAACCGCUUCCUUGGGACACGACCCCAACCUUUAGUUGGGUUACUAUAAUAUCGACGAUCGUAGACACUCAUAUCGUAGGUUUGUGUCUUUGGUCACGAUAAGCAUCAAGGGUUUAUCCUAGUAAUAUCUCUCAACAUAAGGCCAUGGUACUCUCAUUAGGGUUUACCCAGGGUCCAAUUUCUCUGUUGGCUUGGGCCGUUAUGGCUUGGGCUUGAGUUUGAACCGUCAUGAGUUGAGUCAAUGUUUGGAGAGCCUCCCUUAGUUCAACAUUGGUCAUAGCCCCUUCAUCAUUGGGAACUUGAGGAGGAUCUUGGUUAGGACCUUAUGGAGUAGCCUCUUGUUCUCCAUUGUCUUCCUCACCCUUCUAACAUUAGCCCUAGUAUUAGCCAUAACCUGAAAAACCAUAGGGCAACGGUUAGGAGAAAAACCUACUAGAUCUAAACUCUAUAGCACGACUUAGAGAAUGAAGAAGUGAGAUUUCCUAAACAUCCAAUAGCCUUUUAUUCAUAAAAUCUGUCCCGACUCACACCCAUGAACAAGACUCUACUAGACGUGGUUUGAGACAUCCUAAAAUUUAUCCCAAAACCUUAUUCUCUGAUACCAAGUUUGUCACGACCCAGGGGUACCCCCUAGACGUAACAUGGCGUAGUUGAUCCCGAAGGGGUCGCAUAAAAGCCCUUGGCAUAUCCUGAACAUAAGAUAAUAGAAAAUACGGGAAAAUUUAAAACUUUUACAAUUAAAAUAAAUUUUGAUAAAAGCAAACGGAAGACUUUCUACACUUUGUCUCAAAGCAUAUAAUACAACGUUUUAGAAUAAACUCUUGGGACACAUCCCAUACAAUAGUCUCAAAACAUUAAAUAAAGACAUAAAGGAAAUGGUUGGUUUGUCCUCGGAGCUAUGAGGACUCACCAGGAUCUUCAACUCUCCUUGCACCUUAGAAACCUAGCCUCCAAAUGAACUCAAUAUCCAAGACCCUACAUUUGAUUAGAAUGUAGGCAAUAUGCGUUAGUACAAAAUGUACCAAGUAUGGAAGAUAGCACAACAUCAUCAGAGCAUCUCGAAUGGUUAGUCAACAUAGGACAUAAGUAUAAGAGAUAAUAACAUAAUCAUCAUAGUCAAUAGCAAAACCUCCAAUAUAAGCAUUAUAUAAACAUAAGUCAACAUAAGACAUAGUUAAUGAACAUAGGAGAUACACCAUAAUCAUAAUAAGCCAAGUUUUCAACAUGAUCAUCUCAUAAGCAUAAUUGGCUCUUAGUCCUCUUUACCAUAAUAGCACCAUUCUCAAGUAACUUCAAAAGCAUACAAGUGCAAGGCAAGAAUAGCAUCCCAAAAUACCACCCAAGACAAGUAUCCCUUUUUUAUCUUCUUAACCAUAGUCUACAUACAUGUUAUAAAUCUUAAGCCUUGCUACCAUAAGGGAACCAUACUCCUAAGUAACCUCAAAGUACACUUGUGCAAUGUAUGAAAUGCAUCCCACAAUACCCUUCAUACUAAGCAUAACUUUGAAGUCAUCUUAGUCAUACUUACCCUCCUUUGAUAUCUCUACUAGCUUGCUUCAUGUAGACAAGGGGACUAUCACCUUAGUCAAUUAUAUCAAGGAAGGCAACUAUAGCACAAUCCUAUCUAAGCAUACAUCAAAUAAGUCAACACUCAUAAGGUAACCUUUAGUCAUACUUGUGCAAGGCAUGAGUAGCAUCCCAUACUACUACUCAUACUAAGUACUUCUUUAGAUCAUCAUACUCAUGUUCCUUAAUUAGAGACUAUCCCUCUUUUAAAGCAUAGGAACCCUAGGAGACACUUUACUAAGUCUAUCUUAGUUCCUUCUUGUUUUGAACCCUACGAGAUACUAUACUAGGUACAUCUUAGUUCAUCAUAUUGGAACUCUAGUAAAUGCAACUUAAAGCACAAUCGAAGUUCAUUAGACUUGAACUCUUGGAGAUGCUACUUAAAGUAUACUCUUAGUUCAUUAUAAAGUUUGACCCUAUGAGGUACUUCUUUUAGCAUGUCUAGGUUCAUUAUUAUUAUGGACUCUAGGAGGCACUAUUCAAACAUAUCUAAGUCCAUUUAUACUCUUUGACAUUAUGAGGUCCUUCACUAACUUGUUUUAGUUCCUCAUUACUUAGAACCCUAGGAUAUUCGAUAUUAAGUACAUCUUAGUUCCUUAAGGUUGAACCCUAGGAUAUACUACCCUAGGUAUAUCUUAGUUCAUCAUAUUUGAACUCUAGGAGAUACUACUUAAAGCAUACUCUUAGAUCAUUUAAUUUGAUCCCUAGGAGAUACUCCUUCAAGCAUAAUCUUAGACCAUUACUUACAUUGAGCAUAAUCUUAGCCCAUGAGGUUUGAACUCUAUGAGAUGCUACAUUGAGCAUAAUCUUAGAUCAUUACCAAUCUUGUUUAAUUGGGAUAUAGCCUUAACUGACAUGAGAACAUAUGAGUCAUUACAUAAUCUCUAAUGGUGUUACCCACACCAUUAAGGGUUGGUCCACUUGCCAAGGUAGGACCGGUUUGUUAGCUUAGUCGGAUCCACUAGUUAACUUUCCUAGAGGCAUGUAGUUAUGGGAUAUAGAGAAUGCCACUAGAAACCCAAACUCCACUAGGUGAGGCUUCCAUCUCAUUAGACACACUUGGGGAAAUCAAUACUCUUCUAGGUGAGAGAUCCCUUGUGGGAAGCCCAAACUAUGCUAGGUGGGAACCUCCAUGAAAGCCCAAACUCAACUUGGUGGGAACCUCCAUCUCAAUUCAAUAUCCACUCGGUGCUAGGCCUAAAUCCCACAAAAUAAUCAUUAAGUCUCUACUUGGACUCAAGUUAAUUGAAAGAGGUUCUUGACAACCAAUCCAUGCUAAUAGCUCUUUUAGACUAUGUCUGAGAAACUAUCACCAUCCAUGACCUAGCUAUAAAGGCCCUCUAGCCUUAGGUUCAAUUAGUUAGGAGAAAUCCUUCAACCCUAGAACCACUACUAUGUGAGAAGUCUUUCAUGUUAUGUUCAUAUUCAUACUUAAUAUCAUGUCUAGAAUUCUACAUUAGGAAGGAUAUCAUCAUGACCUAAGUGAUUCUAUCACUUCCUACCAUCUAUGAUGCAUAAGGUGGUCUAAGUAGGUAAAGGUUUCUCAACACAAUUCUAUUCAUUAGCCUUGUGUUCAUAUGUAGAUUUUACUCUCAAGGCCUUAGGAUCUAAAGUUGAUCAUAUUAGCUUCUUGCUUAAGACCUACUGAUCAUCAUUCAUCAUUAUGCCUCCUCAUUCUCAAUGACUCUACAUCAAGGAAGCAUAUUAUGAACCUAGAUUACAAGACAUUUAAUCACAUUCUUUGAUACUAGGUGAUCUUAGUCAUAAAUUGCCUUAAAGGUUCAAUUUCAUCUUUACAAGUCAAGAUCAAUCAUGUAGUUUACAGUCUAGUUUAAUUCAUGUCUAGGUAUUCAUAAUCUUGAUCAAUUACUACACACAACAUUGAUUUAGGAAGAUCACUCAUGAACCUUCAAUUUCACCUCCAAUGGCAUCAACCCACAAUUAUCACAUACAUCAAUUUAGAUUAGAGUUUACCAUAGAAAUCACAUGAAAUCAUCCUAAUAACAUUUAACAAAGCUAAUUCAAUCAUAAUUGGAUGUUAUCCACUAAAUUGGAAUCACAUCCAAAAUCUACCCACAAUGCAGGCACAACCCUAGCUAGAAUUGAGUUUUUGAUUUCACAAGUGGGGAAACUAUGGGGGCUGCAUGGGUGGAAGAACCCAUGGCUGAUUAAGCUUAACAUACCUUCAAUAAAAUCCCUAAACAAAGCUUGAAUCAAUGGUGAAAAUCUCCCUAAGCUGCUGCCUCAACUUCCUUUCUUCUUCUUCUUCUAGAGAGAGGAUUUCUUGGAGAGUAAUUUGGGGUCUUUUGAUGAAUGAGCUAAAGUGAUUAGCUUAGGGUGUAUUAACUAUUUAUAGUAGGUUAAUUAACUAACUAAUCUCCCCUCCUAACCCCUAAACUAAUUACUAAACUAACCCUCAAUUCCUCACUUAAAACUAAAUUACCAAAAAACUGGCAGCAUUCACGAAUCCCCAUCCACGGACUGGACAUGGUUUGGGUCCAUGGUUUGGAACUGAGGCUCAUAUGUUGCAAGCCAACUCAGGCCUGACCUACGCCCAUGACCUACGGGCCGUAGGUUGAUCUACUGACCGUGAAUGGCCAACCGUGGUUCACCAUUGUUGACAUCUUUUGGGGACUGUUUUGGGGUCCUCCUCAAGGACCCCUUGGGUGGUCCUUGGGGAGUCAUACCCAGACGUUUUAACCUCUAAACAUGUCAUUCUAAGUACGGGAGUCAUUUCUAUGAGUUUUAAUCCUCAUACAACACUCCAAAACUCCACUACAAGACUCUACCACACACUAGUUGAACUCACUAAAAUAUGGGGUGUUACAAUUUGCUCUAUACAUGAGUGGGUUGUGAAGUUUUCCAAAAUAAUAUCAUUCUUAACUUUAUUCUAUUCAUGCUAUCACAUGUCGAUAUGUGCCUAUUUUUUUCUUUUUGGUGGCCUUUAUGAAGAAUGUAAAUUAUGUUAAUGGCAUAUUUGAAACUACUAAGGCAGGCGGUGAAUUCUUUCAUUAGUUAAGAGAAUGAAUAGACCUACAGUUGAGUGACAGUAUGCUGGAAACAUAAUAUGUUACAUUGAUAGUGGAAAACUUAUUGCAGAAGUUAAAAAUGGAGGUAUGUCACAUACUGUUUUCUGGUCACAGAGAGGCGAUUCUACUUUUUUGAACCUUGAACCACUACAUUUUCCUCAUGAAUGUGGCUCAAGGUUACUCCAAAUGCUUUCUCUUUUGAGGCAGGGAGCAUGGCGUGGUCAUUAUGAAGACUUUUUUUUGUUGAUUUUGAAAACCCUCUCAUGCAUUUCCUCAAAGUAAGUAUUUCCAACUGAAAUAAGAAAACUUGUGAUUUUCAGCCUUUUAAAAGUUUGUUUACUUCAGUUUGAGUUGGACUUGCGAAUGCUACUCCUCCUAUGACUCGUUGUGCAUUUCUUGGAAACUCUACUUCUUUCUGUAAGAAGAUUUCAUGAGAUUCGAUAUCCAGUGUAAACACUGAUAUCUGGUUACAUCUAAUCUUUUAUUAUCACUGCAAAUGAGCUUGUAGGGAAGAUACGGAAUACAAAUGUGCUAGCUCUAAGCGAUGUGGGUAUUUCGAUAAUAUUGUUCAAAGUAGAACCCUGUUAAAAUAAUGAUAUAACAAUUGUUACUAGAUCCACAUGCUAUGCAACUUAUUUCUCUUUGGCGUUAUGUGUUAGAAGAAAACAAGGAAAUUGAAUUUUGACUUUGAACAUGAAAAAUUGUAAUGGUUGCCUGUCAUUUGCAUGACAAUUGGUGAUAAUUCUAGUGAGAAGAUUUACUUAAAUAAGAAUACAAAGAAGAAUUCUGAGAGUAAAACAUCAGAAGAGUCUAAGGUUGUUGAGAGACGGUAAUUCUUCUCUCUUGCUCAAUCUCUGCAUCUUUUCAGAGAAUACUUUUCUAGAUAUACAUGCUUCAUAAGUUUUUUCAUUGAUUAGCCAUUUAUCUAGCUAAAUAAAUUUAUAAUAUAGUAUGCAUAAAUAAUUUUUGCUUUCUGAGAUCAAAUUUGACAUCUCAUUUGCUUAUUUUUUUUCUUUAUUUCUGGAUCAAUAACUUGAAUAUUAUUAGAAUGAGAUAACUUUUCAAUAUAAUUUUUUAUCUUCAAAAAAGACAUUCAUGUGGCAGUGCAUGCUUAUAUUUUGGUAAAAUUGUGUUUUUCACUUGUGCAUUUUUGUUCUUUUCAGUCACUGCACAAGAAACACUUGUGUUAUGCUCACCGCUUGAAGCCAGAUGAAGUGUGACGAUGGCAUAUGAAUUGGUAUACAUGUUGCAACAUUGAGUUUUCUUGUAAUAGGUUGCGAUAUUUUUUAACUUAGCUCUAAGUAUUUUACUCUGUUUUAUCAAGCCAGAAUUGUCAUUACAAGUUUGACUUACGUAAACAAGUACAAGAAUUGUUCAACAAAACCUAAGUUAACCAAGAAGACAUAUGACGUGUGUAAUUUGCUUCUAGCAGCUCCUAAUAAUCCUUCAUUUUGCUACAUUAUAUAAUUUUUGCUACAGAUUUUCCUUAUUUCUUUGACAUGUUGUUUUUGUCUUGGAUACUAAUGUGAUAUCAUAAGUUCAAUGUAUCAUAUUAUUCUUAAUUUUGAAACGAUGAUAUUUAAUUUUUCAGCCCUCAUGCCAUAACCAUUUUACUCAUAAGGUAGAGCUUGACUUCGUGUUUGAAUUAGUCAUGUUUUCAAAUUAAGUUGACAUCUUUAUUCAGUUAUCUUUUAGUUGAACCUGCUCUGAUAACUUUAGACACUUCAGUAAUAUUCUCUGUCUACAUAGUAAUUUAUGUCUAUGGGUUUAUUUUAAGUUCUUUUGAAAACCAAACACAAGAGACCAAAAGAAGAAAUGAAGUGAGUUUAUCUACUGCAAUGUUCUAUCUAUACUAAAUAGAAAUACAUAUAUGGGAAUAAUAACCAAAAGACACAAGGUAGAUCACAAUGUCUAAAGGAAAGGGUGUUUUAUGGUUAAGACCUAAUACAUAUACUUGUCAAAAAGUUUGUCUGCAGUGCACACUACACUGGUGAACAAUGCUUCACCAUUUCAUUCAUGCCAAAGACUUCAGUCCACUAAUAACAAAUCAUCUUGCAUCACAUAAAUUUUUCUAGGGCAUUUGGGUCAUUCUUAUACCUGAAAUGAGAAAAAAUAAAUGAGGACAAAUUAAACCAAUGUGCGACCAGUACUUAUACUAUUACAAAAAAUGUAGUCGACUAAUCAUGUUUCCAUCUUCAUCUUACCAUUAGUGCAAAACACAUAUUUGUACCUAUAUCAGAAAAGAGUAUUGUAGGCUAAAGCUCCCCAUUUACUGGACUUAGCUACCGUUCAUACAACUUCAUACAACUUUUCCAUGAGAAAUAGAUCAGCAACAGAAGCUACCGUUCUUUUCUCCGUCCUUGGUACAAGCACCUUAUUGAUGAACUCAAAGAGUAACUGAUAUUCACCUUUGAGAAACUUCUUUGGCAACCCUGCUCUCUUGAUAUCCCCACGAUUUGUGGCCUGUUUUGAGAACCCACUAGAUGGAUGACAGCCUUCUAUUGACCUGAUUCCCUCCAUAGGCACACCUAGAAUGAUCCCCAAGGUUUCCUCAUCUAGAAGGAUUUUAACAUUCUUGACAGUAGUCCUAAUUCCUCCAUCCUCUAGAAGCUCCAUUUUAUAAUAAAAUUCGCGUACCUCAGGUUCAUGAAGAUAUGGUGCUGGGGGUUCGAACAAAUGUCCCCAACCUUGUAGAGAAACAAUAUCAAAGAGAUUCAACAUACCAAAUGCAGUAAGAAUGUCAGGGUCGAAUACUCUGUUGUUCAGCACUUUCUGAUUCUCCAUUUGGGCUAUGCGAUCUUCCCUUGUCAUCUCCUUGUCUACAACUGGAUUUUGAACAGACGUACCUGGUCCCUUGACUGGACUUGAUUUACCAGUGACCUUGUUUCUCACUCUCUCCUUCUUCACAGGUGAUUUCUUUGUCGCCUUCUGAAUUUUGUUUUUUUUAACCCUAUCAUCCUCUCUUUCCUUUCUUCUUUUUGCCAUAUAUGCAGCAACAUCGUCACACUCAGUGUCACUGGACCCAACAGGCAAAGGGGUAGAGGUAGGUUUUCCAGGCUCAUUAUCUUCCCUCCUCCUUUUCCUGGCCCUUUCCAUUUGAAUUAUGCUUGUCGCUAUGGCUCUUCCCAAAACAUUUUAUGUUUCACUUCUUGUCCCAUACCUCUUCUUGUCACCUUUUGAGCGGGACUCAACCAGCUUUCCCUUCCCUUUUCUUUGUCUCUCCUUCUCAAAUUCAGUAGACUGAACAAUGUGGUAAACCUUUGGAGCAUUCUUAAUUAUCUCUCGAUCUGGGACACCAACUGUUAAUGUGUUGGCUCCUCGUACCCCCGUUCUGCUCCAUCUCAAGGGAGGUUCUUCCUCCUCCUCUUCACUUUCAACAUCAAAAGAUCUGGGAGUUUGGUCAAACACAGGUUGGACAUUGUGAGGGACCUAUUCCGGUGAUCUUAACUUUGGUUCCAAUCGAGUUGGUUGAACAUCUCCUCUAAGUGAAGCCAGACUUUGUAUAGCCACCAGUUCUGCCCCUGUUGCUAGAAUGUUUGACUCAGGACCCCUUCCCUCAGCUAGAUCCCCUUCAAAAAGUCGCUCAGACAUUAUAGAAGACACAGCCCUAGAAGCCACUUCUACUUCUUCAGUGGUAGGUUCAACACUAGGUUUCACAACAGAUUGUUCCUCUGAAUUCUGGGAUUUAUCACAGGAUAGCACUAAAGUAGGAGAACAGGGCAAAAUCUCCCCAAAUGGAAGUUCAGGAGAAACCACUACUUCAGUUAGAGGAGUGAUGGAUUCACCUGUUUCACCAACUGUACAAACUGGUGUCGAAGGAGACUCUUCUGGGAGAGGAAUAGAGAAGUUGAUUGAACUAGGGUGUAACAUCGUGUAAGUUGAAAUAACUAUGAAGAAGCUAGAAAUUUGAAAUAGUCAUUUUUGGAAAGAAUUCAAAAUCUGGAAAUUUGGUUAAGUAUGGGAAAAAAUGAGCUUUUGGUCAACUUUGAGCAGUCAUAACUCCUAGCUCAGGAUUAGUUAGGUGUAUUUCCAGUUAUUUUUGUAAAUCCCUUGGAAUAAUCUUUCCAACGCCGCCGAGUUUACUCGAUUCCGAGUUUGUAUGAGUGAGUUAUGCCCUUUCGAAGUUAGGUUGUUGGUAAAGGAAGUUCAUCCGAAAUUUUAAGGGUAGUUUGGUCUUUUCCCUCACCUUUUCUUUUGGUUGUAUAUCAAGGGUGUAAGCUGAUUUUUACAUCAGUUUUCCCCUUUUAAAAAGUGAGAGUUAGGGCUUUUGAGAGAAGAGAGAAAGAAGAGGAGACAGAGAAGAAGAAGCAAGGAUUCAUCAAGAUCGUCGUGGUUUUCGUUGGGGGUGAUCCCUAUUAAGGUAUGUGAGAUCAUAGUGUUGGGUUGGUUCAUUCCCCCACACGCCAAACUCGUUUUAAUUUCGAGAAAAGAUUAGUUGUGGUUGUUGAAGUUAUGGUUUUGUUGUUGAAGUUUCUUGUUGGUUGGGUGCAUGUUUCCGGUUGUUAUUUCGAGUUGUAUCCGUUGUAUAUUAAGGGGUUUUAUGAUUCUAAGUGUUUGGGGAUGGAACAUUUGAAUUUAAGAAGGUUUAGAGUUGGAAAAACAAGGAGGAAAGUCGGGUUUUCGGGGAAAAAAGGCUGGGGCGUUGUGCCAGCCAGCGCGCCCCAAAAAUGGCUCUGAGGCCCCCUCCUUGGGGCGGUGCGCCAUGCAGGGCACCCAGCAUGCCCCUCUGAAAUUUGAGGGUUGGCGCCCCGCGCCUCUCAGAGCGCUAGGGACGCCAGUCUUCCCCAUUCUUUCCCCACUCUUUCAUACAUGUUCCUUGGUAAUGUGCCUAUGUUUUAUAGUUGUUUUCAACACUCUAAGGUACAUCUAAACAUCAAGAACUCAUCCAUANNNNNNNNNNNNNNNNNNNNNNNNNNNNNNNNNNNNNNNNNNNNNNNNNNNNNNNNNNNNNNNNNNNNNNNNNNNNNNNNNNNNNNNNNNNNNNNNNNNNNNNNNNNNNNNNNNNNNNNNNNNNNGUAUUCCCAAAGAAGUUUAUAAAUGUUUUUCACAUUUGAGCAAAGAAGAGGGAACAUUGAUUUCAAAAGAGCCUUUGGGCUAAGCUUUGAGCAAUUAUCUCAAACUAAAGAAAGAUGUGUUUCAAACACUUAUGAGCUAAAGUAUAUUUUGGGAGUAGUCUUGAGCACCGAAUUGGGGACACGAGUUCAUACUUACUCAACUCUCCAUAAGAACCAUGUAGCCAAACAUGGGAUUUAACGGGUCAUACUUUUUAGGUGAUCACGUAAGUUAAGCUAGUGGAUCCACUAAGUUAAGUAAGGUCCUAUAUCACGGCAAGGUAUUCUUAGAAAGUAGGAUUCUCAAUUACCUCUUUCCAGGGAUCAAUUCUCGACUGCUCUAUAAAAACUCAAGUACUGCCAAGGAGAGAAACUUGUACAAUGAAUCUGAAUCAUCACAUAUUCUCCACUCUACUUUUAACAAGCAUUGUAUUACUUAGUUUCUACCGUGUAAAUUAAAAAGAGAGGAGAGAAAAACUUUGUUGGUAAGGCUUUGUAUCACAAAUAAAAAGAGAAAAAAAGUUGAGUAUAGACAUAGGAACUAUACUCAAUCUUGUACUCACAACAAAGUUUACAAAGGGUAGAAGAGAACACCCUUGAAACCCAGGGGAACUAGACGUAAGAUCCAUUUUGGAUCUUAACUAGUAUAAGAAUAUUUGGUGUCAAGUUUAUUUUCUGCACUUCCAUUACUAAUUAUUUAUCCUUGCUAACAAUAGUUGACCGGUGAAUUUUACAAGUUAACUAUUGUUCAAAUGUUAGUAAGUUAAACAUUGUUACAUUGUUCAUUAGUUAGUUAAUCAAUAAGCUAAUUGAUUAGGAUCAAUUAGUUAGUUAAUAAAUCAUUGAGUCUGUUACUCAACUAUGAACUGGCAAUGUCAGUGAGUUUGUUAUCACACAUUCUAGCUAUAAAAGCAGUAGUUGGGAUCACACUUUGCAAGUUGAAUGCAGUUAACAUCAAUAAAAUUCUCUCUUCUUUCUAUUCACAUUUUUCUCUGUUCAUCAAUGAACUGAUGAGCUUACUAGCUCACAGUUUCAACAUGGUAUCAAAGCUUUGAGCAAUUGAUAUUGGUUGUGUAUAAGCAGAGUUCUUAGACGAGAGUAGAGUAUUCUUCUUCAGCAUUUUUUUAGCUUCAUCAAUGGCUGUUCCUACUAUUCAUCAAAAUGAUCCUUUAUACAUCGGACCAUCAGACACUUCAGGAGCUGUGUUAAGUACCAUAAAAUUGACUGGAUCUAAGAACUAUGGGAUCUGGAGCAGGUCGAUGAGGAUUGCACUAUAAGAGAAAAGAAAAUUUGGAUUUGUGACUGGAGUUUGUACUAGAGGACUGUACAAGGAUGAGCUUCAUGAACAAUGGGAGACAUGUAAUGCAAUUGUAUUGUCCUGGCUAAAGAACACUUUUAGUGAAGAUCUACUCAGUGGAAUUGUGUAUGCAACUACUGCAUUCUCAGUUUGGGCAGAUUUGAAUGAGCGAUUUGACAAAGUGAAUCGAAUGAGGAUCUAUCAUUUACAUAGGUAAAUCAUCGCUCUCGCACAAGGUACAAACUAUGUAUCACAUUAUUUCACUAAGUUGAAAAUAUUUUUGAGUGAAUAUGAUAUGUGAUACCAAAUCCUUGUUGUACAUGUCCUCAAUCGAAAGACAAUGUUUAUCAUCUGCAAUAACAGAGAUUAAUUCAGUUCUUAAGUGGUUUAAAGGACUCAUAUGAUCAAGCUCGUAGACAGGUCUAGUUGAAGGGAGUUACCCCUUCCAUUAAUCAAGCCUAUGUUAUGGUCAUUGAAGAUGAGAUAUUUGUCAGUUGUUGUUAAUGUAGUAGAUAAGCCAGAAUUGAUAGCACUGAAUGUAAACAAAAACCAAGGAAUAGUGUAUUACAAAGGGAAGAGGUGUGAAUUUUGUCAUUUCACUGGUAAUACUAAGGAAAAUUGUUACAAUAUGAUUGGUUAUCCAAAAUAUUGGAAGCAAAGGAGGAAGUCAGGAUCAGGCUAUGGAAAUGGCAACAUACGCAAUGUAUCAAGCUCUACUAAUGGUGGUGGUUAUGGUACACAGUCCUCUACUAACAAUCUGAAUUUGAGAAAUGUAGGAAACUCUGGUGACUAUGGAGGACAGCACUCAGCAAACAAUGCAUCUAGUAAUCAUUAUGAUUACUCUCUAGGGCCUUCCACUAACCAAGAUGAAAGCAGGGCCUUCUUGGCAAAAGGUCAUGUAUUCAUGAUCCAAAUACUAAACAUGCUAAACAAAGAAGGAUAGGAUUCUAAGCAGGUCAACAUGACAGGCAUAACUACUUGUUUAAUGUCAAAUAGCUUCACUCAAGAUUGGAUCAUAGACUCUGGUGCAACUCAUCACAUUAUAGUAGACAAUCAUUCACUAACAAAGAGUCAAGUUUUAGCUAAAUCCCACAAGAAACAUGUACACGUACCUACAGGAGACAAAGUAGACAUUAGUCACAUUAGUGAAGCAUAUGUAUUUGAUAAGAAGACUGUGAAGAAUGUCUUACAGGUUCCAGACUUCAAAUUCAACCUAUUAUCAGUCUCAAAAAUCACAAGGGAGUUAUCUUGUUUUGUAUCAUUCUACCUUAACUUUUGUGUUUUUCAGGACCUCUUCAGUGGCAAGGUGAAGGGGAUUGGUAAAGUAGAUGGAUUAUUAUACAUGUUUAGGGGUAAAGUUCCACCACAACACAAGCAAGAAGUUACAUGUGAGAAGAAAGUGAUUAAUAUAGGAGCAAUAUUAGAGGAUGUUAACCUGUGCCAUAAGAGGCUUGGACAUCCUUCUGGUCAAAUCUUGAAGGUUUUAAAACUAUUUCCCAACAAUAAAGACAGUGAAGUUUUUCAUGUUAGUAGCUCUAGAGCAUCUGUAAGUUUUGUUGUUGUUCACAUGGAUCUUUGGGGUCCCUAUAAGACCCCUACGAUGGAUAAGAAGCACUAUUUCCUAAAAAUUGUAUAUGACUAUAGUAGGUUUGUAUGGACUUACUUGUUGCAAUUGAAAUCUGAAACCAUUGUUGCCAUCAAAAGCUUCAUGUUAAUGGUUAAGACUCAAUUUGAUUUUCAUGUUAAGAUUGUGAGGUCUGAUAAUGGUACAGAGUUUCUUAACUCUUAGUGCACAAGUUGUUUCAGGAACUAGGUAUUUUGCACCAAAGCAGUUGUCCUCACACACCUCAAUAGAAUGGUGUGGUAGAGAGGAAACACAGACAUAUUCUCAACAUUGCUAGAGCUAAUAGAUUCCAAUCACACUUGCCUAUUAGAUUUUGGGGAUAUUGUAUUAAGGUUGUUGUAUACUUAAUGAAUAGGCUACCUUCAUCUUUCAUUGAGAAUAAAAGUCCUUACAAAAUGCUUCAUGCCAAACAACCCUCUCUCACACAUUUAAGGACAUUGGGAUGUAUUUUUCAUGCCUUAGUGUUACCAAAGGGAGAUAAGUUUGCAGAAAGGUCUGUUCCUGCUAUUCUCAUAGGAUAUUCAGAGCUUCAAAAGGGAUAUAUAUAUUGUUGGAUAUUAAGUACAAUAAGAUCUCUUUACACAAGGAUGUGAUUUUUCAGCAAGAUGUUUUCCCAUUUGCAAAGGUGAUGCCUCAGUCACAACCACAUGUCACAGUUUUUGAAUCACCUUUAGAGUUGGAUGAUUACUUUGAUCAAGUUGAUUAGGUUACUCAUACUGAUACUACUAGGGAUCCUCGUAUUGAAGACAUUGUUGUUUUGGACAAUGGGGGUGCUCAGAAUGAUAGUGAGGUUCAAGAAGAAAUCAUUUGUGAGAAUCCUUCAUUACAAAAUUCAUCUGAUGAGACUAUACAACUUCCUAUUGUUUUUGCAGAUCCUCCUAUUAGAAGGACCACAAAAGGCAGUAGAGAGCCUACUUGGAUGAAAGACUAUACUAUUGUUGGUAAGAAGUAAAGAAGUACUAGACAUCCCUUGGUUAAUUAUCUAUAUUAUGACAGCUUAGCACCAUCUUAUAGAGAAUAUUUAAGUAAGAUGUCUAGUUAUGUGGAGCCCAAACACUUUAGACAAGCAGUCAAAGAUGAUAGGUGGAUACAUGUUAUGAAAUAAGAGAUACAGGCUCUUGAAGACAACGAAACUUAGAUGGUAGUUGAUCUACCACCAGCGAUGCAUACAUUGGGAUCAAAAUGGGUGUAUAAGGUAAAAUAUAAAGCAAAUGGUGAGGUAGAAAGGUUCAAGGCUAGGCUGGUAGCUAAAGGUUCUAGUCAGCAAAAGUGAUUGGACUAUCAUGAUACUUUUUCUCUCAUUGUAAAAAUGGUAAUAGUUAGAUGUGUGCUUGUUUUAGCAGUGUCUAAGCGUUAAAACCUCUACCAGAUAGAUGUGUACAAUGCAUUCCUCCAAGGUGAUCUUGAUGAGGAGGUAUACAUGGACAUUCCUGAAGGUUUCAAAAGGCAUGGGGAGACAAAAGUGUGCAAGUUACUUAAGUCCUUAUAUGGUCUUAAAUAAGCCUCUUGACAAUGGAACUUAAAGCUAACCAAUGCCUUGUUGUCUCCUGGUUUCACUCAGAGUGCAUAUGAUUACUCUCUUUUUACUCUAAAUAAAAUGAAGGACUUUUCAUUGUCCUAGUCUAUGUUGAUUAUCUAUUGAUCACAAGCAACAAUGCACAAAUGAUCACAGAAGCCAAACAAAAUUUACAUCAGCAAUUCAAGUUAAAAGUUCUAGGUGAACUUAGAUACUUCUUGGGGAUUGAAGUGUUAAGGUCCUCUAAGGGAGUUAUUUUGAAUCAGAGGAAGUAUAUUUUGGAACUCAUUAUUGAUGCAAGGCUCACUAGUGCUAAACAUGCCCUUACUUCUCUUGAAUCCAACUUAAGACUCACUUCAGUGGAAUAUGAUUUAGUGAAUGGGGUUAUUGGAGAUGAGGUUCUUCAUGACAUUACAUCCUAUCAAAGAUUAGUUGGAGAGCUUCUUUAUGCCAACAUCACAAGACCUGACAUUAGUUAUGUAGUACAAACCCUUAGCCAGUUCAUGCAGUCCCCUAAAAAGUCACAUUGGGAGGCAGCUACAAGAGUAGUUAGACACUAGAAAGGCACAGUAGGACAAAGUGUUUGGUUACAAGCUAAACCUACCACUAUGUUAACUUGUUGGUGUGAUUCUGAUUGGGCUAGUUGUCCAAAUACUAGAAGGUCUAUUACUGGUUAUGUGGUAAAAUUUGGUGACUCCUAGUGUCUUGGAAAUCUAAGAAACGACAUAUUGUCUCCAGGAGCUCAGCUGAAGCUGAGUAUAGAAGCAUGGCUUCAGCUGUGUCUGAAGUUACCUGAUUGUUGGGCUUAUUUACUAAGUUAGGAGUACCUAUUCAGGUGCUUGUGACUCUUCUUAGUGACAAUAAAUCAGCAAUUCAGUUGGCAGCUAAUCCAGUCUUUCAUGAAAGGACCAAACAUAUAAAAAAGUACUACCAUUUUAUAAAAGACAAGAUCAAAGCAGGGGUGGUUGAAACUGUUCAUGUUCCUACUCAACAUCAAGUUGCAGAAUUAUUGACAAAAGGCUUGAGUCAAGCUCAACAUUUGCAUCUUCUCAUCAAGCUUGGUGUGCUUAAUGUCAUGAACCCUACAGUUUGAGGGGGUGUGUUCAAAUGUUAGUCAGUCCAUUAGUUAGUUAAACACUAUUACAUUGUUCAUUAGUUAGUUAAUCAAUAAGCUGAUUGAUUAGGAUUCGUUAGUUAGUUAAUAAAUCAUUUGAGUCUGUUACUCAACUAUGAGCCGGCAAUGUUAGUUAGUUUGUUAUCACACAUUCUAGCUAUAAAAGCACUAGUUAAGGAUCACACUUUGUAAGUUGAAUGCAAUUAAUAUCAAUAAAAUUAUCUCUUCUUUCUAUUCACGUUUUGCUCAGUUCAUCAAUGAACUGAUGAGCUCACUAGCUCACAGUUUCAACAACUAUACUAAAGAAAAUCUAAAAAGAGCAAUUCACCCCCUCUUGCACUUUCAACAAUCACUUAAAAUAGAAAUCUUUAAUGAUAAUAAAUCUAAUUCAUCACUAUCCUUUGAUUCUUCAACUUUUAAUAACACAUAAAAUCUUUGUAGAUAACCUCUUGUACUUCUUAAAAUUUUCACUUGAACAAAGUAUAAUUAUUUUUCAAAUGAAUUUAUUUUAUUUCUUAAAGAUGGUUUCUUUUUCAAUUAUUUUCCACCUUAUAGUAUUGACCUAAAUUGCUUUAAUCCGGCAAAGCCCACUCAUUGUUAUUAAUCGCAGAUUUUGAGUUGGGUUAGAGUUCUAGAAUUUGAAUUUUUUCAUUAUGAAGCCACUCCCUUCCUAUAUAGGCCUUUCACAAUAAUAUCGACUUAUCGUGCAUACAUCGUAUGUACUAGAUACUAGAUGAUAAAAUUAUAUUUUUUAAAAUAAAGAAGAAAUUAAAGAGUCAUCUAUUUAGUGACUAUUCUUUAUGCAUCAUUAUUAGAAAAGAUAAGAAGAAGUGUAUAUGCGAGUCUUGGGAUUGGAAAAAAAUUAGUUACAGAACUAUUUCCUCUUUAUAUAAACUUUACGUGUAAAUUUGAACAGAUCAUAAAACUUUUUGAGGAAGAAAAAGAGUAGAACGAGGAAAAAGAUGAGAGGUUUGGUGUAAACAUCUGAUCCAAGUAAGUUUUUAUCUAAAAGGAGGAUGAGGAGUGACUAGUAUAAUUGUCCAAUGAUUAAAAAAAGAGUGCUAUUAACCGGUCUACUUAUUUGGUUUGGGUAUUUUCAUCAGUUCGCAUAAUUCUACAUAAAUUUUAUAUUAUACAAUAAGAAAAUAUAUGUUUCAUGAAGUUAUUAUUUUUUAGCACAAAGACAAAGAAAACAAAAAAAAUCUUUUUUGUUUUAAUCUUGUAUUUGAUGCUUGUGUUAGGGUCCUAGUCAUUCAAAUACUGAUUGACUAAAAGCAAAAAAUGUUCCUGCUUGAAUUGUUCAUAUUUUAAAGACUGGAAAAAUUCAUAAUUGGAAAUCAUUUCCUAAAUAAAAUAUUAAGCGGUGCAAAUUCAACUUAAUCUGAUAAAAAGUGAACUAGACACCAAAUGAUUAACCAAUACAAGAAACAGGUUAAAAAAAGAAGAAGCAGAAGAAGAGAAUAAUAAAAAAAACUAAAACUUACCAAUAAAACUUAUUAUCACCAUGUAGCAACCAACAAAAUACUAAUCUUCAAUGCAACUAAAUCUAAUUCACUAUUUUCCUCUGAAUCUACAACCUUUAAUUCCUCAAACUCUUUUGUAGACAAAGACUCUCUCCUUAUGUAGGCCUUAUGCAUUUUUAUUAUAAUGAGAGGUUUCGAUGUAAGCACCUGAUACAAGUAAUUUUUCAUCUGAAGGGACGAGGGGAAGAAGUGGCAUGUAUAAUUUUCCAAUGGCGAACCCUAACUAGAUGGUAAAUGCAACCCUUAGAAAUCAUCUUUCUAGCUUUAAGAUAAGAGACAAACUGGCCUUCUCCAACCCAUCUCUAUUUUAUUCUCUAUUCUCUAUAUUUGGAGAGUAAAAUAGAGAAUUGGUUCUCCAAGCACUCUCUAUUUCACUCUCUAUUCUUCAACUAUUCACCUCUCUAUUACUUUUUGAUUAUUUUAAUAUUAUUUCUUUCCUUAUUUCUAUUAUAUUAUAUAUUACUAGUUAAGUCUUUAUCAUUUGUUAUUAUUUUCUAAGUAAUAUAACAUCUAAAACAUAUUAUUGAUAAGUAUACUACUUUCAUCCCGAGUUAACAAUUUUUCUAAUUUAAUUUUAUAUUUGUUUUUUUGUCAUUUUAAAUAUGUAAUUUCAAUUAUAAUUAUUUUUCAUUAUGAAGUAUGCACAUAAUUUACAUGAUAAUUCAAACAAUCUACUUUUAUGUUAUAGUGAUGAAUUAUUAAACUACACUUUUUAAUGAGCAUGAAAAUAUUUGAUGUUAUAGUUCAAAAUGGAAUAGGGGAAGUAAAUUAGUACGGAAUAAUUGGAAAUGAGAUGAAAUUGUUAAUUUAAACAAUUUUUAGCUACACCUAAAAAAAUAAGGACAAAAAUUGCUCAUUUUGAACUCCGUAAUACAUUAAUAGAACAUUUAUGAGAGUAACGUAAUAGUCUUGAAAGUUGAGUAUUUAUGUAAAAUUUAAAAUAAUUUUUGCAAUGAUACAAUAUUUAUGAUGUUUUCACUUUUAUUUAAAUUGUUCGUUAAUAUGUAUUAUGUAUAAUAUUAUUGCAAUUUAUGUUAUUUAGAAAUUUAAAUUAAAAUAUAAUUUUUUAUUAAAUGAAGAAUUUGAAAAAAAUAAAAUUUUGUAUUACAUAAAGAUUAUAGAGUGAUUAUUUGCAAAAAGAAGAAAUGAUUUAUAAUAUGAAAUAGAAAUAAUAAUAUAAUAUUGAGGAGAGAGAAAAAGAUUUCUUUUUAGAGAGUAAAAUAGAGAAUUGGGUUGGAGUUGGUUGUCUAAAAAAAUAGAGAACUCUAUAUUUGGAGAGUAAAAUAGAGGAUGGGGUUGGAGAUGCCCAGAAUUCCUCCCUUUCCACUCUAGUACAGGCUCAUUCGGAAACUGAAACUUGACUACACGAGUUUUACAAUCAACAGAAGCAUAACAUGAGUACACUCAAUCCAUACCAAGAAUAACAUCAAAAUCUAACAUAUCAAGAUCUUCCAAGUCAACAAGAGUAACUCUAUGGACAAGGAAACAUGACACUUUCUAUAGACCCUCUUAGCCACAAUAGAAUCACAAACAGGAGUAGAGACAGAAAAAGGAUCUAACAGCACAUCCGGAAGAACAUCAUACCUCAUAGCCACAUAUGGCAUCACAAAAGACAAGGUAGCACCGGGAUCAAGUAAAGUAUAAACAUCAAGUUGGAAAAAUUUCAACAUAUCGGUGACUACAUCGGGAGAACCCUCUUGUUCACCACGAGCCAGAAGUGCAUAGAAUUAGUUUUGCUUAGGACCAUUGGAACUUAAACCACUAGGAGGAGCUUGCUUGCCCUCUCUUCCUUUAUCCAUAAGAAUCGAGCAAUCCCUCAUUUUGUGACCACUUUUUCCACUUACCCUCGUGGUUCCUUCCACACUUAGUACAAGUAAACCUAGGCAAUGAAGAUCCACUACCAUUACCUCCUUGAGGCUUAGGGUUAGACACCCUAUCUUUGUUGAACAUAGGAGGAGCAUUGGAGGAACCUUGACUGGAAAACCUUUGUCGAAAUCUAUUAGAUAGUUAGAGUUAGUAGUUUCUUCAACAAUUCUAAAAAGAAGAGUUGCUCUUAGAGUUAGGGAGCGAGUGGAAUAAACGAGUUCAAUACGCUGGAUAAGAAGCGUAGUAUAUGAAGUGAUCACUAGAGCGAGGGGUGUAAUAGGCAGAAAGGACUACUAGAGCUAUAUACUUUGAGAACGAGUGGAAUACCUGAAACAAGAGAGGGUAGGUAGAGCACUUUCACCCUUUAAGCUUUGCUUUCUCGAUCCACUACUAUCUUACUAAAAACUCAAAAAAAAAACUUUUGAGUUAAGAGAAAGAAAAUAGGCACACCUUUACACAGAGCGACCAUGUCCAUCAGACCUUGCAUAAGAGAAAUUACCAUCAUCGGUCUUAGCCCUUCUUGUCUCACUGGACUUUUCCUUAAGUUUCUCCUCCUCAAUUUGUUGUGCAUGAACCAUGAGAUGAGAGAUGUACAUGUCAUUAAUGAUCAUGGCAGUACGACACUCUUUAACCACCAUUUCGGACACACCAGAAAUGAACUUACUCAUCCUAGCCCUUGAAUUGGCAACCAUUGUUGGAGCAUAUUUAGAAAAUUGAGUGAACUUUAAAGCAUAUUCCCUCACACUCAUACUUCCUUGUCGAAGGUUAAUGAACUCAAGCACAUUAGAUUCCCUCAUCUCAAGGGGAAAGAACCUAUCAAGAAAAGCGGCCUUAAACUUCUCUCAAUCAAGAGGAACCAUAUUUUCCGGUCUCCCUUCCUUCCAUUGGUUGUACCGAAUUUGAGCCACACCUUUUAGUUGAUAAGCGGCCAACUUUGCCUUUUCCACCAGCGUAACUCCUAUGAUCAUUAAAAUCUUAUAGACCUCACAAAUAAAAUCUUGAGGAUCUUCCUCAACCUUAGAACCAUGAAACUCCGGAGGGUUCAUCCUAGUGAAGUCCCUAGCUCUUGAAGCCGUCGUGCCCACAUUUGGGUUCACGGGAACCACAACCUCCCUAUUGUCUUGGGCCAUCACGGCUUGAGACAACACUUAAAUAGUAGCCCUAAACUCCGCAUUAGACACUUGCUCGGCCAAACGAUCGACCGGAACUUGAGGAGCUUGGGGGUGAGCUUCUUGUUCCUCAUUCUCCCUCACAUUCCUUCUUGCAUGAGCUCUUCGGGUAGCGAUAUCUUGAAGAACAUAAGGUAAAGAUUAGGAGAGAGACCUUAUAGAGUUGAACUCUAUCAUACGACUUUAGAGUAAUGACAGAAUUGGAGUUUCCUAAUCAUCUUGUAGCCUCUCAUUCAUAAAUGUGGCGCACUACUCUACUAGACGUGGCUUAUGAAACAUCCUAUGACCAUUUUAAACCUUGUGCUCUAAUUACCAAGUUUGCCACGACUCAGGGGUACCCCUAAGAUGUAACAUGACAUAUAGAACCCCCCAUACAAGCCACUUAGCUUUCAUAACAUAAGAAAUAGAACAAUAAGAGUAAAACAAUAGACCAAAUCCAAUAGUUUUAUAAAAGAAAAGUGGAAUUCUAAAACACUUGUCUCAUCAUAGCCAUUUGAUACAAUAGAAUGAAACUGGGCCCAGUCCAUAUGGCCAAAAGGAAAAUACAUGAAAGAAACUGAAAACAAUAAAACUCCAUCCUCGAAGCAUGAGGACACACCAAAGCUCAGAAAUCUCGAAAUCAACACUAGCCACGAAACUAAGAAACCUGAAUGUCGAACCCUGCAUUUGGGGAAAGGUAGGCAAGAGUAUGUGUUAGUACAAAACAAUGUACUAAGUAUGAUGGCCAUGCAUAAAACAUUUAAAUCAUGCUAAAAAGGGACAUUUCAUUUCAUGACAUGCAAUUGACCAAGCUAAAACAUGAUAUAAAAGGGCUAGAAAACAUAAGUCAUAAAACCAUGGUCAAUGCAAGCUAACAUCAUCUUUAAAACCUUUGAACUCAUAUGCGAUACUUAUUGAAGUAACCUUAGUUCAUAAUUAAUGGUGGGGAUUAACCUUAAGCGACAUAGAGACCAUGUAAGCUAUAACAUGAUCCCCCGGUGUCUCCCACACCUAAAAGGGUUGUCCUACUAGCCAAGGUAGAACCAUGAACUUCUAGCUUAAUGGAUCCACUAGCUAAUGUCUAUCUAGCAAUCAUCCUAUAGGGGCACAUAGGUAAGGGAUAAGGAGAUUGCUACUAGAAACUCGGUCUCUACUAACGUGAGAGUUUCCAUCUCAAUAUCCUCUCGGUGCUAAGCAUAAAUCCCACGGAGUAGUUAUUAAUCUUAACUUGUCUCAUGAUCCAUGGAAAGGUAUCCUUGGAUAACCAAUCCAAGCUAAGGUCAUUAGGAUAGUUCUUAAUUUUUUAUUCAAUUAGGUGAGAAAGUCUUUCAAUCUAAGAAUCCUUAUUAUGUGAGAAAACCUUUCACACCUUACUAUUAUGUGUACAUGAGGAAAUCCUUCCAAUAACACAUCAUGAUCAUCAUCAUUGAUACUUUACUCUCAAAGCAUCCUUAAAACAUUUACAUAGAUUUCAUAAGAAAAUGCAUUAGUCCAUAAUUCACAUCUUGAGGUUCAAAACCCAUUUUCAAUCAUCAACACUUGGAAAACAUGGGUUAUAUAUGUAUUUCAUCAUAAAUUCAUUAAAGCUAGCAAUACAUGCUCAAUUUCAUAAAACGUUUCCUUUACAAUCAAAAUCCCACAUCAUAUGAUCCAUAACUUGAAAACAUGGAGGUUACAUGGGUUCAUGGGGAAAAUCAUCGUAAAAUCAUAGUAUUUCAUCAACUCAUGCAUAAGAGAUCAUAAUUCAAUCAUUUAAAUAAACAUUGAAGAGAACCCAGGACAAUUGAAGAAAACCCUAACUCAAUUGGGGAUUUCUAACUUUUGAAAAUAGGGGAAUUUGGGAACUCCAUGGAUGAAAACAAUCAUACCUCAAAGUCAAAUGCUUAUAUUCAAUGGAGGAAUUGAGAAUUGACCUUCACCCUAGAUUGAAUCCUUUCUUCAUCUUCAAGUUUCUAGAGAGAGAACUAUUUUGGAGAAGAGAUUUGGUCUUCUUUUAGAUUCUUGAGAGAAUGGGUCUUAAAUUGAGGAAAUUUGAGGGUAAAAUACUUAUAUAUAUCUCUAUAUGAAGGGGAAAAUGACGUAGUAUUGAAUUAAAAUAAUUUUAAAUGACUUUUAAGACCUAACUUAAAAAUUGAAGAUUGUUACGUUGGAGCUCACCAAAGGCCACUCGGCGACUCGCCAAGUGAGCCUCUAGCUUGCCGAAAUUUACAGGGAGUCGACUUGGGGCUAAGUCAACUUAAGUGAUAGGGAGUCUACUUCGGCGACACGCCAAUCGAAAUAGUGAGCUCGACUUAGCUCACCUGAAGUUCCAGAACCAUGGAUGCUGAAAUCGAGCCAAAAAGGCGAGGAGCUCUACUCGGCGGAUCGCCAAGUUGACUAAGAAGUGAAUAUUUUCCCUUCUCUGAAUUCGAGGUGUUACAAAAUCAGGCCAUGUGUAGUUCAAAUUACAUAAAUAGUAAAAGAAUUUUGAAUUUCUAUCCUAAUGUCAGUGAACCGUAUAUGGGUGGCUUACGUAUCUAGCUGAGGGAAUCAAGUCAGGCAUAGUUUUCCUGUUACAAAUAAAGGAUUUUAUAAAUGUUCUAUAUUAAAACCAAACUUUAUGUGGGCUACCUACGUAUCCUACCAAAGGAAUCAGGUCAGAACGUAGUUCAUAAUUACAAGAAAAGUAGAAGUUACAUUCAGAAAAUCUAUCUAAAGUUGCCCUUCGUUGUAGUAUCUUGACUUCUCUUGAAUGGAAAAUUUCAUGCUCGAAUAUUGUCAUAUUGUCAUGUUUCUUGGUCUAUUGUUCAACUAUAGGUUACCUUCAUAUCCUUCAAAAAUCUUGCUUGACUUCAAACUUUGUUCAUUUGUUUCAUUAUGUCACAAUCAUAAUAUUGGUGAAUUUGAGGGGAAAAAAUUAAAAGUAAUAAGUAAGAGAGAAUUUUGAAAAUAGGAAAUGCAUUCAUAGAUAUUGCAAUUAAGCUUCCAAAAGAUAAGGCAAAACAACAUAAAGUUUUAAGGCACAAUUUAAGCCUCGAUUUUUAAAAUCAUGAUAUUUUAAAAGUGUUACUACUUGUUCAAUCUACCAAGACUCCCAGCGAACCAAAAAAGGAGUACAAGUCCAAUUCUUCAAAGUCUCAUUUGGUUCAGCACCCCCAUAUGGUCGGUGUCUCGGUUUUGUAGAGAGGCAUGCAAGUAGUUGUAGUAGUGACCUUCACCAAUGCUUGUUCUUGGGUUGUCAUGGCAGAAGCAUCAAAGAACGAUAAAGUGUCAUUUUUCACCUUUCCAAUUGGAACAAUACUUCCUUUCACAACCAAAUCUUCCUGUAUAGUUAUCAUGUUCACAUUAGCAUUUCCAUGUUUAGGCAGAGGGUUGGUGUUCAAGUUAGGCUGAGGUCCAGUAAGUUGGAUUUCUCCUUCUUUGAUUAAAACUUCAAUCUUGUUUUUGAGAGCGUAACAAUCCUCAGUGUCGUGUCCAACAACUCCAGAAUGAUAGGCACAAUGCUUGGAACCAUCAAACCAUUUUAGAAUAGGAUCAGGAAUUUUCCCUUCAAUUAGUUGUAUCAUACCUGCAUCUUUCAACCUCUCAAACAACUGAGCCAAUGGUUUGGCUAUUUUGGUGUAGUUGCGAGUGGUGUUGAUUUCAUGAUUUGGACGAGCUCUAGGUGCAACAUGUGGUUGAUUCUGAAAAUUUGAAGCUUAGACUGGUUGGUAUGAAUGUGGUUUAUUGUAAUUAGGAUCUCGAGGUUGAUAGUAGUUUGCCUAGGUGUUGUAGACAUGGUAAGGAGUUGAUGGAGAAUGGUAGAGGCUUUGUGAGGCUUCACCAAAUUGGUAAGGGUAAAUGGGUUGAUGUGGUUGAUUUAGGUAGGGAGGAAUUUGACAUGGCGUGCGUCCUUGGUCAAUUAUGACAGAAGAUACAUCUUUUUUCUUCUUUUUGUUCCCAUUGAUAGAACCAUAUUGAAUCUCUUUGCUUGCAGCUUGCAAGGCUGUAAAGUCUAAUUGGAUUCUUCCUGAUUUGAUUCCUUCUUCCAAGAUUUCUCCCAUUCUAAUGAUUUCUGUGAACUUUUGUCCCAUCAUGCUUAUCAUUUUCUCAUAGUAAAGAUUGUUAUCUUGGCAUUCAAUGAAGGUAGCAAUCAUUUCACUUUCACUCAUCGGUGGUUGGACUCUAGUUGUUUCUGACCUCCAACGUAGAUCAUACUCAUGAAAUGUCUUAGUUGACUUCUUCUUUAACUUAGUCAAGUAGAACCUAUCUUGUGUGAUGUUGGUUGAACUUGACUCGAUCCAUAAAGUCUUGUGCCAUAUCACUCCAACCACGCCAUUUAUGGAGAUCUUGUUAUGUGUACCAAGCAAGAGAUUCACCGGAUAAACUUCUUAUGAACAACUUCAUUUUGACCAUCUCGUCUCUCCCCACUCCUACCAGUUUGUCACAAUAUGCCCUUAGAUGUGUAUGAUGGUCACCAAUUCCAUUGAAUAUAUCAAACUUUGGUGGUUUUUACCCUACAUGCAAGUCAAUGCCAGGUUGCACACACAAGAUCCUUAUAUUCUAGGCUUUUAUUUCCCCUAGUAGUUUGGAAGUUCCUCAUUGCUUCCUUAAGAUCACGAAUCUCUCUAGCUAACACAUCAUCAGCCUUUACCUUGACACUUUUCUCCAUUUUCUCAUAUUGAUCUGCCUCGGGUUGAAACUUGACCGAUAGUGGGUUAAUAAAGGCUUGAGUUUCCACCGCAUAUACUAGAGGAACAUGUUGCGCAUAAGGAGUGGCGAUAUUUGCCCCUUGUAUAUGCUGAGCUGGAUAAGUUUGGACAAUGGGAAUAUUUUGGAUUGGAGGUGGUGGAUUCGAUGGGUUUAUAGGAGUAGUUGUAGGCAGUGGAUAGGUGUUAGUGGGUAGAGAAGCGUAAAGAGUAUGAGUUGGAGGUUGAUUUUGUGGGUUGACAAGUGGUGGAUUAGGAGGACUAGCAUAGGUAGUGUAGGUAGGUGGUUGACUUUGUGGAGGAGUGUAGAUGGGUAGCAAAUUUGGUGGAUUUGCGGGAGUAGUUGGAGGAAGGUUAUUGUUGGUAGGUGGAGGUUGUUGUGGAGGAAAGUGUUCUGGAACUGGUGAAUCAAGUGAUGGAAAACGAGGUGGAUUUGGUGCGGUACUUCUAGGUUCAGAAAGUGGACUUUGGUAGGCCUAACGUAAAUUCAAGGAGUAUAUUUGUCAUAAUAUGUCAUUCCAUUGCUCUUGAUUAAUUAAACAAAUUUUAUUUCUCUAAAAAAAAGUACAAUAGUAGUGAAAUUUACUACAUGUCGAAUGAAUACAACGUAAAGUACUUUUAAGUAAAAGGAAAUUUUGUUAUGUCCAUCCAUCUUGGUUCAUUUUGGUAUCGCCACUUCUUGUACUCCAACGUCAAGUCUUUGUACCUAUCAUGAAAAGGUUAGUCAUACCACCCCCUAAAGUUUAAUUAAUUAGAGCAAAUGGUCCAUAUUUGGGCAUGAAUAUUCCUCAAAUAUGCACAUAAAUAAUGAUAGGUCGUCACUCGGGGUCAAAAACCCACUUGGACAUUUAAGGUAAAGUCAACUAAUGGACUUAAUACACCAAGAGUAUAAAACCUCUUAGGUCAUGAAAUGAUGUAUGUUCCUUGUAAAAUGUGUUGGUUUAGCUCUACUCUAGGUAAACUAGGAGUGGGUUUACUAGACACAAGGUUCCCGAGCAGACUACUCGAGUGAGAAGGCUACGCGAUCACAUGGGAAAAGAUCCGGACAGCCUGUACAUACACCAACUCUCCUAAAUUUGUGGGUGCGCAAAACACACCUCGCGUGUAUGUGUGAUAGUGUGAAUUUUCAAGAAGUGGAGAAAAUAUGAACGGAAUGACAGUUAAGAAAAGCAGUAACACAUAAACAUUUUAUAGCAAACAAACAAUUUAUAGCAUGUAAAAAUAAUUUAUAGCUAAUGAAUAAUUUAUAUCAUGUGAAAAUAAUUCAAAGCAAACAAACAAUCAAUAGCAUGUAUAAACAGUUUACGAUAAAUAAUGUAAUUAAAGUAAGCACAUAAAAGCCUAAUUAAAUUAAGUCCGCUAUGGUUAGAACCUAUUAAGUCUUUAGUGAAGUCGCCAAGCUGUUAUACCCCAUUUUAAUCGGGUCAAAAUAGUGUACAACAUUUUGGUGAUUUCUAAAUUAUUAACAAACUUAAGAAGUAGCCACCUAAUUAAUUACGGUGAAUUAGGACACCUAAAUUGAUUAAAGUUAUUGUCUAAAGUUUACUCCAUUUCAAGGUCUACUAAAUAUGAGAUUCUAGGUAAGGGUUCAACUAAUCUAAAGGGAAGGGGUUAGACAUCCUUUAAGAUCCAUUAAAAAUGGUUAACCGGUCGAACUUGAUUAAUUAAUUAGGCUAAGUGUAAAAGAGAUAAAACACUAAAAUAUGUAAAUACUACAUGUAAAGUAAUUUAAAUAACGAUGCUUGAAAAACUAUUGUGUUAGAAGUCUUUGUUGAAAACAAACUACAAUUAAAAGGAUUUUGAAAACAUAAGUUUUUAUUGUUGGUUUGAAAAAGGGAGCAGAUGUGAUAAAUGCCCAUUUAUAUUCAAAGCAAGAUUAGAUUUGUUUAAAAAUAAUAAAAGCUAUUUUUAUAAAUAAAUUCAUUUUUAUGUGAACAACAAUUAACCAAACUCCAAAGUUAUGGAGAAAACUUGCCAAAGUAUAUAAUUGUUUAUUCAAAUCCCUUUACGCCUAAGAAAUAAUCUAACUAAGUGGUCUACUAGUAUUAGUUAAAGCAAAUCAAUGAAUGCACAAAACAUAGAUAUAAAGUUAGUCAUACGAAAAAUAUAUGCAAACAAGAAUUUGAAUUAUAAAAUAAGAAAUGUCGUUCUCGACUUUCAUCAAGGAGUAGGUAUGUUUUGCAUUAUGCCGCUUAGGCAAUGAGAAGGCGUAGACGAGUAGAUGACAUGUAAACUCUGAGUAUGUGAAUGGGUAAAUAAUAUGUGAAUUUCAAGCAAAGACGUUGAAUCUCAAAAUGAAACUCUCUGGCUCCGACGUUCACAUGUGAAGAAAAGAUAAAAAGAAAGCAAGGAUUCGCAUACAUAUAUGGCUAAGUAUAAAACUGAACAACAAAACUUCUAGCAAAUAAAGAUGAGUAUAACAAAAUAGUCAUAUGGGGAGAGGCACGACAAAAUUAACCAUAUAACAAAUUAGAACAAUAACUUCAUUUCCUUAAAGUGAUUUAUUUAUGGGCCACUAAAUAUGAAGAAUCUCAUGACCAUGAUCCUAGGUGAGACUAAAGAAAAUUUACAUUUUUAGUCUAAUAGGGACAAAUAACAAUAAAGCCACUAAUUAAUUAAUUUAGCUAAAGAUGGUUUAAUUUAAUUUAUCUAUCUAGGAUGAAAUCUUAACAUGGUUUCCACUUUCCAAUAAACAAGAAUUGAGUCAGUGAUUUAAACUAGCAAAACUUGUAAAUCCAAAAUUGAUUGCAAGUUCAAUGUUUUUACCAUAAUACAAAAGAAAUAGAUGUCGAAGCGAAGUUUAAGAUACGAUAAGAAAACUUGGAGUUAGAUUAGAGUCAGAUUCAUAUACACAAAUUAUUUUGAAACUAAAGAUACACAAUAUGAACCACAAGCUUCAAAAUAUAUAUAUAUUCCUUUGUCAUUUUUAACACUUAAAAAUGAUAAACUAAUAUAGAUUCCUAAACACAAAAAAAAACAUGUUAAAAUAGAAGGAUAAACAAAAGAAAAGCAAUCGAGUUUACCGUUUGUGGAGAAGUGAACUGAAAAUCGUUGGUUAAUAUCUACUCUCUAUCUCAGAUGACCAUCAAUUGCCAGAACGAGUAGAGUAGAAGUUGUAGUUCUGAAUAAAAGCCAAAGGUAGAGAGAUAUACAAAGCUAAACUUUUAGAAUAGACAAUGAACUUUCAAAAACACUAGAGGCUGCUCCCCAAAACUUUUCUGAAAUAGACUGCCAAUGCAAGUAUUUACAGAUGAAAGUUGAAAGUUAAGGCUUAAAGUUCUUGAGCGGGAAAUUGAGAUAAAAGUGAUUUUAAUUCAAAAUCGAGUCAAGAGAUCCGUUUGAAUUGUCAUAAAUAUUGUUGUGCCUAAUUAUCCGAAAUGGUGAAUUUUUUUGAAAUUUGAAAACAGCUGUUGCGUUUUUGAAGCAUGGAACAAGAAAGUCUUUGUUGGAUGCCUCUACAAGGACAAAAUUUAGCUCAAAAUGGAAGGGUGAAAGUUGUCCAUGGCUUCAUCAUAUUGGAGUUUUGCUUCAUAGAGGAAAUAGAGGAGAAAGGGACGUGUGUGGCUGAGAAAAUUGGGAAUAGGUUAGGGAUUUUCUUUGUUUGAGGGCUUAAGGUUUGGGCCUAUAGAUUUUCUUUAUGGGUUGCUCGUUUGGAAUAGCCAAAUUGGCUGAAUGGAUGAAAUAUUUUUGGGCCUUUUUUCUUCUUUAAAUUAAUUCAUUUGAGCUUCUAACUUAAUAACUAGUAUAAUAUACAUUAAUGUAAAAAAUUUAGUAAGUAAGAUACUUGAAACAAAGUAAUGACAAUCUAUUUUAAAGAAGACGACAAUAUGUAAUAGUAGUAAAGUUUUGAUAAUAAGAUAUAUAAUUUAAAAAUAGCAAAAAGAGAAUAAAAGAUGAUAAUCACAAAAAUAAUAAAAGUUAAAGUAAUAGUAAUAAUAGUAUCUUAAAGAUAAUUACGAUAACAUUGGUAAUUAGCGAAAAUAAUAGUGAAAUGUAAAGUAUUCGACUUGUUAAUAAUUUAGAAGCCCAACGAAAUAAAUUAGAAGAAAGGAGGGACAAAAUUGGGUGUCAGUAUGAAGGACAAUCUCUUAUCUUGUGGUCCAUCUUACCACAACUAAAACAAGCAUUGGAACUCACUAGACACUUGUCCUCGUGCUUCCUUCCACACUUAUCACAAGUAGGCAACAAAGACCCACUACCACUUCCUCCUUGAGGCUUAGGGCUAGACACCCUCUCUUUGUUGAACAUAGAAGGAGAAUCUGAGGAACCUUGACCAGAAAACCUUUGUCGGAACUUAGAACGACUAUUUCCAUCGGACCAUGCAUGAGAGAAGUUACCAUCUCCGAUUUUAGCCUUCUUUGCCUCCCUAUACUUUUCCUUAAGUUUCUUCUCUUCGAUUUUUUGAGCAUGAACUACGAGACAAGAGAUAUCCGUAUCAUUAACAAGCUUGGCGGUACGACAUUCCUUAACCACCAUCUCGGACACACCCGAAACAAACUUACACAUCCUUUCCCUAGGAUCGAUAAUCAUAGUGAAAGCAUAUCGAGACAAUUGUGUGAAAUUCAAAGCAUAUUCCUUCACACUCAUACUCCCUUAACGAAGGUUGAUGAAUUCAAGCACCUUUUCCUCCCUCAUCUCAAGGGGAAAGAACCUAUCAGGGGAAAGAACCUAUCAAGGAAAGGAAAGCAACUUUGAGCUUUUCCCAAUCGAGAGGACCCGUAUCUUCCGAUCUCCCUUCCUUCCAUUGGUUAAACCAAAUUUGAGCAACACACUUAAGUUGAUAAUUAGACAACUCCACCUUUUCCAAUGACGUCACUCCCAUGAUCAUCAACACCUUGUAAACCUCAUCGAUAAACUCUUGGGGAUCUUCAUCAACCUUAGAACCAUGAAACUCCGGAGGAUUCAUUCUAGUGAAGUCCCUCACUCUAGAUGCCGUCGUACCUACAUUUGGGUUCACGGGGACCACAACCUCCCUAUUGGCUUGGACCGUCAUGGCUUGGGCCAAUACUUGAAAAGCAACCCUAAACUCUGCAUUAGUCACUUGCUCGGCCAAAGGAUCGACCAGAACUUGAAGAGCUUGAGAAGGAACUUCUUGAUUCACAUUCUCUCCCGCAUUCCUUCUAGUAUAAGCUCUUCGAGUAGUCAUGUCAUGUAGAUCAUCAGAUAAGGAUUAAAAGAGAGACCUUAUAGAAUUAAAAUCUAUCGCACGACUUUAGAGUAAUAAAAGAAGUGGAGUUUCCUAAACAUCUUGUAGCCUCGCAUUCAUAAAUGUGACGCGCUUCACACUCAUGAACAAGACUAUACUCAAAGUGGUUGCUUAUGAGACUUCCUAGGACCUUUCUAAACCUUGUGCUUUGAUUACCAAGUUUGUCACAACCCAAGGUAGCCCCUAGGCGUAACAUAGCGAAUAGGACCCCCAAAGGCCCCAUACAAGCCACUUAGCAUUCAUAACAUAAGAAAUAGAAUUCAAGAUAUUUAAAAGACAGCUCAAUACAUCAAAGUUUUUAUAAAGCAAAUUGGAAAUCUAAACAUCGUCUCAGUAAUCAUCUAGUACAUAAGAAUGAAAUUAGGCCUAGCCUAUACAUCAUGUCCAAAACUAAAAAUAAGAGGAGACUGAAAACAAAGAAAGUCCGUUCCUCGAAGCAUGAGGACUCACCAAAGCUCGAAAUCUCUCAGAGCAACCUCUAGCCACGAAACUGGGAACCCUGACUGUCAGACCCUACAUUUGGGAAAAUGUAGGGAAGAGUAUGUAUUAGUACAAAAUAUGUACCAAGUAUAAUAGUCAUGCAUAAAAACAUAUAGUUCAUGUUAAAAAGGGACAUUUUCAUGGGCAUGAAAUGAUCAAGCUAAAACAUAAAUAUUGAAUGUUAGGAAGUAUAAGUCGUAAAACAUGAUCAAUGCAAAUGAACAUCAUCUUAAAACAUAUGUGAGAUACUUCCUUGAAGUAACCUUAGUUAAUCAUAACUUGCUUGUGGGAAGUAGCCUUAACCGACAUAUAAGACCAUGUGAGCUAUCAACAUGGAAUUCGGUGUCUCCCACACCGAAAAGGGUUGUCCUACUUGACAAAGAAAGGACCUUGAACUUCUAGCUUAUGUGGAUCCACUAGCUAAUGUCUAUCUAGACAAUCCUAUAUUGGCACAUAGUUUAUGGGACACGGGUAAUCGCCACUUGUCCACUUGGUACUAAGCUUAACUUCCAUGGACUAGUUCUUAGUCAUAUUCAACUUAGCUCAUAAAGGAACAUGGGUAAUCGCCUCUUGUCCUUGUAUUAUAUGACAUAGGUAAUCGCCUAUUGUCAUUCUAAUUAGAGAGCAUGGGUAAUCGCUUCUUGCCUCAACAUUAGCAUAGCUUCUUAUCAUUGGUUCGUUUUAGGUGAGAAGACCUUUCAGUCUAAGAACCCUUAUUAUGUGAGAAAACCUUUCACAAUUAAUGCUUAUAUGUGUAUAUGAGAAAUCCUUUCAACAACACAACAAUAGCAACAUCAUUGAUACUUCACUCUCAAAGCAUCAUUAAACAUUUACAUAAACUUCAUAAGAACAUGCUUGAUUUCAUAAACUCUUCUUUCAUAAUCCAAAACCCACAUUAUAUAAUCAUAACUUGGAAAAUAUGGGAAUUACAUGGGUGCAUGAGGGAUCAUCAUAAAAACAUGAAAUUAACUCAAUUCAUACGUAAGAGAUCAUAAAUCAAUCAAUUAAAUCAAUAAUCAAGAGAACCCAUAACAAAGAAGAAAAUCCUAACUCAAUUGGGGAUUUUUAUAUUUGAAAAUAAGAGAAUUUGGGAACUCCAUGAAUGGAAGGAAUCCAUGGAUGAAACCUAUCAUACCUCAAUGCCAAAAGCUUGACUUCAAUGGGGGAAUUGGAGACUUGACUUGAAACCUAGGUUGAUCCCUUCUUCUUCAACUUGUAGAGAGAGAAAUAUUUGAGAGGUCUUCUUUUGUGAAUUUGAGAGGAUGAUUUCAAUUAAGGAAAUUUUGGGGGUUAAAACGUUUAUAUAUAGGGGUUUUGGUGAAGGGUAAAACGACAUAGUAUUAGGAUAAAAUAAUUAGGAAAAGACCUAAAUCCCCUAAAAAUAAUAAUUGUCGACCCAAACGACGGCCAGACCGACGGUCUGUCAGUCAAACCACAGACCGUCCUGUUAGGGCAUCGUUUGGAUCAGAGGCCAUGAUCUGUGGCCUUGAUCAAUGGACCUCCAUCCAGGACUGUGAUUCCAAUGACGGUCUGUUGGUCCAGGUCGUGGAUCUUGACUUUUGAUCCUGAAUUUUCUCUAAGUCUGGGACUCACCUACGAAUCCUAUCUACGGCUCGUGCAUUGAACGACGGACCGUCCUAGUGGACCAUUGAAAAAUACAGAAAACUUGACAUUUUAGAAAACUGACUUGGCCAACCACGGACCUACCUAUGAACUGUACAUCAAACGACGGACCAUAGGUGGCGCCCGUUGUCCUGGCACUAGAUUUCUUAAAGGCUGAAAUUUUACCCUUUCUCGAAUCCGAAGUGUUACAAUAACUUUGUUAUUUGAUUAGUAUAAUUCAUGUGUCCUUAAAUCACGUAUGCAAAUUCAAGUGUACCUUUUAAAUGUAAACAUUUGAUAAUUGAAAACAUACUAUAAUGAAACAAUAUCAUACUAACUAAUUUGUGGACGUAGUUAAUUUGUUCUAAUUUUAAUUUAGUUGUGAUAAAAUUUAAUCAAAUAUUAGUACUUCCUUCGUUUAAUAAAACGAUCUAGUAUGACUUGACAUGAAGUUUAAGAAAAUAAAGAAGAUGUUUCAAUUUCGUGGUGCCAAAUUAAAGUUAUAUUAAAUGUACCAAAAUGUCCUUUAAUUUUAUGACCUUAACACCUUGUUUGGAUGAUUGUUACCCGUUGUAUUGUAUUGUUAGUUUAAAAACAAUAUUUAAUUUUGAUUGUUACUUAAAUUCUAUUGUAUCUUAUCAUUUAAAUACAUUGUUAGAUAACACCAAAAAGACCAAUUUAUGUAACGGCCGAUUUGGUGUGAUCACAUUGUACGUUAAUAAUUUCUUUUCAUUUUGUCUUUAUUUAUAUGAUUUAUCUUUUAUCCUAUUUUUUCAUAGUAAUUCUAUCAUGUACUACUCUUUUUUUUCAGGUUCAUCAUUUAAUUUAUAGAUAUGUGAUAUUAUGUAAUGAAGAAGAAUAAUACAAUUUGUUUAAAUACAUGUAUUUAUUAAAAUUAACAUAAUACAAUACGAUGCAAUACAAUAACUCAAUAAGAUACAAUAUGAAAUUAAAUUAUUACCAUAAAAAAAGGUCAUUCUUUUUAAAUAAAGACAGUAUUUUUAUUUUUAUUUUUAUUUUUAAAACCAAAAGCAUUAAACACCGGUCGAAGCCUCUCAACUAAAAGCAGUUCUAGGGUUUUCAAGCAGAAAAAAAAGAGUAUUUAUUUGUUCUUCUCAUUCAUCUCGAAAACAUUAGUUUUUUCAUUGGAUUUGUAAGGAAUCAAUUGUUGAAACUAUGCCUCCAAAAUCAGUGAGAAAGACGCCUUCAGGUUCUGGAUCCAAAAGAGGUGGCCGUACACCUCGUGGCACGCCAAAGUCUCAGGCAAAGCCUGUUAAGGUAGAGGAACCAAUGGAAGUAGAUAAGGCGGUGGAGCUCAAACAAGAAAUGAAGGUGGAGGAGAUAUCUGAAGAAAAGCCUGAGCUGAAAACCAUGCAAUCGGAGCCUGAGGAACCGGCCGAAACUGCUUUGAAUGCGAACGCUGUAGAGAAGGGGGCGGUUUCAGAGAAGAGUAAGUAUUCAUUUUGCAAAAUUUGAAUUAAUACUUUGUACAGUUUUGCUUAUGUCAGUUUUAAUAAGAGUAGUGAUAAGAAAUCAUGUUAGUUGUUAAUGGUAUUGCAAGAGCUAUGCAAAUUGUGUUUAUGCAUUAAUACCUGUUCUCUUUAAACACAAUUUAUUGAAUUAAUACCUAUGUUGCUCGGACUCUUCAAAAAUGUCAAUGGGCGCCUGUCCGCUACAUUUCGGAGAAUCCGACACGUGUGCAGCAUCGAAAGAAUCCAAACAACUUAGAUUAAUACCUGUUCUAAAAUGCGUAUAACUGCUGACAAUUGCUAUGUUUAUUGUUAUAUAAUCUGAGUUCUUUAGCUUAAUUAAGAGCAAUGUCAGAAAAUACUUAUGGGUCCAAAUAGAGAUAGAAAUUCAGAGAACUUGCUUGAGAUUUUGGCUUAUAACACAUCCCUCCCUUGUGGUUUCAAAUAAUACAUAUACCUCCCUUCUUUGAUAAUAGGUGUAACAAAACUAUUUUAUAAUCUGAAAUGGACAAGUUUACCCCUUUUAAGUCAACUUUUAGUUUCUUUCUUCUUCUUUUUCCCAGAAAGUAAAUAUUAAAGCAAAAGCACAAUAUUAGUUUAACAAGAUAGAUGCUAGAUGAAAGUUACGAAAUGUUAGUACAAUGUUACCGGUUUGUCUUUUGUUACACUUCUUCAUAUAUAUAUUUUGUUGCAUGACAAAUUAAAUACUCCCUCCGUUUAAAAAAGAAUGACCUAUUUUCUAUGAUCUCUUUACUUUUUUGGCAACACUUUAAUUUCAACUUUCCACGUGACAUGUUUAAGGCUACAAGAUUAAAUGACAUUUUUGUACUUUUGACAUAACUAUUAUUUAGGAUCACAAAAUUGAGAAGUCUUUUUUUCUUAAACUCCGCAUCAAGUCAAACUGUGUCAUUCUUAUUGAAAUAGAGGGAGUAACUUUUAAAAUUUUAAGGCGAAUUUAAAUCAAUUUGAACUAUUAUUGAGUAUUCUAUGGAUGAAAAACGCCUAUAUUUCAUUUUAUGGUUCUUUAACCCAAUCAUGGGAAGGAAACAAAAAACAAAGUUUUGAUAACGUUAUAUAGAGAAAAAAAAGUAAUAAUUGUCUUAUUAUUUCAUCUUCCAUUAUUGUCUUAAAAGCAAAACAAUAUUGUCUUGCGAUAGUGUAAAGUCACACUGCAAUAUCAUGAGUUUGACUUCAAUGUCUUUACUCUAGCUGAUCAUUUACUGCUUCGUCAAUUAGAUUUAAGUUUAUCAAUUAUAAAAUUAAAGAUGAUCAAUCUUCCAUAUUGAAGUAAUUUUGAAGGAUAAAAUUAACUCGAAGAAAAUAAGGUACUUAUUAUAAAAGAAGACAUAAAACUUUGACAUACAAAGGGUAAGUUUGUCUACUUCAGAAUAUAAAAUACUUUUGUUACACACAAUGGUCAAAGAAGGGAAGUAUAUGUAAUAUUUGAUACCACAAGGGAGGGAUGUGUUACAAGACAAUUUACUUAGAUUGUUAAGUGAGAUAAGCAAACUUGAUUUCGUCCCGAAAUGUCCGAGUUUUAGAUUUCGAAGAUCAAUAAAAUAAAAGGUUUUAGAUUUUGAAGAUCAAUAAAAUAAGAGGAAGGAAUGAUAAAUAAAUACAAAUAGAAAAGGAAAGGGAGGAAAUGCAAAAAAAUAGAAGAGAAAAGUCAUACAAAGUUAUAUACAAAUCACUGCACCACCCUUUUUUGUAUUCCUUAAAUGAAUUUCAGUUGAUUAGGACGAGUUCCUUAAAAACUAUGCUGAGCAGCUUCUGUAGGUUGAGCUAGGCCAAAACCUCAAGGGAGGUCUCUGAAAUUAUUCCUUAAAAAUAUUAUCCCUAGAGAAUGAGGUUUUGAUAGGAUAGUGUUAAUAAUAUCUUGGUUGGUGAGGGCGAGCUGUGAGCAUCACUUAAAUCUUAUGGCCUGCUAACUUUGAGUUAAUUAAAUAUAUGUGUGUGUAUGCGGUUUCAAGCUUCAAUCGAUUAAAAGAAACAUAUAGAAAGUGAAGCAUCUCCAAGAUGAUGGUUGAGGCAUAUGCGUUACAUCGAGUAGCUCACAUGUUGGUCUCAAGACAACCUUUGUGGCAAAAACACUGAAAUAAUGACAAAAGGUGAGGCUUAACUGGGAUGGAUGAAGGGUCCCUUAUUCUUCAAUUUGAGAUGAAGGAAGAAGGAAAGCUUACAGUUGCUGGCACAUAUUCUGUUCUGCCAAAUCUUGUAACUUUUAUCUCUCUCCUGAUGAUCAGUUAAGUCUCUAUAGAGUUGGACAUUGUUGACAGCUUACACAACUUGCAAGAGAUUAUGUUAUACUUGGAUAAGAGCAUUUUAUUUUCACCAUUUACUGGCCUGGGAGGUUAAUUUUUUUCUCAUGGCAGAGAAGGACGAUUUGAAAGAGUCAGUCGAUCACUAUGAAAAGGGCGAGCGAUUAGAUUUGGAGGAUAAUGACCCUGAAUAUGAACCUGAAGAGUAUGGCACAGUUGAUUAUGAUGAGAAUGGGAUUGAACAUGAUGGUGUUCAGGAAGAGAGAAAUGAAAUAGAGGAAGAACCUGAAGAGGCAGAUGUUGGUGAAGAGGAAGAGGGUGAUAUGGGGGAAGAGGAUGUUGAAGAUGUUCAUGAGGAAAAUGAGGGUGAUGAAGAAGAUGAGCAUGCUGAGAUGGCUGAUGCAGCAGAGGAGGAAGAACAUCAUGAAGUUGUUGAAGAAAGGCGUAAGCGGAAGGAAUUUGAAAUAUUUGUUGGUGGCCUGGACAAGGAUGCUACCGAGGAGGAUCUCAGGAAGGUCUUCAGUAAAGUUGGCGAGAUUACUGAAGUGAGGCUUCUGAUGAAUUCUCAGACAAAGAAGAAUAAAGGAUUUGCAUUCCUGCGAUUUGCCACUGUUGAACAAGCAAAAAGAGCUUGUACUGAGCUGAAAAAUCCAGUGGUAUUUUCUUUAUUUAUAGUUUUAUGUGACUGAUUUUAAUUCCUCAUAGAAGGUAUUUCCUGACAAUGGAAUUUCCAGAUCAAUGGAAAACAGUGUGGUGUCUCUCCAAGUCAAGACAAUGAUACUCUGUUUUUGGGUAACAUAUGCAAGACCUGGACAAAAGAAGCUGUAAGUAGGCUAGGCAUAUCAUAUUGUCAACAUACAUGAUUCUCAGUUUUGAGGAGCUGCUUAACUAGUCAUUGAUGUUUGCUUUCUCUCCCAGUUAAAAGAGAAGCUGAAGCAUUAUGGUGUUGACAAUACAGAGGAUUUGACGUUGGUCGAAGACACUAAUAAUGAGGGAAUGAAUCGAGGAUUUGCUUUCUUGGAGUUCUCUUCACGUUCAGAGGCCAUGGAUGCUUUUAAGCGGUUACAGAAGAGAGAUGUUGUAUUUGGAGUUGAUAGGCCUGCAAAGGUUUCUUUUGAGGAUUCAUUCAUUGAUCCUGGGGAUGAAAUCAUGUCACAGGUAAACUCUCUGGACAUAUAUCUAUAUUUUAAUAGAAGGAACAAUGACCGGUCAAGUAUAGUUAGUAUAUUGUCAAACGGAGGCUUUUGUUGUUGUGAUUCUUAGCUUAUUUUGGAGGUACACAACUUUUAAGAGUUAUAUUAUGUUUUUGAACAUACUUUGUCGUUCUAUGGUUUGCUUUUUAUCCCUUCUCUUUUAGUCUCUUCUGCUGCGAAGAAAAGAACCUAUAUCUAUGUUUUAAUAAAAGGGACUAUGGCUCUGGUUAAGUGUAGUUAUAGUAUAUUGCCAAAUGGAGGCUUUUGCUUUGGUGCUCGUUAGGUUAUUUGGAGGUAACCAAAUAUUUCACAGUUGACUUCAGAGUUAUAUUAUGUUCUUCAACAUAAGUCAGUGAUUUGCUUUUUAUCCCUGCUUACGUUGUCCUUUAAUUGUUUGCUUUUUAUCCCUACUGCGAAGAAAAGAAGAAUAAGUAAGGACAGUGUAUUUUAGUUUUUCCUUUUUCAAUCAGUUAGAUUUAUGGAUAGGUGCUAGCUGUUCAAAUUUUGUCUCUCCCCUUUUAUUAAUUUUUUGUCUGGGUAGUUUGGUUAUUUUCUUUCUGUGGUUGUUCUUUUCUGAUGUCUUUGCUGCUUGCUUUUGGAGUCUUUUUAGUCAAUUGCUACACAACCCUUCGUUAUUUGACUGUGGAUGAGGUGUGAGAGGUUGGCUAUGGUGGGGUAGGUAUAAGGAGAGUCAGAGGUAGGCCAACAAGUAUUGGGGAGAAGUGAUUAGAUAGAAUUCGACACAUGUUGGUAUGGAGGUCAGGGAUCAGGGUUGAAGGUUAUUAGGUAGUAGAGCAUUUAGUUUUUUCUCGUAGUAUUACUUUCUAUUAUUUUAUUCUGCUAUUUUUUACUGCAUCUGUUGUUUUUCUUGGCUUCAGUUUGUGUUGUUUGCUGUUACUAUUCUUUUCUCUAUUAUUUUUAUCACAGCUUCUUCACUACUGUAUUUCCUUUCUAUAACUGCUUAGAACGGUUUUACUUGAGCAAAGGGUCUUUUGGAAACAACCUCUCUGCCUUCACAAGGCAGGGGUAAGGUCUUCAUACACUCCAUGCUCCUCGGACCCCACUUGUGGCUGUGGGAUUACCCUGGGUAUGUUGUUCUUGUUUCUUUGUUUUUGAUAAAUCAAGACAUGACUGUGGGGGAAUAUUUCUUGAGUUCAGGUUAAAACAGUGUUUAUUGAUGGUCUUGCUGUAUCCUGGAACGAGGACCAUGUACGGGAACUUCUUAAAGAAUAUGGAAAGAUUAGAAAAGUUGAGCUUGCCAGAAAUAGGCCUUCAGCCAAGAGAAAGGACUUUGGAUUUGUCACCUUUGACACUCAUGAGGCUGCAGUUACAUGUGCUAAAAGCAUUAAUAAUGAGGAAUUGGGUGAAGGAGAUAACAAGGUUCGUUCUCUGUCUUUAAGUGUCCCUGAGUAUAUGUGAAUCUUUGUGAGUGGUUCUUAUUGUUGUUUAUUUCAGGUUAAAGUAAGGGCCAGACUAUCGAGACCCCUGCAUAUGGGUAGAGGGAAAUACGGUGGACGAGGAGAGUUCCGACCUUGGCGUAUGCCUAUGCAUGGUUCCCAUGCCCCUUGGGGUCGUACAGCGCCAUAUAGUCGUUCUAUCCGAGGGACUAGAGUUAGUACGUGUAUGCCUCCCGUAGUUGGUCGUGGUUUCAAACGACCUGCAGCAUUGAGAGAUAGACAUGCAGAGAUGGCUUUGUCUCCUAGGGGAAGAUUUAUGGCUUCACCACCCAGGAGGUCAUAUGACCGGAGACCACCUGGUAUGAUGUGAUUUAUGUCUUUCGUUAAAAUCUACUGGUUCAACUCUACUUAUUUUAUAAAUGACCAGAUGACUAAUGACCAAAUUGCAGUUUCCUCAUAUCCAAAGAGUAACUUCAAGAGGGAGUAUGGACGGCGCGAGGAAAUCUCUCCUUCUAGAAGCAGAGCAAUAGCUGAGUAUCCUUCGAGGGUUCAUUCUGACAGACGUAUAUCCUAUAGGGAUGAAUAUUCUUCGCGUGGCUCUGGUUACCCUGAAUUACCUAGAGGUACUCACUCUGCAGCAAGGAGAGCUUAUGUUGAUGAUGGAUAUGGGCAACGGUUUGAAAGACCCCCUCCAUCUUACCGUGAGGGACGUGGUCGUGAAUAUGAUUCUGUCUCUGGUUCGAAACGUCCAUACACUGCAGUGGUGAGUUAUCUUCACCAUAUACUAUGCUUAGAUAUUUUCCUGAUUUACCCAAGAAGAUAUGAACUAAUUAAGCGUCUCCUGUACAUGCCAGGAUGAUGUUCAUCCACACUACGCUGAGGCAGGAAUGCGGCAUUCGCGUGCUCGUUUGGAUUAUGAAUUAGGCAGUGGAAGUGGCUCCCAUUAUGGAGAUGCAUAUGGUGACAGGUGCCUUCUAAUUAUUGUUCAGUCAUUUUUCUUCCUUUUUCGCAAUCUUUGGUACUAUAUUGAUUGACUUGACUGAUGUACAUAUUAGUAGACUCGGGAGAUCAAAUCUUGGAUAUGGCGGCAACAGGAGCUCCAUUUCUAGGCAAGAUUCUCAUGGGAUAUACAGCAGUCGUCAGGGUAUGGGCUAUGGUGGAGGUAUGUUUUGUUCAUUGCAAAAUCUUGUUAUUUCUCUUAACAUUUGUUUUUAUAUGUAUGUAUAGAGAAAGCUGUCUUAAUUCUGUUUUGGUUUGUAGGUUCCUAUGGUGGAAGUGAUGUAGGUGGAAUGUAUUCGUCCAGCUAUGGUGGUGACUACAUGUCUCGUGGCAGUGAUGUAUGCUUCUACUUUGUUAAUAUCUGUUGGAAGAUUUAGUGUUUAUCUGAUGAUAACUGUGGUGUUCCUGUUCUUCUCUGAUGAAUAUUCAGGUUGGCUCCUCGGUUUAUUCUAGUCGUGGUAUGGGUGGCAGUGGCUAUAUGGGAAGUGGUGGUUCUGGAUCUUACUACUAAGGUAUGUCACUUGUUAUUACUAUCCAUGUGUGGUUUAUUUGGCAGUCAUGCUCUUAGGAACUGAGCAUCUUAUAUUCCCCUGUCCCCUGUUUAAAGGUGUGUAUACUUUCUUUUUUGCAAGAGCUGUGUUUGGUUACCCACCAACUUAUUUAUGGUACAGAUUUGAGUUGACAAAAGCGCCUGCAGUUGGAUGAGUUAAUGUGGAAGCCCUAUGCACUGACAUGCCUCUUGGAGAGAUGGAGUUUAUGUAUUAGUACUUGUUUGUAUAUGUAGGGCUAGAGAAUUUAGCAUUAGAGGUUGCAUUGCUCUUGGAUUCUAAUUGGGAAAAGAGACAUGUGUCCCUUCUUUUGAUGUAAGGAAAUUUGAGCUAUGUACAGCAAACUGAGAUCUGGUGUCAUUUUGCAAUACUUUCUUUGUGGUUUCUUCUUUUAAAAAUUUGCUGGAGUAGUGCGUGAUAAUUUCGAAAGAAAAUGAUCCCAUAAACUCAAGUUAAUAAGAUGAAGGAUCUGCGGGUAUCUGAUAUUAUGAUCUCAAAAUUACUCCCUCCGUCCACAAUUGUUUGUCAGGGUAAAGUCAUGCACACCCCUCAAGGAAAAUUUAAUACAAGGUGUAAUUUGACUAAUAUAACCCUACUAUAUCAAGAAUACCAAAAGUCUACAUAACUUUUCAAUUGAACUACACUAUCAUUAAGGGCAAAAUUGGAAAAAAGUAAUUAAUUGUUUCUUGAUUGUUUAAAUUGACAAUUAAUCUUGGACAUCUAUUUUUAGUAUACCUGCCAAACAAUUGUGGACGGAGGGAGUAAUUUUGAGAUCAUAAUAUCAGAUACCCGCAGAUCCUUCAUCUUAUUAACUUGAGUUUAUGGGAUCAUUUUCUUUCGAAAUUAUCACGCACUACUCCAGCAAAUUUUUAAAAGAAGAAACCACAAAGAAAGUAUUGCAAAAUGACACCAGAUCUCAGUUUGCUGUACAUAGCUCAAAUUUCCUUACAUCAAAAGAAGGGACACAUGUCUCUUUUCCCAAUUAGAAUCCAAGAGCAAUGCAACCUCUAAUGCUAAAUUCUCUAGCCCUACAUAUACAAACAAGUACUAAUACAUAAACUCCAUCUCUCCAAGAGGCAUGUCAGUGCAUAGGGCUUCCACAUUAACUCAUCCAACUGCAGGCGCUUUUGUCAACUCAAAUCUGUACCAUAAAUAAGUUGGUGGGUAACCAAACACAGCUCUUGCAAAAAAGAAAGUAUACACACCUUUAAACAGGGGACAGGGGAAUAUAAGAUGCUCAGUUCCUAAGAGCAUGACUGCCAAAUAAACCACACAUGGAUAGUAAUAACAAGUGAC